GCAUUUUAGCAUUAACUUAUUUUUAUAUUUUGAUGUUUUUUGGAGUUAUUGCAAUUGCGGCUUCGGGUGAUUCCUUUCAUUUGCUUGCUCUGUAGUAAUAGCUACUACCACACAGAAUGGAACUGCGAGAAAUAGAAGAACAGGAAAAUGAUGUCGUUUUACUGAAGAAGAAGAAGACGAAGAUGAAACUGAGAAAGAAGAGAAAUCGAGAGGAAAGAAAAGAACAACUCAAAGAAGAAGAAACUGAAGAAUUAUUGCAGGAUCCACUGGAGGCUUUUGGUGGAGACAAAAUGUUGAAGAUACUUCAAAACCUAAAGGCACGCAGCGUAGCACCGACUCUCCUUGUAUCCCGUGCUUGGAACGACGUUGCUUCAAGCGACACGCUUUGGACUCCCAAGGUUCAUUUCCUUUCAUAUUCUUUUUUUUCCCAAUCUUUUUGCAUGGUACCUGAAUUUAGGUUUGUUUACCUUUUUAAAAUUAAUUAAUUAAUUUAGUGCUUUCUUCGGAGAACAUGAGAAUUGGGUUUUUUUUUAGUUUCACAAUUGGGUUUUUGUUUUAAGUAUUGAUGCUGAAAUCUGCUCGCCCUAUACCCGAUCAGAUUUUUUCCACCAACACUUAUAUACUUAAUAGGAACGAUGUCACCUUCUCCUUGCCUUAAAGAUCACUUACGUCACUGGAUUGGAAUCACCUUUUUUUUUUUAUCUUGCCCAGCCUGCGUUCACAAAAACUGGAUCAAAGACGCCGGUGGUUUUGUCGGCGUAAACUCUCUGAUGCCUAAGUUAGCACAAGGUGUUUACGGGAAAACGCUUCAAUUUAGAUUUUGGAAUGACUUACGAUUCACUCUGAGCUUAUGCUGAAAAAUAGUCUAAUUUUAAUUUGACAGAGUUUUCCCCCCUUUCUCAAUUUUUUUAUCCCCUUCUUUAUUGAUUUCUUCCUCUUUUAUAGCUGCUGUCCCACGUUUCUGUUCACCUUUCAUCCCCCCUUUCUCGGGUAGUGGCAGCCCCUCAUGGGACUCUAACUGCUACAUUGUGGGCAAGUGGGACACCGUGUCUCCCUCAACGGUUCUGGGAGAAGCGCAACUGUCGUGAUUUUGUGAGAUCGUGUUCCCGCUCUUUGGGGAAUGGAUAUCUGCUCGGUAUAUGUCUCUAGAAGGCCCAUGUUUGUAGAAGGUUCAUUAUCAGCGUUCUGCUCGUACCAUUCGGCUGAGGUGAUCCACCCCGGGGUGGGGAUGAUGGCAUGGCUGAGCUGGUGCUCUUAUGUACUUAACAUCAGUCCCCUAGUUUCUGGUCUUGUGAGUGAAUUGAGUUGAGAGUAGAAAUUGAUAAUCGAAUCUUACCGAUCCUGGGAACUACCCAUCUGGUCCUUGCGUUAUUGUGGUGGAUCUGAGGUUCCAUCUCUCGUCUAAGGAGAUUUUGACUCGAGUAUGGGCCUUCAAGAAUAUGUCUAGUAUAUACUUGGGCUUACGUCUUGUCAGGCCCCUUAUAACGGUUAGUGACGUGGCGCUUCAUGACUCUUCGUAUUUGAAAUUUGAAACGACGAGCUAUCUAUCCUCGAUGUACGGUGAGUGAGCUGGCAUCCCCAUCACUUAAAUGCUUCUAUUUCCCCCUUUUCGUUUCAAAUCCCUAGAUAGAAAUCAUCAUCGUUUUGUUGUUCGUCUCUCCGCCGUAAGCCAACUCCUUCUUUUUUUGUCAUGGCAGCGCUAUCCGUGCCAACCUAUUCUAGGUAUAGCCUUUAACCCCCUCUCUGGUUGUUGUUGAUUGGGUUUUGUAUUGUGGGUUCUGUAUUUAUCCCUUUUUGUACCCAUACAUUUGAAUAUUUUGUGCUUUCCCUUUUUAAACUUCAACAUGUCAAAUCGGAAGGGAAAAAUAAUUGUAGAUGAGAGUGAUGAAGAGAUAGAGGAUUCCUAUCCCCAUCUAUUUGGACCCAGUGAUCCUCUAUCCUCUUCUCGCAAUGUAGGUCCCUCCUAUUAUAGGGAUACCCCUGAAUACCCUCGUCCUAUGGCCACUUCUCCUUCCCCUGAAUUAGAGCUUGUAGGAAACCAAGGUGGACCUGCAUCGGGCUCUGAUGAGAACCACAGUUCUAAUGGGGCUGGGGUCCCUGAAGAAGUGGGUGACGGUGAGGGGAGCAGUUCUGAGCCGAGCAGACCCCCUAAGAGGAGAAAGCUUGACCAUAGGGUGGAGGCAGAUUCUUACCCUAUCGACUGUAUAGCUUGUGCCACCACCCCAACUGACCUGCUCAAGUUUAGAACCCUCUAUAACAUACCUGAAGAGGUUCUCCUUGUAAUCCCCGGGAAAGAUGACGUUCCUAGCCGACCUCCGAGGGGGUAUGUGACGAUGCAUCUGGAGAGCUUCAAAUUAGGAGCUCGGUUGCCCCUUCAGCGUUAUUUUGCCAAGAUAUUGGGUGGUAUGCACCUGGCUCCUAGUCAACUACACCCAAAUGGGUGGAGAGUUCUCUCAGCUAUGUAUGUGUUAUGGGAGAGGUGCGGAUCAGAAGAACCCUCCCUUGUUGAGGUAAAGCAUUUGUACCAGCUGCGGAGUAGCCCAAAGAAAGCAGGCUGGUACUACUUCAUGUCGAGCUCUGUAAAGAGGAAGCCGAUCACUAGAUUUCCUUCCUCAUGUAAAAAGUGGAAGAACAAAUUCUUUUUUACUAGAUGAAAUUAGUGUCCAGCAGCCAGCUCGCUUGGUGGUGAUAUUCACCUUCCAACGCACUUUGUCACCCCAGGUUGUUUAUUUUUUGUCUAUUUUCUUUCUCCAAUCGUUACUUAUUGGGUUCUUUAACCUUGUUUGCUCUUCCAGAAUCGUGGGAUUUGAUUAAAGAGCUUGACGAUAGACCCUUACUCCAGGUGGAAACUGCUCUGAUGAAUGCGUCUACCUGUCAAGACCUCCUGUCACCAACAAACCUGGUCGGAUCGCGUUUAGUGGAUGUAGCUGCCAGAAUGGAUAACAAGAUCCUCAGUGCUAUGACCAGGAAACGUGGUCUGGCUUCAAGCAGCUCCAGCAAUCCCCCUCCUCCUUCGAAGAAAACCAAUGCUGGUCCGCCCAAGGCUUCUGCUCCUGCUCUGCCCCCUCCUCCACCCCUGAAAAAUGGUGGAGAAAAGGUGAGUGACGAAUCCUGAGUUCAGCAUUCAUUCUGGAGACCGAUCCUCUCCUCUUCCACCUCGAGACCAGGGUGACGAUCUGACCCCAUAAUAGAGGGACUAUGGGAAGUCUGUGGGGCCGAAAAUAGUUAAGGACAUUGAGAGCAUGAAUCUCAAUGAAUUGGCUGGUUCUGUCCAGAGGGUCUCCUUCAAGCUGGCUACUCUGGUGUCUUGUUACAAGAACAGGGCCACACGCCAUGAGAGGAGGCUUCAAGCUGAUAACCAGAACUUGAAGAAAAAAGCUGAGUAUGCCGACCAAUCCAAAGAAAAGCUGCUUGAUCUGCACAAGCAGAUCAUGGAUCUGGAAGAAAAGGUGGCCAUAGCUGAAUCCAACUCUACCAAGCUUGAGGGCGAGUUGGGUGAUUUGAAAUCUGACCUUCCGGCUACUCAAAAUGAGCGAGAUACCUUGAAGACGGCCCUCGAGGGGGAAAUCAAGUCUCUGAAUGAACAGUUAGCCGACCAGAAAGGUAAAAUCUACUGAUGUGGACGAUCGGCUAGAUGCAGAGUAUAACUCUAGGCUCUCUUUUUGCUAUAAGUGCAUCAUGUCUGUGCUUAAGGAAGAAUAUCCAGAGCUUAACAUGAGCAAACUUGAAGCUGGAGUGCAGAAAUAUAUGGCCGAGGCCGACCAAUGGAAAAGGAGCAGGGUGAUUAGGAUCAGGUGGAGGCUCGCUUAGGUGAGGUGCAGGGGGAUGAAGCAGGGGAUCGUGCUCCUGAAGUAGGUCAAGGGUCAGUGCCUACUCCCCCCGAUGUUGCUGAUCCUCCUUUUCCUGAGAUUGCUGAUCCUUCGACUACGGAAGCGGCUGAACUUCAUAACCCUUAGGUUUAUCUUUGUAUAAAUUUCAGACUUUCAUCUGUUUUAUAAACAUUUGAGUGUAAAUUUUGGAUGCUUUCUGUUAGCUUUUUUAUUGUGGUUUUGCUUAUGGAUCGUUUCUGCAAAUUACCUUAAUAUAUUUAGUUGGUUUUGCAUGCUGGUCCUUUAAUCGACCGAGUAGGAAUGGGCACUUGUUUGCCAUAACCAAAUUUUUAGAUUUGCCUGCUGGUCCUUUAGGUAACCAAGCAGGAUCAGGCACUUGUUUUCCUUAAUAAAGUUAGUAGAUCUGCACGCUGGUCCUUUAGGCGACCGAGCAGGAUUAGGCACUUGCUUGCCUUUAUAGAACUUCGUGAAAUUGCCUGCUGCUCCUUAGGCGACCGAGCAGGAAUAGGCAUUUUCUUGCCUUAGUAAAAUUUUAUGAAAAUAUCUGCUGGUCCUUAGGCGACCGAGCAGGAAUAAGCACUUGCUUGCCUUAGUAAAAUUUCGUGAAAAUGUCUGCUGGUCCUUAGGCAACCGAGCAGGAAUAGGCACUUGUUUGCCUUAGUAAAAUUUCGUGAAAAUGCCUGCUGGUCCUUAGGCGACUGAGCGGGGAUAGGCACUUGCUUGCCUUAGUAAAAUUUCGUGAAAAUCUCUGCCGGUCCUUAGGCGACCGAGCGGGAAUAGGCACUUGCUUGCCUUAGUAAAAUUUCGUGAAAAUGCCUGCUGGUCCUUAGGCGACCGAGCAGGAAUAGGCACUUGCUUGCCUUAGUAAAAUUUCGUGAAAAUGUUUGUUGGUCCUUGGCGACUGAACAGGAAAAGGCACUUGCUUGCCUUAGUAAAAUUUAAUAAAUUUUGUUAGUAGGGGAAUUUCAUGCUGAAUUCAUCUUUAUUGAAACUUGCAUGGUUUACAGAAAUGUGAAAUAUGUGCCACAAGUCAUCAUGCAUUUAACAAAAAUAACUUAUCGACAUAAAUACUUGGUAAAGCCCUUGGUUUAUUGGAAGUACUUCUUCAAAUGUUCAAUGUUUCAUGACCUCUUCACAUCUCGUCCAUCUAGGUAAGCCAACUUGUAAGCUCCUGGUUCAGUCACUCGUACUACCCUGUAAGGGCCUUCCCAUUUCGGGCCGAGAGCGCCAUGGUUAAGGUCCUUAGUGUUUUGAUUCACCUUCCUAAGUACCCAAUCUCCUGCUCGGAGCUGCCUCACGCGUACGUUCUUGUUGUAAUAACGCAUGAUUCUUUGCUGACAUUGGGCCACUUUCUGCGGGGUCCCUUUCCUUUUCUCCUCUAGCAAGUCCAGGCUCAGACAGAUCUGCUCGUCGUUUUGCUCCUCGUUGAAGUAUUUUGUCCGAUGUGUCCCCACUCCAAUUUCUGUUGGGAUUACCGCCUCAUGACCAAAAGUUAAAGCAAACGGGAUUUCUUCCGUGGCAGUUUUGUGGGUUGUCUGGUAAGCCCAUAACACUCCUGGUAGCUCGUCGACCCAAGCUCCCUUCUUCUCUCUGAGCCUGGUUUUUAAGAGUUUCUUUAUUACUUUGUUGGCUGCUUCCACUUGUCCGUUUGCCUGGGGGUGUGCUGAGGUGCAGAACUUCAAGUCUACCCCUAAGUUUUGGCAAAAUUUUCUGAAGUUAUUGUUGUCAAACUGCCUCCCAUUGUCUGUAAUGAUGGCACAGGGGAUCCCGUAUCUACAGAUGAUAUUCUUCCAAAUAAAAUCCAUCGUCUUUCUCUCCGUGAUUUGACUGAGGACUCCUACUUCUACCCACUUGGUGAAAUAGUCUAUAACCACAAUUGCAUGUGUUGCCGCUCCUCGGCCCUUAGGUAAUGGGCCAAUCAGGUCAAUUCCCCACUGGGCAAAAGGCCAUGGGGAUGACAUAGUGGUUAGCUUUUUUGGGGGCUGAGCAGGAGCCUCCGAGAAGCUCUGGCAGAUUUUACAAUUCUUUGCCAUCCUUUUCGCAUCCUGGUGCAUGGUCGGCUAGAAGUNNNNNNNNNNNNNNNNNNNNNNNNNNNNNNNNNNNNNNNNNNNNNNNNNNNNNNNNNNNNNNNNNNNNNNNNNNNNNNNNNNNNNNNNNNNNNNNNNNNNUCCUGGAUGCUCACCCGCAUCAUUUCUGCUUCCUCUCCUAUGCUGGGCGAGGUCCUCACUUCCAGUGGAACUGACUUGGGUAACUUUGGGUCGGUAACUACGGCCAUUCUGGCCAACAUGUCUGCUCGGUAAUUCUCGUCCCGAGAUAUCUGUUUUAUCUCUACUUCUUGGAAAAGCCCGACCAUCUGCUUCGCCUUCUUCAAAUAAAGCCCCAUCUUUUCUUCCUUUGCUUGAAAUUAAUCACUGACCUGAUUACAUACUAAUUGGGAAUCUGCUCGAAUCACCACCUUUUCUGCUCGCAGUGCAUGCGCGAUCCCGAGCCCAAUGAUGAAGGCUUCGUACUCAAGUUGGUUGUUCGUGAGCUGAAAUUCAAACUUCACAGCAUAGGAUAUCUCGAUCCCUUCUGGACUUCGUAUUACAAUUCCUACUUCGGAUCCUUGUUCACUACGUGACCCAUCAACUAUUACCAUCCAUACUCCCUUUGGAUUCUCCUGUUCCACUAGUUGCUCCUCCUGAACUUCUUCCCCUGAUUCUACACUGUCAACCAUAAAAUCGGCCAGAGCUUGGGCUUUGAUUGCUCCUCGGGGCCUAUAGGAUAGGUCGAAUUCACUCAGCUCUACGGACUAUUUUACUAAUCGGCUAGAUGCAUCUGGUUUUUAGAGCACUUGUUGAAGAGGUUAGUUAGUCAUCACAACUAUCGGGUGUGCCUGAAAAUAUGGUCGGAGUUUGCGUGCUGUCGUUAUUAGAGCUAGUGCCCAUUUCUCCAUCAGUGGAUACCUUGUUUCCGCAUCUACCAGGGCCUUGCUAGUGUAGUAUACGGGGUGUUGCUUUUCUUCUUCUUCUCUGACUAAUACCGAGCUGGUAGCCCAUUUUGAGAUUGCUAAGUACAAAAACAGCUGACCACCUUCUCUCAGAGUUGAUAGUAAUGGGGUGCGGGCCAGAUAUUCCUUCAGCUGCUCGAAUGCCUUUUCACAUUCUUAUGUCCACUCCAUCUUUCUCCCUUUCUUUAUGGUUUGGAAGAAAGAGUGGCAAUUAUUUGUGGCCCGCGAGAUGAAUCGGUUCAAUGCUGCCAAUUUCCCUAUAAGGCUCUGCACUUCCUUGACUGUUCGUGGGGACCUCAUUUCUGUUAUCCCCCGUAUCUUUUUCGGGUUGGUCUCGAUCCCUCGAUGGCUCACUAAGAAUCCCAAAAAUUUACUCGAGCUGACCCCAAAUACACAUUUCUCCGGGUUCAGUUUAAUUUCAUACUUCCUCAGCAAUUCAAAGGUCUCUUCCAAGUGCUUCACAUGAUCCCUUGGUUCUUUAGACUUUGUGAUCAUAUCGUCCACAUAUACCUCCAUAGUGUGACCGAUUAAUGGCUUGAAGAUCUUGUUCACUAACAUUUGAUAGGUAGCUCCUGCAUUUUUUAGGCCAAAAUAUAUUACCCUGUAGCAAAACAAACCCAUGUUAGUUAUAAAGGUGAUGCUUUCCUCAUCCUACUCGUCCAUGGGUAUCUGAUUAUAUCCCGAAAAGGCAUCCAUGAAGCUGAGCAUACUGUGACCCGCUGUUAAGUCUACCAGUUGAUCUAUUUUUGGUAGGGGAAAACUGUCCUUCGGGCAUGCCUUAUUAAGGUCUGUGAAAUCUACACACAUUCUCUAUUUCCCAUUUGCCUUCUUUACUAGUACUACAUUGGAAAUCCACUCCGGGUACUUAGCCUCCCUUAUAAAUCCUACUUUCAACAGCUUUUCCACCUCGGCAUUUAUGGCCUUGUACCUUUCUUGGUUAAAGCACCUCCUUUUCUGCCUCACCGGCCUUACCCCUUUCUUGAUUGCCAACUUGUGGCAAGCUAUCCCGCGAUCAAUUCCUGGCAUAUCCUUAUGAGACCAGACGAAUAUAUCUGCAUGGGACUGUAGACACUUCACCAGCUUGCCUUUUAUUGUCUCGUUCAAUCCUGAUCCGACCCGAUCUUAACCACUCUGCUCGGGUUACCCUUGCUCAUAAAGACCUCCUCCAGUUUCUCAACAGGUUCCUGGCGACCCUUUUUAGAAUCUCCUCGGUUAUCUAAAGAGGUAACCUAUAGUGUCUCCUUGGCCGCUGUAGCAUAACAACUCCUCGCCAUUCUCUGGUCACCUUUUACUACGCCAACAACUCCGUUUACUCUGUACUUCAAAUGCUAGAUAAUGCGUGGAUAUAACAUAUUGGCUUAUCCUCAUGAAAGGUUGUCUCAGUAUCAUCUGGUAAAGGCUUCUUUCUUCUACCACGACAAAGUCUAACAUCACUGUUCUUUCAAACAGCUUCGACCCUACAGUAAUUGGGAGCUCGAUGAUCCUCAUGGGGGUUAACCAUCCUCCUCCAAACUCCUUCAAGGAUGUAUUUGUCCGCUCCAGUUUCAAGUCUGAGAUUCCCAUAUCAUUUAGGGCUGACUUAAACAAUAUAUCAACCGAGCUGCCCGUGUCCACCAGUAUUCGCCGUAAUUCUGUACUAGACACCAUUGCCUUAAUCACCAGUGCAUCCUCAUGAGGAUAUGAAAUACCCUCUUCGUCAUUAUCUGUCCACAUAAUGGGGACUUGUCUUACUUUCGCCCUCUUGGCUGCUGGCAAAUUGAAAAACACCUCUUUGUUGGUCAUGGCGUAUCUCUCAUAGUUCUUCCGUGCCCUGUUCGAAUCCCCAACCAAUGUUGGCCCUCCUACUAUCACACGGAUAGUUGGCUGUUCACGUUCUAGACUCCUCUCCACUCCUUCAUCCCGCGUAUACUGCAAUUCAAGGACGGGGGUCACUCCAUCUACAUAUUCAUCCAGGUACCGGUUCCUCACUAAAUCUUUCACCUGAAUCUUUAGGUCAUGACACUGGCUGAUAGUGUGACCAUGAGUGUCGUGGAAUUUGUAGAAUCUACUUUUGUCACGUCGGUGAGCAGGUUUCGUUAUAGGGGCUGGAGGAUACAGCAGCCUCGUCCCUCGAUCCUCUCGUACAACUCCUCCAUAGGAACUUUUAACGGGGUGUACUGCCUAUAUGCCAAGCUCUGGUCAAUCAACUGGACUGCUCGGCUAUCGUUGAUAUCGUCCCGAGCUGAUAUUGUAGGUAGCUGACCUGGUUGUCCAGCUCUAGAGUUGGCUGUAUGUAUUGCCCUUGGAGCGUUGUGAUAAGGAUGGGCAGCCAACUGUCGAAAUUCUUGUUGCCGCUCCGGGAAUGGGGGGGCGGAGGCUGAGCUCGGCUGUGUUGGAGCUGUUGCGGUCUCUGAGCCAUGAGGUAAUGGCGAGACCGAUCUGAUAUUGCCCUCAUCCCUGAGGAUUCUCUAGCUCGCUUUCCCGACCCGCUUCUGCUCGGGGUUCUCCUUUCCUUUCGUCUCAACUCCUCUAGCUGUUCACUUUUUAUCCUCGUCGGUUUUUCCUUUUCGAUUUCUAUCUCUCCUCGCCUGAUCAUACUCUCCGAAUAAUUCUGCACUAGGGGACUUCUCAAGUUAUACCACAAUUGGCCUAUCCUCACGCCCUCUUUUAACCCCCUCAAUGUAUGCGGGUAAUUGAAAGCUCCCAAAUCAAGCACGGCUUGGUGGUAUCGUUUUACAAAAUCGCGAAGGGAUUCAUGUUCCUCUUGCUUCAUCCCUAUUAGUUCCAUCAUAUCGUCCUCUGGGGCCACUGCUCCUCGGAACUGCUCAGCCAACUCUUGGCACAUCUGCUCGUAUACUUUUAUACUUCCUCGUGACAGCUUGCGGUACCAUUCUCGGGCUCGCCCCUCUAGUGUCAAUGGGAACACCCUGCAUCUCUGAGCUGGUGUUAGCCCCUGCACACCCGUCAUGUCGUUGAAACGUUCAAUAUUCACCAGCGGGUCACUUCGCCCGGAGUAUUUAAGGUCGGGGAAGCGGAAAUCUCUUGGGAUUACAGUACCCAUGAUCUCCGCUGACAACGGAGAUUCUUCAUCUAGCAUUAUCCUCUAGCCCUGAAUCUCGUCCAUCACCUGCACUAAUUUACGCACCUCACCCUCCAAUUUUACAAUACGGUCAGGAUCGCGUGCAGCUAUUUGAUCUCGCUCCUGCUCAGUAUUCUGCAACCACUGUCUGAGCUCUCUUUCAUCAAUAUUGGCUCCUCGGCCAUCAAUUUCUAGCACUCGUCUGGAGCGAGGUUGGUCCCUUCCUUCGUCUACGCACUCCCCUGGAAUCUGACAAGUACUUCUAUGGGGAUGUGUCCCAUAGGGUUGAUCUACCGGUGGAGGGAUUUCCUCGACUCUGCGCCUCCGGAGGCUAGGUUCUGUCACAACUUCAUCUCUUCCCACGGGGGUUUCAUAGUCCCUUCUCUGUUCAUCCCUCAGCUCAUGCAAUAUGGCCGUGAGAGUCUCCAUUUGUUUCUCCAUCUAUUCCAACCGAUCUUGCAUCAUCCUCUCUCGAGCUUCAUUCGCAAUCUCCCGGAGAGUGAUUGUCUCAAUAGUUUCAUUGUCCUCCCCUAAGGCACCAUUUCUUGAAACAUCCAUAACCAACUAUUCGUGCGCUUCCUCUGAUGCCUAUUUGUUUGGUGGUAGCUUUUAUCCAGAUCCCCACAGACGGCGCCAAAAUGUUGAUGCUGAAAUCUGCUCGCCCUAUACCCGAUCAGAUUUUUCCACCAACGCUUAUAUACUUAAUGGAAACGAUGUCACAUUCUCCUUGCCUUAAAGAUCGCUUACGUCACUGGAUUGGAAUCACCUUUUUUUUUUAUCUUGCCCAGCCUGUGUUCACCAAAAAUGGAUUAAAGAUGCCGGUGGUUUUGCCAGCGUAAACCCUCCGAUGCCUAAGUUAGCACAAGGUGUUUAUGGGAAAACACUUCAAUUUAGAUUUUGGAAUGGCUUACGAUUCACUCUAAGCUUAUGCAGAAAAAUAGUCUAAUUUUAAUUUGGCAGAGUUUCCCCCCUCUCUCAGUUUUUUUAUCCCCUUCUUCAUUGAUUUCUUCCUCUUUUAUAGCCGUUGUCCCACGUUUCUGUUCACCUUUCAUCCCCCCUUUCUCGGGUAGUGGCAGCCCCUCAUGGGACUCUAACUGCUACAUUGUGGGCAAGCGUAAGACACCGUAUCUCCCUCAACGGUUCUGGGAGAAGCGCAACUGUCGUGAUUUUGUGAGAUCGUGUUCCCGCUCUUUGGGGAAUGGAUAUCUGCUCGGUUUAUGUCUCUGGUCGGCCCAUGUUUGUAGAAGGUUCAUUAUCAGCGUUCUGCUCGUACCAUUCAGCUGAGGUGAUCCACCCCGGGGUGGGGAUGAUGGCAUGGCUGAGCUGGUGCUCUUAUUUACUUAACAUUAAGUAUUUUUGGUUGUUUGAAAUAAUCAUAUCAUGAAUACAAUUGAAUUUGAAUUUAAGCUUUUCAUGUCAUCAUCGAGUUUUAUGUUCCUAGUUUACAGGAAUUUGUAUUCAGUGCUGAGCUGAGGUUUUUGUUAAUCUUUCAGAAAGAUAAGAAUAUAAAAUUAAUUAAAUAUUCACCUUAAAUUAUUAUCCAUGUAUGUGUGGUAGAUGUUUACGAAGAGAUGAGCACAGUUAAGCUCAGUACUGGAUCUAAAUCCAGCUUACAGGAUUUCUUGCCUGCCAGGAGCAUUAUAUGAAUACUCGACUUAUUGUUUGACUCAAUUUACUACUCGACUUGGCUUUCUUGACCAACUUAAAUUCGUCUGAGUAUUCUCGAUUUAAGCUGAAUAUUUUUUGUCUCGUAUCUAUUUGUCUUUGCUCACCCCUUAAGGGUAUAUCUAUGUAAAGUGACUUAAUUGGGGUAUAUUGUUGGUAUAUUUUAUUUUUUAAAAUCCUGGGCCCUAGGAAGCCCUUUCUUAUCAUUGAAACUAGACCUUGGCUAAAUAAAUUAUUGGUUUAUUUAAAGGAUUGGGGUAUAUUUUUAUAUAAAACCAAACUGAAUUGUGAAUGCCACUGCACGUUUUUACUGCCUUAUAGCCUAAAUUGCUUAUUCCUUCUGAUUGCAUGAUUUGUGAAGAAUUUUUUUUUUUAACUUAACUUCAAUUAUUUUCUCUGUUUUAUUUGAAACCUAACCGAAAAGAAUAUCUACCUCUUUUUAUUAUUUUUUUCAGUUCUCCAGGUAACUUAAUCGGUCAUGCUUCUACUUUGAAGAGUAACCGAGUACGGAUAAUUUACUUGAGUUUCCAGCUGAUGGCAAUACUGAAUCCUUCAAGGAUAUGGCAAGAGAAAUAUUUGAGAGCUUAUUAACAGUACAGGCCAGGAACACGAUCCUGCAUAGCAACAUCAUAUGCCAAUGAACAGAAAAUGUGUCAAUCAAGUUCGUAGGGGAAAUACUUGAGAUAUGCCCAUCACUACAAACACAAGUUAAUGGCAAAGGUGAUACUCCACUUCACGUUGCGGCAAAAUUCGGCCAUUUUAAUAUAGCGAAUGUUUUUAUGAAAAGAGCAAAAUUAGCUCAACAUGAAGAUGAAGAGCUAGAGAGCGGGUUAGGAGCUGCCAGGCAGAUGAUUAGGAUGACGAAUGAAAAGAAGAAUACUGCACUGCAGUCUGCACGAGGCAGUGUUUCAUGGCAAAGUGGAUGUGUUGAAAAUACUGACGAGAUAAGAACCUGAUUAUCCAUAUUCUGCAAAUAAUUGCGGCAAAAUGCCACUCCACAUGGCUGCUGAUUAUGAGCGCUUUUCUCAUAAGAUGCUAGCCUUUUUAGAAAACUGCACAUCAAUGUCCCAUGAAGGCCCCUACGGAAGGACAGCUUUACGUGCUGCAGUAAUGCAGUUGGAUUUCCGUAAGUUUAAUUAUACCCUUUCAGUGCGAAUUUGAAUAUUCAGAUCUUUUCAUACAGGUUUUGUUCAUGCUCUUUCAUGCCCAGGGGUCUGACAGAAUGAUUCUCAAGUAAUUACAUUUAGUUGGUCACCAAAUUUAAAUCCUGAGAGGCUGGAUAAACAUUCAAUUUGAGUUAUAAUUUUAUUUAUCUUUUGGCUCAUUACACUCAGAAAUGGAUUAUCAUGCGAUGCAACAAUUAUUUGAAAAAAAGGAAGAGUCUGAUCAAAGAAACAGACCAUUAUAGGUGGACUCCAAUUCAUUACGCUGCAUAUCGAAAUCAAUAUCAAUAGAUACAUGUGCUAUUAGAAAUUGAUCAAACUGCUUCAAACAUUACUGAACAAAGAUCCAAAGAUGACAGCGCUUCAUUUGGCAAUGGGCCGAGGGCAUGGCAGAACAGUUGAAAGAAUUCUUUCCCUUGCACCAGAAUGUUAUGAACUGGUCGAUAACAGGGGAUGGAACUUUUUUCAUUAUGCAAUAGUCAUUUUUUUUUUUUUAAUGAUUUCAAAACUCUACUAAAAUAUCCGUUAGCGAGGAGUCUUAUAAACGAGGGGGAUGCCAAUGAGAACUCUAUAUGAUUAGGAAGACUCGAACUAACUAUCACACUGUCAAUAGGCAAAAUGUUAGUGUUAGACACAUUUUGAAAUAUGGCUAUCCUAUCCUAAGCUCAAGGUAAUUAAUUUGUUAAUUCUUUCAACUUAUAAAUCCAGCUUUCUUUUUCAUUACUUUAUUAUAAUUUUUUUUUAGUUUAUGCAAUUAAUUCAUAUUCAAAUUCAAUUUACAGGAGGAAGAAUUUGUCCAAAGAUGUUGGCAGAGGACAAUAUCAAGAUGGUGCUAUAUUCAUGACGACAGUGCUAAAUUGCUAAGACCAGAUCCAAAUGCAGUGGCACGUGGGGUAGUGGCUCGACCGGGUUAGCCCAAAAAAAAAUCAAUAUCCCUUAAAUUUUAUGGUAUUUUUAUUUUUAAAUCUUUUUCUUUCGUGUCCUUAAAUCAAUCUUUAUUAAAAUAACUUAAAUAUAUUUAUAGUUAAGUUAUUCCGGUUUGGAUCCUUUAAAAUUCAAUAUUAAAAUAGUAAUUUGUCUUUUUACCUACUUUCUUUUGAGCAAGUUUCUUGAUGUUGCAAUAUCUUUUGAAUUUUUUUUUUUUUGGUUACGUUCACACAGAUAAAUACAAUAAAUUCAUAAAUUCAUAAUCUAACCUUGCCUGGUCAAAAUUCCUAGGUUCGCCCCUAUCUAGAUGAAUUACAAAAAGAUUAUCUUGACGAUCCUAAAUAUGAUUACAAAGAUAUGACAGCGUCCGAUGUUGUAGUAUAGUGAAAAUUACCCUUUAGGACAAUGCUUUUUACCCGCCUUGAGGAAUUUUCUCUGAGUUCGUAUUUGUUGGUCCGAUAACAAAUUCUUCGUUGUAGGAAGCAACUAUUUGGUUUCCGGCUGCAGCCACAAGGUUAUGAUUGUAACUUUCUUUUAAAAAAUAACAAAGAAUUCUGUUGUCAAGCUAUUGUUCAUCACUGUUGAGUUUUUAUGGGUGUUGUUGUUCAGGCUAAGCUGGUCUUUCAAAAAAGUUAUUUUGUCUCAUAUUUCCAACGUAAAUGGCCCAACAAAUUUGUGCCUUUCUAUAUAUUUAUUAAUAUGAAUACGCUUCAUAAUUGUGAGACUUAUUUUUUUGUAUCAGUUGAUACGUUAAAAAAAUUAGGGAAAAGGACUAACACACCACCAAUGUUUAGGUAAAGGGACAAAAAUUUCUCAAACAUUUCGUAAAAGACAUUUACACCCUCAUUCACUAAUGGAAACAAUUACUUUUAAUGGAAAUAGAAAUUUUAAUAUAUAAUUACCAGUAUACCCUUCUAGCACAUAAAAAAAUUAUUAAUUGUCCAAUUUGUCUAUAUAUUAUUAAAAAAAUUACAAAUAUACUUUCAUUACCCAAUUCCUCUCUUCAAAUUUUUAUCAAAUUCUCUCUUCAAGACAAAUAAAUUUAAUCUAUUAUCAAUUUUUAUGUCUAUUGGAUAUGUUACUUAAUACAAUUAAGAUAAGAUUUUUGUAAUUAUUGUUGUAACCAACCUUUUUUUUAUUUUGUUGAUUAUACAAGUUUAAAUGAUUGACAUGUAGAGAAUUGUUAUUCUUAUGGCAUUAAUAACUAAUUUUAUUUAUUUUAUCAAUUCUUAUGUCUAUAGGAUACGUUAUUUAAUACAAUUAAGAUAAGAUUUUUGUAAUUAUUGUUGUAACCAGUUUUUUUUUAUUUUGUUGAUUAUACAAGUUUAAAUGAUUGACAUGUAGAGAAUUGUUAUUCGUAUGGCAUUAAUAACUAAUUUUAUUUAUUUAUAUUCUUGAGUAAUAGAUUAAAUUUAAUUGGUUUAAAGAGAGAAUUUGAUAAAAAUUUAAAUAGAGGAAUUGGGCAAUGGGGGUAUAUUUAUAAUUUUAUUAACAAUAUAUGGAUAAAUUGGACAAUUAACAAUUAUUUUUUUUAUGUGCUAGAAGGGUAUAACGGUAAUUAUAUAUUAAAAUUAUUAUUUCCGUUAAAAGUUAUUGUUUCUGUCAGUAAAUGAGGGUGUAAAUAUCUUUUUUCGAAAUGUUAGGAGGUUUUUGUCCCUUUGUCUAAACGUUGGGGGUGUGUUUGUCCUUUUCCCAAAAAAUUAACUUGAGAAAAAGAAGAUUUAACAUUUUUUUUCAGGUCAAGGCAGCUGCUUCUCGAAAAAAUACUGUCACUGAUUUCUUAGGCUUCUCCGAAGGCUCUUUUCCUUUUGUUUAUCCUGGAGCUCCAAUUUUCAAGGGUUGUAUUUUGUCCGUUGUCAGGCGAGUGGAGCUAGUUAAUACUCGACCCUAGGGAUUGAGUUAGUAAUUUUUUUCCCCAUUGAAAAAACUUCAUCGUUUUGCCUUUGUUUUUCUCAGCGGUCUGUCACCCCAUGAUUGAUUUAGCAUUUCUCUUGCCAAUUAAAAGAGUAAACAAACGUUAACUAAAAAAAUGUCGAGUGCAAAAAGUCAACAGAUAGAUGCACAAAAACUCUGUUCUCCUCCACAUAAAAGUGUAGCAUUUAGAUAAUAAAGUUACUGUACUCAAGUCAUUGUUCAACGCCAUUGUGUACAGUUGUUCUGGCUGAUUUAGGCUUUUAAUGAAACUAUAUUGACUGAUAUUUCUAACAAAUGGACCAUGAUUUCAAUGUUAAAAUGCUAAACCUUUUAAGGGUAUGGGAAGAGAUGUAACUUUGAACUCGAGGCCUCAGUGGACUUAAGAGUGAUUGUGUAAAUACAUUUUGUAUAAACUAAACAAUUGUAACACUUUGAAGUUGUCGGAUGGGAACUGCAUAAUAAGAUUGUUCCAUUGGAACCAUUGUGAUACUCGUGUAAAUCAAUUAAAGGUUCAUGGAAGAAUAACGACAUAUGUUAAACUAAGGUAAAGAAUCUCCAUAUACAUAAAUAACAGUUAAUUAAUUAAAAAAAGGUAAAGAAUCUCCAUAUAUAUAAAUAAUAGUUAAUUAAUUAAUAAAUCACUUAGGGUGUGUUUAGUACAUUGUAUUGUAUUAUGUUGUAUUUCAUUAUUUUAAUAUUGGUGUAUUAUAUUAUGUUGUAUUGUAUUAGUACCGUAUUAUAAUAAUGUUGUACAAUGUUUGGUGCCACAUUGUACUGUAUUUAUUUUUUGUGAUUAAUUUAAAUUAAAUAUUACAUUAUACUAAUAUUUUAUAUUAUAUUAAUAUAUUUAAAUUGUUUUAAUAUUUUAUAUUAUUAUUUAUAUUAUUAUUUAUAUUAUUAUUAAUUUUAAAUUAAUAUUAUUCAUAUUUAUUCAUAUUUAAAUAUUUAUUAUUAGUUAUAAUAAAUUAUAUAUUUAUUAAUUUAUAUUAAUAAUUAUAAUGUAAAAAUAAAAAUAAAAAUUAUAUAAUAUUGUAUUAAAUUAAAAAGUUGUUAUUAUAUUAUUAUUUUUAUUAUCAUUAUUAUAAAAUAAAAGCAAAAGUAAAAGUUAAAAAAAAAAGUUAAAAGCAAAAGUAAAAGCAAAAGAAACAAAAAAAAAGUAAGCUAAUGCACAGCCCUUUAACCCAUUCUCAUGUUUUUCCAAACAUAGCCUUAUCAUUAAUUUAAUGUAAACAGUAUUUUAAUAUCCCAUAAUACAAUGCACCAACGAUACUCUUAGAUAUUUUUCUGUCAAAUAAAACAUAUAAAUGUCGAUAAUUAGUACAUGAAUGACACAUUCCAUGUAGUAUCAUUUUAAGAAGUGAUUUAAUAAGUAACAAGAAGGCUAAGAGGCAACAUUGAAUCACUUUUCUUUUGUAGAAUUAAUGAAGUACUCAUAGAGUAUUCCCCUAUUAUUUUAUUGUUUGCAGUCAUUUGAGAGUCACUUGAUUCUUUACCCAACAAACAAAAAGAGCAGAACUGUAUAUGGAAUCCGAUCGAAAUGUGAUAAGGAAGGCUGCAGUAUUUAAAGAUUGAGGAUAUGGCUCUGCAGACUUUUUCAAUGUUAAGGACAAAACAAAAGAAGAAACCAUGGUCAACUUUAAUAAUUAAUUGGUAUAUAUAUUUUUUUGUCUGAGUUCUUAAAAAUAUUGCGCCACAGUUUAAUUAAUUAUUAAUUAAACAUACAAGCACACAAUUGAGAAAUUGAUUAGUUUGCCAACGAGAAUGACUAAUCUCAAUUUAUUUAUUUAUUUAACUAAAAGAGCAUGAGGAAGAAAUCAAGGUUAAAAAUGUUGAUUCUUGGCUUGUCAAAAGAGUAAGAAUUAAUGUCGAUACUUACCUUGUCAAAAAAGCAAGAAUUUAAGAAGUGUGAAAAAUACUACACUUUUCAAGUCAUAUAUACAUACAUGUCAGGUUUAGAAGAAGAUCUAUGAGUACCUCCGAGAUACUGGGUACCCUUAUCUAAUAGAUCAACUUCGCCAACAUGAAUCCUGUUUCCGUUGAGAUUGAGGAUGCUCCAUUAUUGGAUAGCAAUGGUGAAAUUAAGCAGCAAAUGGACCUAAAUUUUUUCAAAGCUGCAUCUGCGGGCAAUUCGGAACCGUUCAAAGACAUGGCAAGAGAUGUAAUUGAGAGCUUGUUAACAGCAAAGGCCAAAAACACAAUCCUGCAUAUCAACAUCAUAUCAUCAGAAAGAGAAAAUGUGUCAACGAAGUUCGUAGAAGAAAUACUUGAGAAAUGCCCAGUACUGCUGCUACAAGUUAAUGGUAAAGGCGAUACUCCACUUCACCUUGCAGCAAAAUUCGGCCAUUUUGAUAUAGUGAGAGUUCUUAUUGAAAGAGCAAAAUUAGCUCAACGUGGAGAUGAAGAACCAGAGAGCGGGGUUGAAGCUUUCAGGCAGAUGAUUAGGAUGGUGAAUAACGAGAAGAAUACAGCACUCCACGAGGCAGUGUCUCAUGGCAACGUGGACGUGGUGAAAAUACUGACAAGAGAAGACUCUGAUUAUCCAUAUUCUGCAAAUAAUUACGGCAAAACGCCACUCUACAUGGCUGCUGAGUAUGAGAACCGUUCUGAUAUGUUGCUUGGCCUUUUGGAAAACCGCACAUCAGCGUCCUUUGAUAUGGUGCUUGCCUUGUUAGAAAACAGCACAUCAGUAUCUCAUGAAGGCCCCAACGGAAAGACGGCUUUACAUACUGCAGCAAUGAAAUCUUAUGCCGGUAAGUUUAAUUAUACCCUUUCAGUGAAUUAUUAGAUUUAGUGAGUUAUUAAAUUAGCGAAUUAUUAAAUUUAGUGAAUUAUUAACUAAAUCUAAUUAUACCCUCAAAGAGAAUUAUUUAACUACUAUUCUCAAUUCCAGUUUUUCUCCUCACUCAUCAUGAAUCAAUCAUAAUUUCUGAAAAUCACAAUCAAUUAUAAUGAUAUCAGUAAGUAAACUUGUUUUUCAUAUAUGAAAAUACAUACUUGUUUACAUAUAAUGCAAAUGGAUAACAUGCCAGAGUCUUUUAAAAAUAUUGUAAAACAAAUUCAUUAAAAUUUCUUUUGCCAUGUUCAAACUUCACAUUUCCUUUUAAAUCACUUACUUCAAUUACCUUAAUUCAAUUACUAUUCAAUAGGACUCUACUUAAUAUUAAUAACUUUGAUUUUCGUGUAAACUUCCUUCACCCACUUAUCUCUUAAACAUUAUAUCUACAAUGUCCACUAAGGGAGUAAAGAAUUCAAGAAACUAAGCAAAAUCGAAAAACUUUCUUUCUUUCUUCAAAAUCAAUUUGCUCAAAUCCACUUUCUUAUUUUCCAAAAAACAUAGUGCAUAUUCAUGUUAAUACCAAUAAACUUUCACACAUACAUAUGUCUGUAUAUAAAUCAUAUUUGACACAUAACAACACAUCGCAUAAAUACAUAGAAAGACCAUAUAAAUCCAUACCCCGUACAUAUCAAAAUAAACUUUUGAAACACGUAAAAUAGAUACAUAUUUUUUAUUGUGAUUAAGUAACAAAAGUGUCUUACACCAUCGGCCUAAAACCAAUAAUAAAACGCUCAUGAGAUAUCAUCAUAUCCUCAUUCAUGAGUUACUAAAAUAUCCCAAAAUUUCUUUUCAAAAAAAAAAAUCCAAAAUUUUAAAUUACCAAAUUACCCUUAAAAAUUCUAAAUUACCAAAAUGCCCUCGCUGGUUAAUGACCGGAAUUCGAGCGGCAAUGAUCAAAUAAGUCAAAACAGGAACUUCAGCUCGCUCUGAAUCCAAAGGUGGCAGCGGUGUGCUCCGACGCGCAGCCAUGGUGCCCGAUCGAGUUUCGACAGCCGUGAAACUUCAACGGCUGAUCGGCGACAAAUCGGCUACUGUUGAUGGUCAGAAAUUGAAGUGACUGCCAUAAAGGACAAAUCCCAGGUGACGACAUGACCGAAAUCCGGUAAAAACUCGCCGAUUGAGUCGUCGUCCUCCAUGACUUAACACGGGUUCGUGGGGGUGGUCAUAGGCCGUUUUCCGGCAACAAUGAUGAUGGGGGAAUGACCGCGUCGUCUGGGAGCUCGGUUGAUACCCUCCAUCGCCGGAGAUGUGGCCGGAAUCGGAAGCACCGAUUCAGGUUUCGUGAACGGGUUGACCCGACUUGUUUCCUCUCUCCUCUGAGCCGAUCGCCACGUUCUCUCUCCCACUUAAUUCACUUAAUCCAGUUAAUGACUAAAUAUCCUUAGGAGAAUUAAUCUUUUUAUUAAUGACAAAAAUACUCUUAAUUUAUGAAGAAAUUAAGUGCUGUUAUGAAGGAAUUAAUUUUUUUACUGCGAAAUGCUCCUAAAAAAUUAAUCUUUAGAACUGUAAAUAUAGUGAAAAUUGGUCUUUUGGAUAACUAAGAUAGGGAAAGUUGGUUUUAGGAUAAUUAGAUUUACCAAAUUGGUCUUUAGAAUAGUGCUUCAAACGUGUCUUAGUGAAUUUUGCAAAAAUUGUUAUUUCUAGAUGCAAACUCAGGGAAAUGAUUGUAAGUUUUUAUUUUGUUAAAUAACAAAGUUACCGAUCUGAAGCCAUUAUUCAUCACUCAUCGUGUGAUUGGUGUUGGUGUUGUUGCUCUAGACUUCUGGCUUAUUUGGAAUUUGAAAAAGCUAUUUUUUUUUACUCAUAUUUCCAACAUAAAUAGCCCCCCAAAUUUAGGCCAUUUCUAAAUAUUUACUUUUAUUAAAAAUUUUCAUUAUUAUUUGAUUUAUCUUCUGUAUUCUUAGUUGAUACUGCAUUAUCAAAAUUACUUGAGAUAAAGAAGAAUCUGAUCAAAGAAACAGACCAAUACGGGUGAACUCCAAUUCAUUACGCUGCAUAUUAUGGAAAUUACGGGACGGUAAAUUUACUAUUAGAAACUGAUCAAUCCGCUUCGAACAUUGCUGACAAAGAUCGAAAGAUGACAGCUCUUCAUUUGGCAGCGGGCAAAGGGGAUGCCCGAACGGUUGAGCGAAUUAUUUCUGAAAAUCCAAAAUGUUACGAGCUGGUCGAUAACAGGGGAUGGAAUUUUCUCCAUUAUGCUAUGGUUAGUUUUCAUGUUGGACAACUAAGAAAUCUUCUUGAAAAUAAUCCGUUAGCGAGGAGUCUUAUAGAUGAGGGGAUGCCAAGGGAAACACUCCUCUCCAUGUGCUUGCUGCUGUCCGUCCAAAAGAAUUCCAUGGCGUUAUGAUUGGGAACACUCAAGCCAAUUAUGACGCUGUCAACAAACAAAAUGUUAGUGUCAGACACAUUUUUAAUUAUGGCUAUCCUGAGCUCAAGGUAAUUAUUUAAUUUGCUCUUUCAACUAAAUUAUUAAAUUUUUUUUUACGCAAUUAAUUAAUAUUCAAAUGUAAAUUAAUUACAGGAAGAAAUCCAAAAAUUAUCCAAAGAUGUUGGCAGAGGACAAUAUUCAGAUGGUGUUAUAUUCAUAAGAGAAGUGCAAAAGUAUGUUACUAAAGAAAAUUACAAGGACACAAGAGCAUCACAUUUGGUAGUGGCAGCACUCAUAGCAACAGUAGCAUUCGCAGCAGCUUUCACCAUUCCUGGCGGCUAUAGAAGCGAAAAUGGAACUGCAAUCCUGAGGAGAAAUAAAGCUUUUCAAUUAUUUAUGGUAGCAGAUUCCAUUGCCAUGGCCUUUUCUCUUUCUGCCGUCGUUACUCACUUCUGGUUGUCUUAUGUAACUGAAGAAACUAAAGAUUUCAAUGAGGAAUUGUUCCACGCUUCCAUUUGGUUCACCUUAUUGUCCAUGGCAGCAAUGGCGAUUGCAUUUGCUACGGGCACAUAUGCAAUGUUAGCCCCUUCUUUAGGCCUUGCUAUUAUCACUUGUUUAAUCGGCCUGAGCUUUUUCUUGCUUGCGAUUUGGAUCAUCAGAUUGUCUAAUACUGAGAAGGACAAUAGUAAUUGAUUAUAGUAAGUCACCAUCUUUGUUUAUCAAUAAAAUGAUUGAUUUUCAUUUUAAGAUAAACAUUAAUUAAUUUACUCAAUCUUUGCUAAUAAUAAUCAUUAUUUUAAUUGUACAUUGAUCACUGAUGUUUUAAUGAUAAUUAAAUUUGAGAUCCAGGCCGGUCUACUUUACUGUUAAUGAUUAGAUUGAAUUGGUGAGAGGAAGUCAAAAUCAAAUUUAAUAUUUCAAAUUGUUUGUACUUUCUUAUGUUGAUGGAAUAAAAUCUUAAUUACUUUGUCAAAAAAAUUGAAAAAAUUUAUCUCUUUGUAUAAUGCAUCAUUAGAAAUCUUUAAUUAGACGUGAGUAAAGAAAAUCCAUGAUGCGUGUUUAAGGGUGGUAUUGUAUAUAUAUAUAUAUAUAUAUAUUAGUUUUUUUAAUAAGUUAAGAUAUUGCCAUGAGAAUUUUACUAGUAUUUACAAUUAAAAAAUCUAUUGAAAUUAUUUUUGAUAGAUUUAGUAUGAUACAAUUUAAAUUUCUACUCUCACGUGAUACCAAAGUGAUAUUUGCUCAACUCAUAUUAUUAGAGGAGAAAUCUACUCCUAUCCAACUUAAUUGUAAGGGAAUUUGAGUCCAACAAUAGUUGGGACUCUAAGGUUGUACUAACGGGCUAAGAACAUAAGUACUUAUAUAAGUAAAUAAAAUUUUACCAUUCAAUAGGAUAAUGACACAUCAUUGUAAAGUCAAAUCCUAUAUCACUAAAAUGAGUUGAAUUAAGGCCGAGAAAGACCAAAAGGGAGGGACGUUACUUUGAAGGAAUUAUUGCAACCAUCGAAAACUAAUAAAUGAAAUGGUUGAGGCUUUGGAAGCUCAGGCACAUGAUGGGUCAGGUUCUGUUCAGCCCGUUCAAACUUGGAAAAGUUUAAUGAGCUUAGGCUUGAGCCUGGGCUUGUCCAAUCUCAGCCCAUUCUCCAUCCCUUUUUGGUCCCACCACUGAACAGAAAGGAAUCCCAACUCCGAAUUUAGCCUAAUCAUCUGCUCUCUGCUGAAUUCCACGGAAAUAUGUGUAAACCAAAAACGAAAUGGGAAAUUUACAGUAAUAACCAAAAAAAUUAUGCUUUUUUUCAUCUUAACCCCCCAAAAAUAUUUCUAUCAACAUUAGCCAUUAAACAACUUUUGAGACCAAAACACCCCUCCCUCAUCUCUCCCCCAACACUCCUUUUUUCUCAUCUCUCCCAAACCGAUCCAACUCCCAUCAUCGGCGGCGACAUCAACCCUCGUCGGCGGCAGCUCCAUCUCUCACCGGCAUCCGAUCUACAACCUUCAACAAAACCUAGGUUAGUCAUUUUUCUUAUUUUCAUUAAUUUAAAAUGAGAUUUUAGAAUAAUAAUAGUUAUAGCUUGAGAAUAAUGGUGGUGGUGUUUGUGGUGGUUGAUGGUGUUUUUGGGAGUAUUGUUUUUCGAUUUUGUUGUGGCUUAAUUUUGGGGAUGAAGAGGGAAGGGGGUAGGGUGCGCGCGCGCGCCCAUCGUUGGGCAGCAGCGCGCGCCCAUGCGCGCCCCACUGUCGCACCAAAUCUGGUGCGACAGCAAGCGCAUGUCGCACUAAAAAAUUAUAGUGUUUUUUUUAACGAGUAUUUUUUUUUUCUGUAAACGUAAUGUAAUAAUUUUAUAAAUAUUACAGAUACAUGGCAAAAUCAGAAUCACCGGAUAUUGAUGUAGGCAAGAUGUAUUUUAGUUAUGCCGAUCACUUUCCUGGUCGAAUUUCGAGCAUGUGUAAGUUAUCUUCGGUCAUAAAAGCCAUCGAGGAAAAAUUAACAAAGCGGCCGUUGACUAUGUUAAAAAAGGAUAUAUUUGGGCAUUUCUUGGAGUGUCGAAGUUUUCCAUUUAGUGGGGUAAUUUUGCACAAUCUUUUGCUGAGGCAAGUGGCCCAUGAAGAAGAUAGCCGUGAGGAUCAGUUAUGGUUUCAAAUUGGUGAGCAUUUGAUUCGCUUGUCAAUUGUCGAAUGGUGCUUGGUUACUGGACUUUCAUUUGGUGUUGAUACCAAUCAAAAAAAUGAUGAAAUGGAGCAGAGGCUACGGAAUACGUAUUUUGGUGGUGUUCAUCGUAAGAUUAAUGUGAAGGAAUUCGAUGCAAUAUUUAACGAGUUGAAAUUCGAGGAAAUGGACGAUAUGGACGCAUUAAAGAUUGCGUUGUUUUAUUUUGCGGACCGAGUGCUAAAUGCAAGAAAAAAUCACUGUCAAAUCAAUUUCGAUUGGCUUGACCAAGUUGAUGAUAUACAGUACUUCCGAAAGCGUCCAUGGGGUCUGUUGUCGUGGGAAAUGAUUUACGAGAGUCUUGACAAUGCACUGUUCGAGAAAGACGAGAAAUUUAAGAAGACUCGGUUGAAAAAUCCAGAUCAUAACAUUGAAAAAUACAAUCUUUAUGGCUUUACGUCUGGGGUUCAGGUGCGUAUUUGUUUUUGUUUAUUAAUAAGUUUUAUAGUAUUAAAUAUUUGAUAUGUUGUUUUAUUUAAUUUUUCAAUUUGGUUGUUGUAGGCUUGGAUUUACGAAGCAAUCGGAGGGUUGCCAUCAACAUGGGUCGUCAAAACGAAGAAUAAGAUUCCCCGCAUGUUGCAAUGGAAGCCCAUGGCGUCUUCGAGAAUCAAUUUUACGGAGGUUUAUUCGUUCUUCAACGACGAAUCUCGUCUUGUAAGUAAUAUUUAUUACUUAUUUUUUUAACUUGACUAAAUUUAAGUUAUGUAUACUUACUUAAAAUUUUCAAUUUAAUUUAUUGCAGGGGGAUGUUUUACAAACUCUUGAGCCAAAUUCAAAGGAGAGUAGCAGAAAUUAUUGGGUCUCUGUGAAGGAUUACUUGCCAAGCAUCCCAGGCUAGGUUCUUAAGGUUGGCAUACUCUAAGUACUAAAAUUUUUUAAUUCGAAAUUUUUGACUUUUCAUUUAAUAAUUUUAAAUGAUACUUUAUACAGCACCAACCCUCAAUCAACGCGAUGCCGUCGGUUACAAGGCAAUCAGACGAGCAUGACGAUCAUGACGACAAACCAAACCCAAUACCAGAGCAGCGUCAUGACACUUAUGAGGAUGAGGUGGCUGUUGAUGACCACCAGCAGCGUCAUGACACUUAUGAGGCUGUUGAUGACCACCAGCAGCGUCAUGACACUUAUGAGGCUGUUGAUGACCACCAGCAACAAACAGACAACUCUGAUGACGCACGGGAUUCUGAGGUUAUAAAUAAUAUACGAUAUUGUUUCUUUAUAAAUUAUUAUUUUUUUUGUUAUUCUAAAGUUUUCUGUUUUUUCUUUUGUAAUAGUCGAGGACAAAGCAGUUUCAAGAUUACAUACAACGACGGCUGGAUAAGAUUGAUCGUAACGUGUACGAAAUAAAUUCAGAAUUAAAAGAUUUUAAAGAAACCGUUGUUGGCUUCAUCGACACAUUUUCUAAACGUCCAAAUAAGGAUUCUCCCACUGCACGCUCGUAUGCGGUGAGCAAAUUUAUAUUUAAUAAUUAUGUUCGUUUAACUUUUAAUUUGAUAGUUGUUUAAUAUGUUCUUCUCGGCGAAUGGACAGGCCCCGGAUGACUAUGGAGUGUAUACUGACGUGGGCAAUGAAAAUUUAUCUACGCCCACGUCAUUGUAUAGUUUCUACGGGGAUGUUAGUGGGGAGAGCGUGCAGGUGUACUCUGAGGUGCCUCCCGGCGUUAGUAAGUUCGGCCGCGCGUACAUACCGUCGUAUGUUUAUAACAGUCCUUACAUGAUUCCUCCAGUCAGGCGAAGACAGAACGUCCGGCCUUUGCCUCGACCCCAAAUCUUGGAGCAUGCGAUUGACAUGAGUACGACUGUGGAUAUAAAUCCACUGAGAGGGUUGGAGGACUCUAGUAUGUUUGCUGAGUUUGAUCGAUGGUUCACUGGUGAUAGCAGAGUCUGCCGGAGAGUCCAGCACCCGCGGUCAUUCUUUCAAAUAAUCUUGGGGACAGCUUCGAUGGGAUGGCUAGGCGAUGAGGUAUUUAUAUUUUCGUCGUGAUGUAUACUGUUGUGGAUUUGUGUAUAAAUUUUUUUUUUAAAUCGUAAUAUUUCUGUUUCUCUACAGCAUAUUCACGAGUAUCUCCGCUUGAUUAGCGAGAAACAACGGCAGUACCCAAAUGCCUUACUCCAACGUGUCACACAUACUGACACAUUUUUUUGGGUAACGUGCAUACAAAACGUAUAAAUACUAUUUAAUUUUGUUUUUAAUUAUUGCCUUUAAGUUUUGUUAAUGUAUGCAUUUCUUGGUUAUCUAUGUACUAGGUGUUCUUGAAUCAGUUAUGGAACAACGGGGAUUGUGCGGUCGAUUCAUUAGUAUUCGACGACCGCGUGAAUAGUUAUCUUUGUGGGCGACAGCACACAAUGUCCAAAUCAAUGACGGAUGUCGAUAUGGUAUGUAUUUUAUUGCAUUUUAUAUACAAGUUGUCGAUUUUUCUUAGUUGUUUUUCAAUUUCAUAUAUAACAAACAUGUUUUUUAAUUUUUAUAUACAGUUACUCAUCCCUGUUAACUUGGACGGCGAGCAUUGGGUACUGGCACGAGUAGACUUUCGGAAAAACAAAGUCUGGAUUUAUGACUCAUUACUCACAUGCCGCGACGACAAAACAUACAGAUUGAAAUUAAAGCCACUUGAAGUUAUUUUCCCUCGAUGGUUGGAAUAUGUUGGGUUCUACAACAUCCGACCUGAGUUGCAGAGUGCCGACCCCUGGAAAGUUAUCGCAGUUAGGAGCGCGCCACAACAGGAGCCCGGAACUGGCGAUUGCGGUGUUUUUGUAUUGAUGGUUACGAUGUAUUUAAUGUUCGGGCUUGGAUUGGAGUUUAACGCUAGUCAUGUCGAGUACUUUAGAAAGAAGAUUGCGGUUGACAUAUUUAAUGACGAUAUUGUAUUGUAAACCGUUGUAGUAAUUUGAAUGUUUAAACUUGAAUUUUUUUUUUAAUUUGCGCACUUACGUUUAUAUAAUUUUAAUGCUCACAUUUUAAUAUUUAAAAUAAAAUAAAGUUUUAUGAAAUAUAAGUGUACAAUACACAAAACACAAUAACAUCUAACUUCGAGUCGACGCAAUGGGAUUCUUACAUCGCUUACGAUUAUGGCCCAGUUCAUGACACCGCCCGCAUCUUACAGUCCGCCUGUUAACGUCCUCGCCAGCCGAGGGUAUUCUGAGCUCUUUACGACGGCCGAGUGGUGGUGCCUCAACUGGUGGGUAUACUUGCAUCUCUACCAUUUUAUCUGGAAUUUCCCAAUCAGCCACAUCACCAACUGGCUCUACUGGUUGUGCAUAAGCCAUCGCCAACGAUUCUGUAGUGUAAAAGUCCGAGCAUAGGUUAAUAAAAUCCACCCGGUGUGUUAGACACGCCGCAAUUGCAUGAGCACAUACAAGCUGGUCAAGCUGAAACACUCUGCAUGUGCAAGUUCUCUUUUGCAAGUCAACCAAACCUUCCUUAAGCCCACCGCCUACCACUUGAAAUCGAUGCUGAGACACCGGUCGAACUAUCAUUCUUUCAGCUAUAGUUCUCCUCUCAGUGACUAUUUUAUCCGCCCAUGUUGUUAGCCAAGUAGUCAUUGAUUCAGCCACAUUUUUUCUAUCAUAAAACCAUUGCUGCAUUGUUUUUCUAAAGUGAUCAACAAGAUGAGUAACAGGAAAUUUUUGAGGUUCCCGCAUGAAAGAAUUAACACUCUCCGCGAUGUUGGUGGUAAGUAUGCUGUACCUCCUACCUUCAAACUGAGACCUUGCCCAAUUACACGUACCGACAUUAUUUUCUAAGUAAUCAGCCGCACCCGAGUGGAUCAUCCACAACCCUUCAAGUUGUCUCUUAAAUUCCUCGUGGCCAUAUGCUUUUGCUGCAUUAAUAAAGGCAGGCUCAAAUUGAUCCCAAAGAGCUUUGGACAUUCUAAACUGAGACUUAAUGUUACCUUUGACGUGGUAAAAACAAACGCCAUGAGUUGCAUUGUGAAAUACUUUAAGAACGGCUCUCCUUAUGGCAGUGCAUCGAUCAGAGAUAAUUACCAACUCAGGUCUAUCGCCAAUCACUCCGUGUAACUUCAUCAUAAACCAUUCCCAAGCAUCAUUGUUUUCUGAAUCCAUGAUCCCAAUGGCUAACGGAUACAAUUGAUUGUUACCAUCAAGACAUUUUGCCACGAACAUGCUUCCACGAUAUAGUCCCUUCAGAUGAGUACCAUCUACAGCAAUGACAGGCCGAAUGUACUGCAUAAAACCCUUGAUGGAAGAUCCGAGUGCUACAAAAUAGUACAAGAAAUUACCAUCUCCAUCCUGCUCGAGGUGAGUGACUGUACCCUCAUUAGCUGUAGUUAGUACGUAAGAGUAUUUAGGGAGCAAGUUGUAUGACUCUGCAGGGUUGCCUCGAACUAUUUCAAGACCAACUUCUCUCGCCCGAUAUGCCUGCUGGUAUGUUAACUGAACACCGUAUUCAUGUUGCAUAUCUGCUCUUAUGUCAUUCGGAGUAUAAAUCCUCUUGUCUUGAAUAUAUUUUUCUGCGAUAAUAUGACCGACAACCCGGCUCCUUACUUGAUGACGUCCAUCAACCAAUACCUCAUUAUGACAAGUUUGUACAUUGUCAAUUCUCUUCACCACCCAAGGAACAUUUUGCUCGUUCGAACAUCUAGUUGCUCGAAUACGUCAUUUACAUGAUUCUGAACAACAGUGAGCCUCGAAACGUGUCGUAGUAGACCGUGCAAUCUUGAAAUCAAACUUAUCUCUAAAGGCAACCUUGCGUAGUUGUAAUAUAAACUCAUUCUUCUCAGCAAAUAGCUUACCCACACUGAUAUCAUCUGAAUCACAACUGCUAACAAAGCUUGGAGCAACCAUGUUCGAAGGCAAAGUUGGAGCAAGACUUGUAAGGGGGUCAAUUCGCCUUCUCGAUCGAACCAUAGAAGGACUAGGUCUAUUGCCUCUGUUAUUCACAGGAGUAUUGUCUUCACACUCAUCGUCGUGCUGAAACGACGGAACAUUCGAAGGACCGGCUCCUCCAUCAUCACCAUCAUUAUUGAAAUGAGUGCCCCUCGUAUUAUUAGAAGGUUCUGUACAAACAUUAUCCCCCUCUGUCUCAUGAUGAAAAUCAUCAUUGUCCCGAAAAUCAUUGUUGUGAUACGGAGAAUACCGUUGCUCCAACGACGUUGUUAUUGGAAAUACCGUUGCUCCAACAUCCUCUAACGUAACGCCGUUAUCAUCAAUGUUGUCAUAAUUGUCGUGGAUUGGAGAGUAAUAUUGCUGCAGCGAUAUUGUCCUUGGCAACACCUCUUCAUCAUUAUCGGGGCCAGACAUAUUUGCUCUAAACGAAGUUUCUGUAUCGACAUGUGCCUCAAUACCUUCGCUCGGAACUCGAGGUGAUGUGGUCACGAAUAUAGGAAUGCAUCCAAAAUUGGCUACGUCAGAUGCCAUAUGCAACACAACCCUCACCAUUUCAUCAUCAAAUAUAUCCAUGGGCAGUGCACAUAUACGAUAUAUUGUGUUACUAGACCUCAAAGUUGUCUUCACUGUAAUACUAUAUUCAUUAGGGUUUAUUUGUAACACCUCGUAUACUCUUGCCAAUAACUGAUCAAACAGACAAUUUUUCCCAACCAAAAAAGCUCGAUUUUUACCAUUCACAUACUCCAUACGGCCAUCCUCUAAUGUCUCCCACCAACCAUCGUAACACAAUUCAAGUACAACUGAAUCCAUUAAGCCUGAAAUUAUCAACAAAAAAAAUAAUUGGAUCCGGAUCAAAUUAAUACAGUUUUAAUGAAUCUCCAAGGCUUCGGGCGACAGGCAGCCUGUCGCACCAACUCUUUUUGCGACAGGCACCCUGUCGCACCAAGAGUUGGUGCGACAGGUGCCUGUCGCACCAAGCAAGGUGCGACAGGUGCCUGUCGCCCCUGUAGCUAGAAAUUUUUGGUGCGACAGGCAGCCUGUCGUCAGAUUCACCCACGACUCAGUUAAGCAAGUUCAGAAAAUAACACAUACCACUAAGUGAUGUCGAUUAGUGUUGGAUACGGAUAGAUUAUGAUCGGAUUUCACCUUUACUGUUGUCUUUCGCCGUUGACGUUGGUUGAUGAUUAAGCUGCGUUUGGUUUGACGAUAUGGGAGAAAGAUUGUUGCUUUUGGUCUGUAAAGAAGGGUAAUUUGGGGAGAAAGGCUUGUGUUUGGCUAAUGUUGAUAGAAAAAAGUUGAGAGGGUUAGUUGUGAAAAUAACAAAAUAUUUAUGGUUAUUUUCGUAAAUUUCCCAAACGAAAUCAAGUUUGGAUUCCUAAAGAUUGUGCAAAGCAAGCACAUGAGCUGCUCUAUGGCCCAAAAGGCGAUUUUUGGACCGUCAUAAAGCGGGCAAGGCAAAAUGCCAAUACUUAUCAUUAUACUUUUAGGUAAAGUCUCUAAAUCUCUCGACCUUAGUCGUGAGAUUUGAUCAAUUAAAAUUACAAUUUAGGUGAAGUUUCGAGAUAAUAUUAUAAUAGUUAUUUUUAAUUAAAAUUAAUUACUCUAAAAUAAACUACUAAAUAUAUGCUUUCAAAUUCAAUAUUCACAAAUUCAAAUGAAUUAGGUUGUAUGAUAUAUAUUACAGAGGACUCACUUCUAUAAACCAUUUAAUCUAUCAUAUAUAACGUCAACUGUACUUGUUUGGUUUGCUUAGCCAUCUACUUAUACAUACUAAUUUUAAUAGGAUAAUUUGAUAACUAAGUCUUUAAUGUUUAUCUAAGAUUAAACUACCUCAAAGACUUAGCCGAGUGAUUUUUAAAUAAUUUUACUUUAUUGAUUAUCUAAAUUCAAAUCCUAUGGUAUUGAUUUGGGUUGGCUGAGGUAGAUUCUUUUUAACAAGCACUAAUUAGAAAAAAAAUUAAUAUAUUUAUAUAGAUGACAACUAGUUUUGUAGGUAAAUUCAUUUGUAAAUAUCUUUAAUAAAUUUCAACAAGGUGUUCAAUGUGUGAGAGAUUUGAGAUGAAUUAGAAUGAAACUAAAAAAGAGAGUUUCUUUGAUAAUAUAUUCAUAGUGCGUUUAUUAACUAUGAAUCCUAAUAGGCAAGAAUCAUAAUGAGUUGGAAUCAAAUUGUAGAAGAAUAAAUUGUCUACUUCAAAUACAAGAAUCGAGAUCGAAAUCAACAGUAAUCUAAACUUAAUGUAUUUACUUUAUCUUAAAAUCAGAAUAGAUGGUUGUAAGUCACCAAAAUAGAGUAAAAAGAAAGUUUUAAUUUUCAAUAAAGAUAAACAAUUUUUACACUUUAUUCUCAUUUCUUCAUUCUUAUUCUCGCGUCUUCCAUCUAAAUGAAAUUCCUACUCAUUCCCAAAUUAUGAGACUCACUCAAAAUUUAUUUAUAUUUCUUUAUAUUUCUAGCAAGUAAAUAUUAUUAAUAAUUCUCAUUCCCCAUUUUUUUUCUAAAUCCCAAAAAUAAACAUAUUAAUUACAUUCAUUGCAUCAACAAAAUCAUGUGGUUGUCCUAAAAUUGAUCUAAGAACCCACAUUGAGAAUAUGUUUCCUUCUAGUUUUAUUUUAACUUUCAAAAGACACGACUCCGCUCCCGCAUAGGCUUGGCAAUUUAGUCCGACUCUAUUUUUGGCCCGAUUGACCCGACCCUAAUUUUUAGGGCUUUGACCCGAAUUUUUGAGGUUAGGGUCAAAAUUUUAAGGCCCGAACAAAUUUCGGGUCAGGGUCGGGUCGGCUUUAAGACAUGAGUUUGUUAUUUGUAUAAGAUAUUUUUUUUUAAUGUUGGGUUGUGGAACUAAAUUGUGUGUUUUUAUUUGUAUAAGACAUGAGUUUUUUAUUUUUUAUUUUUUAUGUUGAGUUGUUAAAUUAAAUUGUGUAUGGCUAAAAUGAUUGUGGAAUUACAUUGCGUGUUUUUAAUUUAAUUGCAUUGUGUAUUUUUCAUGUUGGAUUUUGGAAUUGAUUUGUGUGUAGGGUUGAAAUGGUUGUGGAAAGUGGAAUUGAAUUGUGUUUGAAAUGGUUGAGGAAUUGCCGAAUUGGUUAAAAUGUUGGUGAGAAAUGGGCGGGUUAACUAUUUCGGUAGGGUCAGGUUGGGCCCGACCCGAUGUUGACCCGAGCCCGACCCUAACUAAAUAGUGUUCGGGUUUUUUUAGGGUCGGGUUUCAAAUUUUUUUUUUAUUGGGUCAGGUAGGGCUUGGCCAAGCAUGAGCCCGACGCGACCUUUUGCCAUUCCUACUCCCGCAUUCAACCAAUGGCAAGUGGAUAGUUGAUGGGUUGUGAGGAAACCACUUUCGAUUUGGUGAUUGUCCCCCUUAUGACCACAAAAAAAAGGAAAGUGGCUGAAAAAGCAAACUACUCUUUUUUUAAAAAAAAAAAAAAAGAAUUUUGACCGUAGACUCUCUAGUUCCUACUCAUUACGAGUUAAAUUCUCUCGUUACUAGACAUGUCACAUGUAACUGUAAGUUGCAUCAGGGGACCUAUCUCCCUAGUCCCUAGCAAAUAACCAAAACGCACAACAAAAGAAAAGAAACAGAGAGGGGGAUUCAUGAAAUACUAAAAAUUACGGUCUAAUAAAUUUUAAUUAAUAUAUGUACCACAACUGCUAUAAACAAUAACAGAUAAAUUAAGAUUUUUUAUUAUAUAAUGAUUUUUUUAUCAUUCUAAUUUUGACUAAUAGACGAACUUAGGUGGCGUUUGUUUUUUAACUUAAUGACUUAAAGUGACUUAACUUAAUUAAUUAAGUUAAUUAGAGGUGUUUGUUUUUAUAACUUAAUGAGACUUUUUAGAUAAUUUUAAUUUAAUAAAAUAAGCUAUUUUUUUUUGGAUUUUUACUUAAUGGAGAAAUCUGAAUUAAGUCAAUUACUUGCUAAUGUCAAAAAUAUCUCUGUUUUAUAAUUUAGUUUUCAUGUCUAUCCCAAAACUCACCCAUAGACAUUUACCCUACAUAAAAAUAUCCAUGUUUCUUCUUUCUUAUAUUAUAUAAGAUAAAAUUUGAAAUUUAUGGUAUUUUAUAUAAUAAAGUUCCAAAAUAAUUAUGUAUUUACUUGAAUAUAGUUUUACUUAUAAAUGUUAAAAUAUUGUGGUAUUAAUAUAUUAUUUAUUUGAUAUUCAAAUUUAAUAAGGAUACAAAUGUAAAAGUACAUAUUUUCAACUUUUUAAGUUGAAAAAAACAAACAACUUAAUACUUAUUUUUCGAGAUUUAGACGAAAAAGCAAACAUAUUAUUUAGAUUCAGACAUUCAAAUCUAUUCAGAAUUCAGAUUAAUUCAGGUCUAUUCAGAUUUCAGACAAAAAAACAAACGCCACCUUAGUCGCUGUUUGUUUUUUUUACUUAAUAACUUAAUUGACUUAAUUUUAAUAAAUUGAGUUAUUAAUUCUGUUUGUUUUUUCAACUUAAUGUAGAUUUUCAGCAAUUAAGUUAUUAAGCAAAUUUUUUUAGUUUUUUACUUAAUCUAAAAAGUUUGAAUGCUAUCAUUAAAAGAUAUUAAAUAUCCCUAUCUAAUUAAUUAAUUUUCAUCAUUAACUAAAUAAAAUUUACUAAUUAGCAUUAUUACCCAUCUGUGCACAACUUCUGAUAAUAUAUAUAGUGGUAGCCUAUUAUUUUUUUAUUUUUUUAUUUUGUUUAAAUUAAUAUUAUUUAUCUUCAUAAUUUUAUAUGAAUAUUUUUCAUAUAAAAACAUCACAAACUAUAAUAAAAUUGAUUAACAUAUAUGAUAUAAAAUAUUAAAGAGUUGUACCCAAUUGAAUAUGAUUUAUGUUAUGAUAAUUUAUUAUCUUAUUUAUAUUCUUUGAGAUGUUUAUUAUUUGUAAGGGCAUAAAUGUAAAAAUAUUAGUUUUUAGAUAUUUUAAGUCAAAAAAGCAAACAACUUAAUAUUUAUUUCUAAUUACUCAGACAAAAAAAAAAACAAACAAUCAUGUUAUUCAUAUUCAGACAUUCAGCUCUAUUCAGAAUUCAAACUAAUUCAGAUUUUUAACCUUUAUACAACUUUGUAUUAUCAUUCAUAUUUUAAAUGAACAAUUUAUUAAAAUUAUAAAUAUAAUUAUUAUUAAUAAAAUAUCACUCCAUUGUUAGUCUAAUGAUCUUUUGUUCAUCAGAAAAUUACAAAGGAGUGGUUGUAAAUCCCCUAUCUUCAAAAAGGGCAAAAAAAAAAGUCCAAAUCAAUAUUAUACUACUUGUCCCAUUCAUAGAAUUAUUGCUUCUCUUGUUCUUCACUUCAAAAUUAAGCGUACUGUGCAUCCGAGAUACUAUUCACCCUUGCCUAAUGGAUCAACUUCGCCAACAUGAAUUCUGUUUCCAAUGAGAUUGAGGAAGCUUCAUUAUUGGACAACAAUGGCGAGAUCAGUCAGUCGCAAAUAGACCCAAAUUUGUUCAAAGCCACAGCUGCGGGCAAUUCGGAGCCCUUCAAAGAUAUGGCAAGAGAGGUAAUUAAGAGCAUGUUAACAGCAAGACCAAGAACACAAUCCUGCAUAUCAAUAUCAAAUUGCAAAAGACAGAAAAUGUGUCAACCAAGUUUGUAGGAGAAAUACUUGAGAUAUGCCCAUCGCUGGUACUGCAAGUUAAUGCCAAAGGCUAUUCUCGAUCACUUCUUGUUGUGGCAAAAUUCGGCCAUUGUGAUAUGGUGGGUGUUCUUAUUGAAAUAGCAAAAUUAGUUCAACACGAAGAUGAAGAGCUCGAAUGUGGGGUAGGAGCCUCCAGGCAGAUGAUUAGGAUGACGAAUGAAGAGAAGCAUACAGCUCUUCGCGGGGCAGUAUUUGAUAAAAAUGUCGAUGUGGUGAAAAUACUGACGUGAGAAGACCCUAAUUAUCCAUAUCUGCAAAUAAUUACAUCAAAAUGCCACUUUGCAUGGCUGCUGAGUAUGAGCACUCUUCUCAUAUGGUGGUUGCCAUUUUGAAAAACUGCACAUCAGUGUCCCAUAUAUGAAGGCCCCAAUAGAAAGACAUGCUUUACAUGCUGCUACAAUGCACAUUGAUUUAUGUAAGUUUAAUCAUACCCUUUCAGUAGGAAUUUCAAUAUUGAUAUCUUUUUUCUGCACGAACUUUGUUCAUUCUGUUUCCAAUAAUCUUGGAGUGUUGUUUUAAUUAAGUUUGCAGUUGGCACAAGGGAAUUAUAUUUAGUUGGACACUAGAGUUUAAAUUCGAGGUUGGAUGUUAAAAAUUUAAUUUGAGUUAUAAUUUUAUUCAUUUUUUGUCUUAGUACUCUCAAAAGAGAAUGAUCGUGCAAUUCAACAGUUAUUUGAAGGAAAGAAGAGUAUGAUCAAAGAAAUAGACCUGUGUGGGUAGACUCCAAUUCAUUACGCUGCAUAUCAUAGAAAUUACUUGAUACUUAAGCUAAUAUUAAAGAUUGAUCGAACUGUACCAAAGAUUGCUGACAAAGGUCGAAAGAUGAUGGCUCUUUAUUUGGCAGCGGGCCGAGGGGAUGCCAGAAUAGUGAGUUGAAGCAAUUAUUUCCAGAAAUCCAGAAUGUUAUGAACUGGUUGAUAACUGGGGAUGGAAUUUUCUUCAUUAUGCUCUGUUUAGUUUUGAAGUUGAAGAAUUAAGAAAUCUUGUAGAUAAUAUGUUAGCAAGUAGCUUUAUGAAUGAGGGGGAUGCCAAGGGGAACACUCUUGUCCAUUUUUUUGCUGCUGUCUAUCGAAAAGAAAUCUUUGACGAUUUAUCUGGAAGAGUAAAGGCAACUAUCAAGCCAUCAACAAGCAUAAUGUUAGCGUUGCAAAAUGUAGGACCAUAGCUAUCUUGAGCUCAAGGUGACUGCUGUGAAACUAAACUGUUACAAUCUAGUUUAUUUUGUUUGAAUUAGUCAAGAAUAAGUCAGUUUAUUUGAAUAAGUCAAGUCAAAGAUGAUUAGCCACGUUGUUAACCACUUCGCUGAUUUUUCUACUCAAAUUAUUCCUAGUUUUGCUCAUGGCAGUUGUACUGCACCUGUAUAUAAACAUUCUUUGUUUAUGAAUAAAAGGCCGCUAGCAAAUUACUUCACUCUUAACUGAGCAAUUGGAGGUGCUAACCCCUCGAAGAGUUAGCAAAUUGUGCUUGUGUCUUGUUUUUUCUUAAAUAAACAACUGUGUGAGUAACAUCUGGUAUCAGAGCUAGGCAUGGAGCUAUGGGAAAGGGUUGAGAAAUUAGAAAAAAACAUAGAGGAGAUUGUUGUUGGCCAGAAAGAACUUUUAUGCCAUGUCAUAGAGAGAUUGGAGAAGUUAAGUCAACAAGUUUCUGGCAAAAGCACUUAUGAAAUGGGAGAGAGUUCAGCUCAAACUCAAAGAAAUUUAGAGGGCAAUCCCCGCAUUCAUCACCAAUCAAGACCACUAGUUUAUUGAGCAGCAUCAUUCCAAAGACUGUCAAGCUUGAUUUUCCUCGUUAUGAUGGAAAUGAUGACCCUAACACUUGGGUAUGUAGAGCUGAAAAGUAUUUUUCCUCCACGACAUCGCAGAAUCAGACAAGGUGACACUAGUUUCAUUUUACUUGGAGGGCGAUGCUCAGCUAUGGUUUCAAAUGCUGGAGCAAGAAAUGCUUAAAAUCACCUGGAAGAUUUCAAGAAUGGGAUAUUUUCUCGAUUUGGCCUCAACCAAUUUGAAGACCAUUUUGGUGAAUUAAUUAAGCUACGGCAAACUGGCACGGUGGUGGAAUAUCAAGGCCAAUUCGAAAAACUGUUGGCAAAAGUUGGGCACUUAUCACAAGACCGAAACGUGAGCUGUUUUCUAACUGGGCUUCGAGAUAUAAUUCGAACUGAUGUGCAAGCUAAUAGGCCAACAACUUUAACCAUGGCCAUUAGGUUAGCAAGAUUAUUUGAAGCUCGUAAUUCAAAUCAAAAGAAACUUACUUCCCAAUCUUUAAGACCCAUAAAUUAAGUAAAAUUUCAAACUCGUGGUCAAGCGUCAUCGACGAUGGUUAAAAGGAUGACAUCUAAGGAACUAGCUGAAAGAAGAUGAAAAGGAUUAUGUUUUCACUGUAAUGACAAAUUUAGCCCUGGACAUGUCUGUAAAAAACUUUUUAUGAUCGAAGCUUGUUGGGAGGAAGUAGAUGGAGACGUGGUGAUGGAAGCUGAAGAGACAACUAAUGAACCUGAAAUUUCAUUCCAUGUGAUGGCUGGCUUUCAAUCGCCAACAACAAUGAGAAUCUGGGGAGGGCUCGAAGGGCACUCUGUGAUAGCUAUGGUCGACUCCGGCAGUACACAUAACUUCAUCAGUUCCGAAAUGGCUCAACGUGCAAAUCUCCAACCAACUACCUACGGCAGAAUGAAUGUAAUGGUAGCUUCAGGUGAAAGACUAAUCAGCCCAGGGAAGUGUUCACAGGUUCCAUUAAAAUUGCAAAAGUUAUUAUUUUCAAUAAACUUUUUCAUUUUACCUUUUCAAGGAUAUGACAUUGUUCUUGGUACUCAGUGGCUAAGAUCUUUAGGGCCUAUUCAAUGGGACUUUGAAAAACUACAGAUGAAGUUUGUUUGGGGAGGCAAAGAAGUAGUUUUAUGUGGGCUCACUAGUUCAUCUCAGAAGAUCAGUGAUAUUGUUCCUGCCACAAAAAUUACAAUAGGACAAAAAGGGGUUGUCGUUCAUAUUAUGCAGGGGGAAGAUGCGAAGGAUGAAAAAGACUUUAUUCCAACACCAGUUCAGCAACUUCUGCAAGGGUACCAGGAAGUAUUAAAUGAACCUAUUGGUCUCCCUCCUCGACGAAUUCACUAUCAUCGAAUUCUUCCUUUACCAGGACGAGGACCAGUUGCAGUAAGACCAUACAGGUAUCCUUAUUUUCAGAAGAAUGAGAUCGAGAAAAUUGUCAAAGACUCGAUGACUGCUGGAAUUAUUUGCCCUAGUACCAGCCCUUAUUCUUCUCCUGUCUUGUUGGUUAAAAAGCAUGAUGGUUCGUGGAGGAUGUGCGUCGACUACCGAGCGUUGAAUCAAAUUACAGUCAAAGACAAAUUCCCAAUUCUCGUGAUUGAUGAACUCUUCGAUGAAUUAGCAGGAGCUCAUUUUUUUUUAACAAAAUUGGAUUUACGCUCAGGCUACCAUCAAGUCAGAACGCACCCAGACGAUGUCGAGAAAACUGCAUUUCGAACACAUGAAGGCCAUUAUAAAUUUUUGGUAAUGCCGUUUGGGCUUACCAACACUCCAUCCACCUUCCAAGCACUUAUGAAUGAGGUAUUCCAAGAGUUAUAACGAAAAUUUGUACUUGUUUUUUUUAUGAUAUACUCAUUUAUAGUAAGGAUUGGAAUACUCAUAUGGAACAUUUUUGAAUUGUUUUUGACAUCCUAAAAGCUAACAAGUUGAGAGUGAAGCUUGAAAAAUGCCGAUUUGGGAAAGAAGAAGUGCAGUAUCUAGGACAUAUUAUUUCAAAACAGGGAGUUGCUGCUGACCCAAGCAAAAUUGAAGCAAUGAUGUCAUGGCCGAAACCAAGCACAUGUAAAGCCUUACGUGGGUUUCUUGGACUCACAGAUUCUUUUCAAAGGAGUCCGGCUUCGGAGGAGGCUUUUCAAAAGCUCAAGAUAGCCAUGACGCAAGCCCCUGUAUUAUCUCUUCUUGACUUUUCAAAAACCUUUAUAGUUGAAUGUGAUGCUUCUGGCCAUGGAGUUGGUGCAAUUUUAUUACAGGAGAGACCUAUUGUGUAUUUCAACCAAGCACUUCGAGGAAAACAUCUUCUUCUUUCUACAUACGACAAGGAGAUACUUGCAUUAGCAUUGGCAAUACAGAAAUGGAGGCCAUACUUACUAGGCAAACAAUUCAUCGUCAGGACUAAUCAUCAAAGUCUUAAACAUCUGUGGUCCCAAAAAAUCGUAACUACAGCUCAACAGAAAUGGCUAUACAAAUUCAUGGGAUAUGAUUUUAAAGUGGAGUACAAGAAGGGAAAAGAGAAUGUCGCGGCUGACGCUCUCUCGCGAAGUCAUGAACAACCACAAGGUGUUGUGUUUGCCAUUUCCCAGUUGCUACCACGAUGGCUUGAGGUGAUUCAAGAGGAGGUUGCUGUUAAACCUAUAUUACAAGACUUGCAAAAAAAAAAAUCCAGCAAAGGGAAGCAUUGGAGCCAUGGAAAUUGAAUAAUGACAAUAUUUUCUUUAAAGAUCGUAUUUAUCUAUUGGAGGAUUUAGAACUUGUGAAAGCCAUUAUCAAAGAAUUUCAUGGAAGCACCCACGAAGGCUAUGUGAAGACUUUACAACGCAUUAAGGAGAAUUUUUAUUAGAAGAACAUGAGGAAGCAGAUUAAAGCAUUCAUACGCAGUUGCGACAUUUGCCAACGCCACAAAACAGAGCAAUUGGCUGCUGCUUGGUUGUUACAUCCCUUGCCAAUCCCGCAACAAGUUUGGGAAGAUUUAUCCAUGGACUUUGUUGAGGGGUUGCCGGCAUCCAACAGUAAGACAACCAUCUUUAUAAUUGUUGAGAGGUUAUCAAAAUAUGCUCACUUUAUUCCUCUCGCCCAUCCUUAUACAGCUGUGGGAGUAGCCAAAUUGUUCUUUGAAAAUGUUUUUAAACUUAAUGGUCUUCCAAAGUCAAUUGUAUGUGACAGGGAUCCAACGUUCACUAGUGCAUUUUGGAGGGAGUUGUUUUCGGUUAAAUGGGACUUCUUUCAAUUUUAGUUCCAGUUACCAUCCACAAACUGAUAGGCAAAGUGAAGUUGUGAACCGAACUCUGGAAAUGUAUCUAAGGUGCUUCACAAGCUCAAAGCCUAAAGAUUCGAUGCGUUGGCUUCCGUGGGUUGAAUAUUGUUACAACACCAGCUGGCAUUCAACAAUAAAACGGACUCAUUUUGAAGUUGUUUAUGGCAGGAGCCCUCCUAGAUUGCUAAGUUACAUUCCUGGUACAGCUCGGGUGGAGGCAGUAGAAAAAGAAUUGCUACAGAGAGACAAAGUUCUUAAGACAGUACAUGAAUGUAUACAGCGUGCUCAGGACAAGAUGAAAAAAGUUUAGGACUCCAAACACAGAGAUAAAGAAUUUAAUGUGGGGGAUUGGAUGUACUUAAAGUUGCAACCUUACAGACAUAUGUCUCUUAUUGGAAGGAAAAAUUUCAAGCUUUCGGCCCGAUUUUAUGGCCCUUAUCAGAUUUUGGAAAGGAUUGGAAAGGUAGCCUAUCGGCUUAAGCUUCCCACUUUAUCCAAGAUACAUCCAGUAUUUCAUGUUUCUAUGCUCAAAGCAAGGAUUGGUCAAGAGUGUGAAGUACUUGAAGAUCUUCCCGUGUUGAAUCAAGAAGAAGAGUUAGUCCCAAUUCCACAGGCGUUACUGGACCAGCGAAUUCGAAAGGGGAAAAAGGAAGUUCUAGUUCAUUGGAAAGGCUAUCUCCAGCAAAAGCUACAUGGGAAGUCCAUGAUUUGAUUCAGGAAAUGUUAUCCAAACUUCAUCCUCGAGGACAAAGAUGUUUUUUAAGGGGGUGGCAGCUGUUACAAUCUAGUUUAUUUUGUUUGAAUUAGUCAAGACUAAGUCAGUUUAUUUGAGUAAGCCAAGUCAAAGAUGAUUGGCCACGUUGUUAACCACUUCGCUGAUUUUUCUACUCAAAUUAUUCCUAGUUUUGCUCAUGGCAGUUGUACUGCACUUGUAUAAACAGCUAUGUGAGUAACAUAACCUUAUUGACACCAGAUUAAUCUCACCCCCAAGACCUAAUUCAGACUCCAAGAUUAAGAAACAAAUCCACACAAGUCGUAACAAUCACCAGAUCAAAGAAAACUAACACAAAGAGCCAAGAACACACAAAGAAUUAAGUGGUUUAGCACCUUUUACAGUGCCUACAUCCACUGGAGAAAACAACUCAGGGAGCAACUUUAUUAAGCUUCAAGGUUACAGAGGUGAUAGCUAGCAAUAUCGAGAACACUCAGAAAAGCUUAACUCUCACUAAAGCUUCUUUAUCACUAUCAAUGUGAUUCCUCUAGACUAAACCAGAACCAGCCUAUAUAUCUGUUGUUGCUGGUUUACAGAUCCAGAAAAUUCCCUCCAAAAUCAACAACCUCAACUAACUGAUCACGGGCUUCUCACGCGCAGCUUAAAGCCUUCCUUAAACGACAACAAGCCAUGCCGUUUAAGCUUUAGAAUAGGCGUGCGUUAACCACGUGACUGUUUAAUGAUUUUGGACGACAUCACCAAGUUGUCGGUUCUGGAUUCUCAGUCAGCUGAAAUGACAUGUCACUUGUUUUCCAACCUUUAAACGACAAGUUGUUUGACAAGUUUGAGUUCAUUUCAACAGUGACUAAUUAUUAUUUUUUGUUUAAAUUGUAUAUUAAUCUAUUAAUUAAUAUUAAAAUGUAAAUUGCAGGAAAAAAUUCAAAAAUUAUGCAAAGAUGUUGACAGAGGACAAUAUUCAAAUGGUGUUGUAUUCAUAAUAUUAAUUUAUUAAUUAAUAUUCACAUCUGUUAGUGGUUGCAUUGAUAGCAAUAUAGCCUUCGCAGCAGCUUUCAUUAUUACUGGUGGUUAAAAACGCAAAAAUGGCACUGCAAUCCUGUGGGGAAAUACAGCUUUUCAGGCAUUUAUGGUAACAGAUACCAUUGUCAUGAUCCUUUCUCUUUCUGCCUUCUUUAUUCACUUCAUAGUAUCUCUUGAGCUUGAAGUAAUCAAAAAAUUCGAUGAUGAUUUGUUGGCUGCAUCCAUUUGGUUCGCCAUCAUUUCCAUGGGAGCAAUGGUGAUUGCCUUCGUUAGGCCUUGCCAUUAUUACUUGUUUAAUUGGCUUAGAGCUAUUUCUUCUUUGCGUUUUUGGUCAUCAGAAGAUAUUUCAGUGAAAAAGAAAAUCAUGGGUAAAGAAAUCGUCACUGGAAAAAGAUAUACUCCAUCUUUUUAGCAAGGCUCGAACUCGAGACUUAAGUUUAAAGGAGGCUACUCCUUAUCGGAUGUUGCAAAUUUGCAACCAUCAGAACUAAUAAGUGUUAUGUUAGCUCCUUUUUUAGACCUGCCCACUGUCACUUGUUUAAUUGUGUUGAGAGUAUUCUUCCUUGUGUUUGGCUUCAUCAAAAGAUAUAUCUGUAAGAAAUCGCUAAAAAGAAAUUGCUUCCUUUCAUAAAAUAAACAUACUAUUCAUAAACGGUUUAUUGCUCACCGUAUUUUCUUUCUUUCCUUUUUUUUUCCCCUCUUUAAAGGUAAUCUUUAUUUCCUAAAUUUAUAUUAAUUUAAGCAAAUCUUAAUUAAAAAAGAGAGUUGGUGAACAAAUAACUUUGCAAUUUUGGAAGAAAUUAAAUAUAAAAAUUUCAUUGUUAAAUGCAUUCGGCGGAUUUUUCGUUUUCAUGGAUGGGGAUAAAAUGAUAAUAUUUUUGUAGAACUUUCUAAAAUAUUCUUACGCUAAAAUCAUAUUGAUAGUAUUUUUUUUUUUUGUUUUAAGAUGUUUUUAGUAUACGUCUGACACCAACUUAAAAUUAAAAUUAAAAUAAAACUCUCAACUUUUUAAUAGCUAAUUAAAAAAAAUAGUGAUGAGAAUGAUCUUGAUAAGAUAAUGCCUACAAAUAUAACAAAAACAGUCAAAUGGUUAAUUUUAAUGACGUAUACCCUCUAAUUAUCAAGUCAAUCACCAGACUUUUAAAAAAAUAAAAUUUAAAGAGAUAAAACCUAGAGAGAGAAAGACAUCUCUAGCGCCUAUCCUCCAAGAUCUUUGUGUCUAAGGUCACUUUCUUCCAAGCCUUCCAUAUACCUUGCUCUAGAGGAGCCCGAAUCAAGUUCAUCGUCACAACUUCAUCGUCACUAGGAUCGCUUGAGUUCUACCUUUCCUCAACUUGAGCUUGGAAUUGAUAAAACAUUCUAUCAAAGUUCUAAGCUAAUCAAUCCACUUUACUUUGGAAUCAAGCUUGCCCAUGUAGCUGGCCAUCAUGAUGUGGAUUGGGAUAAGGAUGAACGAGUACCAUGGCUUCAAAUGAUGAAUCCAUCAAUGGUCUUCUUCCUUGAGAAUGGGCUUCCUCAACCCUAGAACUCACCAUAUUCGAACACAAUGUCAUAAUGCUCAUAGCUCACAUCCAUUCUCUCAGUAGAGUUCCAAGACUUUUAGUUAGAAGUCCUCAUAAACGACGCCAAUUUGCUCGUAAAAUUUGUCCCAGUUUAUUAAAUGGUAAUUUCAUGAACUUUCUCUUUAUUAGAUCAAACUUUGUUGAACUCUUGAUGUGGGCUUCUCAUGUUGUGCCUUUUAUUUUCUGAGUUCAAUUGCACUCAUUUGGAUUUUUUCCUAAGAGUAAGAGGUAUCUAUUUUCUUAGGUGACGGGAUAACCUUAAUUAGAUAAUGUGCUAUAAACAUAAGAAAAACAGUCAAAGGGCCGACUUUAGUGGCGUAAACCCUUCGACAAUCAGGUUAGUCAUAAAAUUUUUAGAGAGAUAAAAGUUUAAAGUGAGAAAAUUUAGAUUUUUUGUUAAAAGUUUUUCACUUUUGAAUGUAAAGAAAAUAUUUGACAUUUACUCAAAUUAUCAAUGCAAUUAGAUUUUUUGUUAAAAGUUAUUAAUAAACAAAAGUAAUUAAAAACAUAAUUAGUCGUUAAUACCCAAGUAACUUAACAGAUCCUAGUUAUAUAUAGUUGAUUUACUCAACCAUUUAGCAAACAAUAUUUGUUUUCUCUCAAUUAAUUGGUGAAAACUAUAAACGAAAGAGAGAGACGGAACACUUAAGCAAAACCAUCCAUCUAAUUACACCAACAGAACAAGAACCUUCAUUGCUAAAAUGUGAACACACACACACACAAAACCUUCACUUUUAAUCCAUUUAUUGUAUAUGUGAAGCUGUUGAGUUAGUUGUAUUCUGUUAAGAUAGUUGCUGAUGAGGUGGCAUCGUAUGGGCCAGCAUGUGGUAAAUUAGUUAUGACUAGGAGCUGUAUAAAAACACGAUAUUAAGGCUGAUCAUUGAGCAUUCUUUCUAGUUGAGUUAAGAGGCUAUUACUAAGAGUUGAGUUCUUAGUAGAAGGGGAUUUGUUCUCUGUAAUCUGUAGUCCAAUGUAAUCAACUAUACACAAUAAAGUUUCACGCCCAGCUUGGGUUUUCUUCAGCCAUAGAUGUAGGUACUCUGGUACCGAACCACGUAAAUUCUUCUUCAUUGUUUAUCAUUUGUUUUUGUUUCUUCCUCUGUUCUUGGUUUGUCUUUGUGAAUCUUGGUUGUUAGAUAAGUGUUGUUAUCUUCUUUUCUUAACAAAUUGGUAUCAGAGCUACGAAGCACUCUGUUCUUGAUCUUCAAGGAUGGGAACCACUAGAUUUAACCUUGAGAAAUUCAAUGGAGAAAACGACUUCUACCUAUGGAGUCUAAAAAUGAGGGCCAUCUUGAUUCAACAGGGCUUAGACAGUGCCCUUGAUGGUGAGGAAGAACAGAAGUCCAAGAAAGAGAGGGAGGAAGGCUCUUCAAGUUCAUGUGGAGACUUGAGGACCUUAAACAAUAAAGCCCACAGUACGAUCAUCCUUCACCUGUCUGAUGAGGUACUGAGAGAAGUAGCAAAAGAGAAGUCAGCAUCUGGGUUAUGGGCAAAAUUGGAAGAGCUUUUCUUAAAGAAAUCUCUGGCUAAGAGGUUGUACAUGAAAAUGAAGCUUUACACAUUCUCAAUGAAAGAGGGGAUAGCUAUAAGAGACCAUGUUGAUGAGUUCAACAAGCUCAUACUCGAUCUUGAAAAUGUUAAUGUCAUGCUUGAAGAUGAAGAUAUGGCUCUCAUCUUCUUAAGCUCCUUACUAAAUUCUUAUGAACACUUCGUGGAUACUCUACUCUAUGGUAGGCAAACCCUCACCUUAAAAGAUGUCAAGAAUGCUCUUGAAUCUAAAGACUUGAAGAAAAGAGCAGAUGACAAAGAUCAGAUCACUGGGGAUGGAUUAGUUGCCAAAGCAAAGACAGAAAAGAAGAUGUACAACGAUAAGAAAAACAAAAAUCAGAAAGAGAAGACUGAUAAGAUGAAGAAGAAAAGAAAAUGUUACUUCUGCCAAAAGGAGGGACAUUAUAUAAAAGACUGUUUUGAGAAAAAGAAGCUAGAGAAACUACAAAAGGAGACAAGUGGGAAAGUUGAUAUCGUGUCAAUAGAUGAAUGAGAGUCAGAGGAUGCAGAUGUUCUCAUUGCUGCAAAUAAGAAGUUUUCUGGUGAGUGGAUACUUGACUCAGGGUGUUCUUUCCAUAUGUGUCCCCAAAAGGAUUUCUUUGUAACCUUUGAAAAGGUUGAUGGUGGAAGAGUUUUACUUGGGAAUAAUCUUGCUUGUAAGGUUGCUAGUAUAAGAUCAGUUAGCAUUAAAAUGCAUGAUGGUAGAGUCAUAAGCUUAGAACAAGUCAAAUAUGUUCCAAAGCUUAAAAGAAACCUUAUAUCCUUAGGGAUGAUAGACCAAUUGGGCUGUAGUAUAAAGGCUGAAAAUGGAGAACUACAGAUCAUUAAAAAGGAUACAGUCUUAAUGAAAGGUUGUAGAAGAAAUGGACUGUACAUUCUUAAUGCUCAAUAGUGUUACCUGGGGUUAACAGUGUAAGUGGUGAUAAAACCAGACUAUGGCACAUGAAGUUAGCUCACAUGAGUGAAAAAGGUUUAAGGGAGCUUAGUAAACAAGGAUUGCUAGGUACUUAUCAAAUCUCACCACUACCACUAUGUGAAAAGUGUGUGUUUGGCAAAGCAACUAGGUAAAGAUUUAAUCCAGGAAAGCAAGAAACCAAAAACACCAUGGAUUAUAUCCAUUCAGAUUUAUGGGGACCCUCUCAGGUUUUAUCUCAUGGUGGUGCCAGAUACUUCAUUACAUUUAUAGAUGACUUUUCUAGAAAAGUCUGGGUUUAUGUACUAAAGCACUAGAGAAGUUUAAGGACUGGCUAACUCUAAUGGAAAACCAGACAGAGAGGAGAGUGAAAAGGUUAAGAACAGACAAUGGGUUAGAAUAUUACUCAAAUGAGUAUCUGGGCAGAAGGGGAUAGCAAGGCACAAAACUGUAAGGCAUACACCUCAGCAAAAUGGGUUGGCAGAAAGGAUGAACAGGACCCUAGUUGAAAAUGUGAGGUGCAUGUUGUUCAAUGCAAAUAUGUCCAAACAUUUCUGGGCAGAAGCUGUCACUACAGCAGCUUACUUGGUCAAUAGGAGCCCUUCAUCUGCCCUGCAGUUCAAGACUCCUCAGGAAGUUUGGUCAGGAAAGCCACCAGACCUCAGCAAUCUCAGAAUCUUUGGCUGCCUUGCUUAUGCUCACAUUAACCAAGGAAAGUUAGAACUAAAGGCCAUAAAGGGUUACUUCAUUGGGUAUCCAGAGGGUGUUAAAGGGUUUAAAAUUUGGUGCAUUAAUAGAAAACCAUUUAGAACCCUUAUAAGCCGAGAUUUUGUGUUUGAUAAAGAAUCAAUGCUGCAUCAAAAGGUAGAAACUGAGCUUACAGCAACUGAUUUGGAUAGAAAUGAGGAAGACAACAACCAGAAGGUGGAGACCAGUGAGGAAUCUGAGGUCACAGAGAAGGAUUCCAGAACUAAUCAGAGAGUACACAACAACUUGAAAUUGGAUGAUUAUCAACUGACAAGAGACAGACAGAUGAGAGUCAUUAAGCUACCAAAAAGGUAUGGCAUAGCUGAUAUGGUCUCUUAUGCCCUAGCAGUAGCUGAAGAAGUUAUUGGUGAAGAGCCUACAAACUACAAACAAGCCAUGAGCAGUAAAGAUAGAAAAAAAUGGUUGGGUGCUAUGAAUGAAGAAAUCAUCUCACUCAAGAAAAAUAACACAUGGAUUUUUGUCAAGAAGCUGGUAGGAUGCAAAUGGAUCUAUAAAAUUAAAAAAGGGACUGCUGAUGGAGAGCUUCCUAGACAUAAGGCAAGAAUUGUGGCUAAGGGGUUCACACAGAAGCAUGGAGUGGACUUUAAUGAGGUAUUCUCCCCUGUUGUUAAAUAUAGUUCCAUAAGAGUUCUUUUGGCAAUAACAGCAUUCAAUGACUUGGAAUUGGAUCAAAUGGAUGUGAAAACUGCCUUCUUGCAUGGGAGUUUAGAAGAAAAAAUUCUCAUGGAACAACCAGAGGGGUUUGUUGAAGAGGGGACUAAAGAUAUGGUAUGCUUGCUGAAGAAGAGCUUGUAUAGACUGAAACAGUCUCCCAGGCAGUGGUAUUUGAGGUUUGAUGAGUUCAUGAUCAGCCAUGAAUUCUGCAAAAGUCAAUAUGAUAGCUGUGUGUAUUUUAAAACCUUACCUUCUGGAGAUGGCCUUUACCUCAUCCUCUAUGUUGAUGACAUGCUUAUUGCAUGUAAAAGAAGAGAGGAGAUAGAAAAGCUAAAGUUGGAAUUGAAUUCAGUUUUUGAAAUGAAAGACCUGGGGACUACUACAAGAAUUCUUGGGAUGCAGAUUGUGAGGGACAGAAAUUCAAGAACUUUGUUCCUUACUCAAGUUUUAUAUGUUAAAAGGGUUCUUAACAGAUUUAAAAUGAGUCAUGCAAAACCUGUAUCAGUACCAUUGUCAGCACACUUCAGACUUUCAAAGCUCCAAGAACCAGAAGAGGAUAGAGAUAUUGAACAUAUGAAGACAAUGCCUUAUUCUAGUGCAGUUGGCAGCAUUAUGUACUCCAUGGUUUGUAUAAGGCCUGAUAUAGCUCAUGGAGUAGGAGUUGUUAGCAGGUUUAUGGGGAAUCCAGGUAGAGAACACUGGAAUGCUGUCAAGUGGUUAUUAAGGUAUCUAAGUGGUACAUCUAAUCAUGGAAUUUUGUUUGGAAGUUCUGAAGCUAAAGUAUGCCAAGUAUCAGGGUUUGUAGACUCAGAUUUUGCUGCUGAUAUAGAUAAGAGAAGGUCUAUUACAGGGUAUGUUUUCAUUUUGAAUGGAGGGGCAGUAAGUUAGAAAGCAUCUCUCCAGUCAGUUGUUGCUUUGUCCACAACUGAAGCUGAGUACAUUGCAUUGACAGAAGCAGUAAAAGAAGCAAAGUGGCUGAGUGGACUAGUGUCUGAGUAUGGAUUGAAACAGGAUUCAGUUUGUAUUGGCUGUGACAGCUCCAGUGCAAUUCAGCUCAGCAAGAAUCCCAAGUAUCAUGAAAGGACAAAACACAUUGAUGUUAGGCUGCAUUUUAUCAUGGAUGAGAUUGCUAAUGGUGUGGUUAAUGUUGUCAAGGUUCCUACUUUAACAAAUCCAGCUGAUGUUUUAACUAAAGCAGUUCCCGUAGUCAAGUUUAGAAACUCUCUGAACUUGAUUGGUGUUGAUAGUUUGUGAAUCAAGCUAGUAGUUGCUGAAGAUAUAAGUGAAGUUUUAAAUUUACAGAAUGAACUAAGGUGGAGAUAUGUGAAGCCGUCGAGUUAGUUGCAUUCUGUUAAGAUAGUUGCUGAUGAGGUGGCAUCGUGUGGGCCAGCAUGUGGUAAAUUAGUUAUGACCAGGAGCUGUAUAAAAACACGAUAUUAAGGCUGAUCAUUGAGCAUUCUUUCUAGUUGAGUUAAGAGGCUACAACCUGAUUUAGACAUAGUAUUAAGGAUGUUCUGGGUAGAGCUCAAGCAUGUUGGAUGCAUGAUGUAUUAUGGAUAUGCAUUUUAAUUGUGUUUGAGGUGCAUUGUGUUCUCCCUCUUCGUCAACAUGAACUGUGAAAGUAAAUGGUUUGUUCCGUUAUUUAUUGUAACUGACUAUCUAUAAAUUGAUCCUCAAGGCUCAAUUAUUUAUUAUAAUAGAUUAUCUAUAGAUUGAUCUUCAACUUGUUACGGAUUAGCUGUUGUAUUAUUAUAUUAUGUUGGAAUGAAAUUAUAUUUCCUUUGUCCAACAAAAAAUAAAAAUCGAGAUCAUUUGUAUUCACUUGUUGAAUUAACGAAAGUAAUGCUUUGUAUCAGAAAGGAAAAAAAAUAAAGAUUUGGUGGUAUAUAUUUACAUGACGAGUCCAGCUACGUUGCAUCGGCCGGGGCUUUACAUGAACGCAUAUGAAACAAACGCCUAAACUUUAAUUAUUUUUUUUGGAAGUAAAUCUUAUUUAAAUAUCUAAUAUAUUAUAAAUUGAACUGAUAAAAUUUAAUGAAAUAUACUGAACAUACAUAAACACACAUUAUGAAAAAAAUAGGUUUCAAUAAUUAAAUUUAACAUAAUUAUUAAAUAUGUCAACAUAAUUUUUUUCUCUAUUGGGUUAAGUUUAAAUUCUUGACUCAUUUACCCAGUUAAUUAAAUAAUGAUUUUGUGAAGGAUGAACAUUUAUAUGGUAUUUUAUUUUAUGAAAUUAUAAAUGGAAUUACAACAUGAGUAGUAUAAAUAUGUAAUAUUUUAGUAGACUUAUAUAUUUUCAUAAUAUCAAUAUAUAAAAAUUGAAUUUUUGUCAAAUAAGUGUGAAAUCUUUUAUAUAUAUUGUGUAAAUAAAUAUUAAUAAGGUUAUUAGAUAUUGUGACACAAUUGCCCAAUUAUUUAAUGGAUGAUGUCGUGUCACUCAUUUAUUUUUAUUUUUAUUUCAUAUUUAAUAUUUUAACGUAAUUAUUAAAUAAAUAAUGUUUGAACCGAUUUAAAUUUGACACAACUAGAUAAUAAUCCGCUCACCGAUUUCGCCACCUCUAAAUAUAAACAACCAAGUCAACAACUUGCCAUUUAACUGCCCGUACAGAAAUCUAUAUGUUAAUUAUUCCAAGCAAUUACUUAGGAUUCUGCCACGUAUAUGAAACAGAACCCAACUGGCCGUCUGUGGUUCGUCAAUUAAAUGGUGAUUUCUUUUGGGAGCUCGACGUGGCAAGAAAGUGUUAUCAGAUCAGUAUGGGCUCGAUUUCUUUUGUAAAAAACUAGUUAAUGAUACCAUCAGUCAUCACCACUUAGUACUUAGCACAACUGAAGCACGUGACCUGCCAGCGGCUCCGGAUUUCCUUUUUUUGAAAAAAUUUAUUCAAUUCCUUUCAUACUAGUAUACUACCAAGAUCACCCCCUACUAACUCAUUUUACAUAAUUAUACUCUAAAAAGGUAAAAAUAUUCUAAAUAAAAAAAUUCUCCACUUUAUUUUCAAUUUACAUAACAAAGUUGAAUAAUAAAUCGAAUUUUGGUUUGUAGGCUUAUAACUCAAUAGUGCUUGUGAAAGAAUGAGUUUAAGUCUUAUAAAAUUUAUUCUAUUUAAAUAACAAUAGAUUUCUCCCCACGUAUUAAUGGAAUAAAUUUUCAAACUUAAUGUUUAGUAGGCCUUUAGAAUGUACUACGAGUAUCUAUAUCGAGAAUUUUAUCUAAUUAGGUCUUUCUAUAAUGCCGUGAUUAAAAUCACAACAUCGAUACCAUAUUUAAACGUUAAAUUAUGUAAAUAAACAUAAGACAUGUAAAUUUAAAUAAAAAUUAAAAAUCAAAAUUAAUUGUAAAAUAAAAUAUAGAUUAUGUAAAUAGAAUAUAAGACUUAUAAAUGGAGGGUAGAAUAAGAAAAUUAAUAUAUGAGUAGUAAAUUAGUGUAUCAAUGGUAAACAAAACAAAAACUUAUAAAUAUAAUAUAAAAACUUGUAAAUCAACAAUAAGUUUAAAAUAAAACAUCAAUUAAGUAAAUAAAAUAUAAGACUUGUAAAUGGAAUGUAAAACAAGUCAGUUAAUAUACAAGUGGUAAAUUAGAGUGUUAUUGGUAAACAAAACAAAAACUUAUAAAUAUAAAAUAAAACUUAUGAAUCAACAUUAAGUGUAAAAUAAAAAAUAAAUUAUAUAAAUAAAAUAUAGGACUUGUAAAUGCAAGGUAAAACAUGUAAAUUAAUAUAAGAAUUAUUAAAAAAAUUAAAAAUGUAAAAUACAAUCUCAUUAUAAUAAUGAUUACUUUUUAUUGAUUUAUUUUUUCUAAAUUGAAUAAUGAUAGUUUUGGGUUUAUGUAAUACAUAUGAUGAUUAAGGAUAAAACUUAUUUUUAAAAUUAGAUUUUGAAAAACUAUUUUUUUUUUUCAUAUUUUUCAAAGUUGCUUGUAGGAUAAGGUGAUUUUACAUCAUUUUAAAUAUUCUUGAUAGCAACCACAGAUGACCUUUAAAUACAAGUAAGAAGCAAAAUUUAAAAUUACAUAAAAUAUGUAUAAAACAUAAAAUUAGAUACAAUUUUAUUGAUAUAUUAUAUAUAUCUAGUAAUAUCAGAAUAUCUUUUUAUUUUGUUUUGACUUAAUGCAUUCAAGAAAAAUAUUUUGUUUAAUUAACCUCUGUAGUAAACAAUACUAUGAUGAAAAAUUAAAAAAAAAUUAUGAAUGUCAUAGAAUGAAUAUAGAAUUUAUAGUUAAACCAAUUCAAUAAAACUUAUUCUAAUUGUUUUCAAUUACAAUUUUUUUUUAAAUUGAUGACUCACUUUGUUCUUUGUUUAAUUAAAUUAAAUAAAUAAACUAAUUUUAUUUAAUGAAAGUUUAAUAUCAAUAUCAAAGUUUUAUGUUAUUUUAUAAGUAUUUGUUUUGUUUGUAAUUUCAAAACACUAAUUUACCACUCAUAUAUAAUAUAUACUAAUUUUAUCUUUUAUUUAAUAAUUUUUAUAUAUAAUUUACAAAAUUUAUAUUUAUCAUGAUAAUAAUACCGUAAUUUUAAUCAUAACAUCGUAAAAUUUUCCAAACUUCAAAUCGUAUAUUUUUAGGUUAUCGUAAACAAUUUAAAAAAAUUAAAUAGCGGCAUUUUAGUAUUAACAUAUUUUUUAAUAUUUUGAUGUUGUAUGGAGCAUAUUUAUAGCAAUGACCUCUUUUCGCGGCUCCCACUUCUUCUUUUCAUUCACUCGUCCAGUAGUAUAGCUACCACGAAAAAUGGAACUGCGAGAAAUAGAAGAACGGGAAAACGAUGUCGUUUUACCGGAGAGGAAGACAAAGAUGAAAACGAGAAAGAACAGAAAGCGAGAGAAAAGAAAAGAAAAACUCAAAGAAGAAGCUGAAGAAUUAUUGCAGGACCCUCUCGAUGUUUUUGGUAGAGACAUAAUGUUGAAGAUACUUAAAAGCCUAAACGCACGCAGCGCGGCACUAUCACUUCUUGUAUCUCGUGCUUAGAACGGCGUCGCUUGCAGCGACACACUUUGGACUUCCAAGGUUUGUGUCCUUUUCUUUUUUUUUAGUUAAUAAAUUUAGUUCUUCCCAUGGAGAUUGGAGAAUAUGAGAAUUGGGUAAAUCUAAUAUCACUACUGGGUUUUUGUUUUAACUAUUUUUGGUUGCUGUUUGAAAUAAUCAUAUUAUGAAUACAAUUGGAUUUUCAUGUCAGUUUAAGCUUUUCAUGUUAUAAUUGAGCUUUAUGUGCCUACUUUACACGGUUUCUUGUCCACAAGGGGCAUUAUAUGAAUUCUCGACUUAUUACUUGACUCAAUUUACUACUCAACUUGACUUUCUUGACCAACAUAAAUGGUUUGAAAGUCAUAAUGAAGAUGAGUGUUCUCGACUUAAAGCUGAGUAUUUUUUGUGUAGGAUCUUUUUGCCUUUGCUCACCUCUCAAGGGUAUAUUUAUGUAAAGUGGGCUAGUUGGGGUAUAUUGUUGUAUAUUUUAUUUUUUAAAAUAGGGCUCACGCCGCUCUUACCACUGCAACUAGACCUUGGCUAUGCCCUUGGUAUAUUGGUAUAUUUUAUAUACAAACUGAAUUGUGAAUGCCAAUGCAGGAUUCUACUGCCUUGCGGCCUAAGUUGCUUAUUUAUUCUGGCUGCAUGAUUCGUGAAGUUUUUUUUUUAAUUUAUUUAUUUAACGUCAAUUAUUUUCUCAGCUUUAUUUGAAACACAACUGGAAGAGAAUAUCUACCUGGAUUUUAUUUUUCAGUUCUCGAGGUAACUCGGUGGGUCAUGCUUCUACUUUGAAGAGUAACCGAGUAAGGAUAAUUUACUUGAAUUUCCUGUCCAUUUAAGUGCAAGGAACUAUGAUUUGGGAAAGCGCACAUACCUCGUUUAGCUCUAACCCGGGGGUUACCAAAGCUGGCCGCAUAUUCGUUGUCUGUAAUGGAUGGCAAACGUGUGAGUGCUUCUCCCCAUCUCUCUUUUGAUUCGCUCAUUCUUCAUAUGCACGUGCGCACAAGCUUUCACUAACUAUUCUAUUCUUCAUUUUUAUGAUUCUGGUAGACUCGUAUCACGAAAGAAAACCUUUGUGAUCAUGUUUGGGAGUUUCAUUUUAAUAAGGUAUGUAAUUUUAGUAUAGCGCUUGUUAUAAAGAAAAUAUAUGAAAUUUACUCAAAUUAUCAGUGCAAUUAGAUUUCUCAUUAAAAGUUGUUAAUAAACAAAAGUAAUUAAAAACACGAUCAGCUGUUAAUGCUUGUGUAACUUACACAGAUCCCAGUAUAUAUUCGGCGGACAUGUUCGACUGUUAGGCAAAUAGUUUUUGUUUCCUCUCAAUUAGUUGAUAAAAACUAUAAACAAAAGAGCGAGACAGAGAAUAUUGAAGCAAAACCAUCCAUCCAAUUACACCAGCAAACAAAAGUGAAGAGCAUUUAUUGUUAAAAUGUGAAUUACUUAACUAAAAACCUUAGUUUGCUUGAACUUUAUGUAUACGUAUAUAUAUUACACACACUCAUAUAUAUAAUCUCUCUAGUACGGGUGUGGUUUAAUAAAGUUGUGCAUAACGUUAUGAAACUGCACAUCUUAAGAGCGUGUUCGCAUUAAAACAAAUGGCAUCCACACCUGAAAAUGAUUACAUAUAUAUGUGUGUGUGUGUCCAGAUGUAUCUUUUAAUUUAUUCAACUUAUAAGGAUAUAAUAGUGAGCUAUGACAGACAAUUACACAAAUAUUUAGACGAAUGUACAGAUAAAUCCAUUGCAGUCAACAGAUAAACGAAUAAUUGAUUUCUCAUACCGACGUGCUAGGAAAAAUAUCAGUAGACUAAAAUAUCAUGUAAUGAUUUAUACACAUCCUUUUAAUAUGUACACGAUCAAUUCAGAUGUCGCCAGGGAAUUUUUGUUCUUGCUAGGUAAAUCAUAAAUUUACUCCCAGAAGACUAAUUAAAUGCAUUCAAUUUAGGUUCAAAAUACAACUAGCAAUGUAACAUAUCCACAUUAGAAAAUGAUUCAUGGUCACCUAUUUGCCAAAUCUUACCGGUCUAGGUAUAAAAUCUGAAAGAUGAAUACAUCAGCAACACGAAACACAACCAAAUGAACACAACCACCACAUAGGGUGGAAAAAAAAAAACACAUAAACCUGAAAGUAUACAUACUACUUGAUCUAGACAUGGUAUUAGAGAUGUUCCCGAUAGAGAUUGAGUCUGUUGGAUGCAUGAUUAAGAGAUGCUCUUUAAUAGAGUCUCUGAUGCAUUGUGUUCUCCUUAUUCGUUAGUGUGAAAUGCGAAAGUAAAAAGUUUGUUCAACUAUUUAUUAUAUCAGAUUAUCUAUAGAUUGAUCUCCAAGUCUGUUAUGGACUAGCUGUUAUACUAUUAUGUUGUUGUUGGAAUGAAAUUAUAUCUCUGUGAAAAAAGAAAGAAAUUUUUUUUGGCACAUGUGUAUUCACCCAUUAGUAUUAACGACAUUAAUUCUUUUUAUACAAGUAAGAGGGGGAGAAGAGAGAUCUGCUAGAAAGAUUAAUAUAUUUACAUGACGGGUCUAGCUACGUUGCGUCGAACGGUGCCUUACAUGACGCAUAUGUAAUAGACACCUGAACUUUAUAAUUCUCGUUUUGGAAGCAGAUCUUAUUUAAAUAUCUAAUAUACAAUAAAUAGAACUAACAAAAUUUGAUAUAAUCCAUUUAGCAAACAUGAACGAAAAAGUAGAUUUAAAUUAUUAAAUUUGACACGAUAAUUAAAUAGGCCGUACUCUUUUCAACACAAUUUUUUGGCUUCUUGAAUUAGCUUUAUAUUCUUGGGAUAAAGAUCCUUUCCUAAUCUGAGCUCUCAUGAGCUUUUAAAAAUCUUGUGUCAUCUGUCUUUAAGUGAUAGUGUAUGGGUAUGAUAGUGAUAGUGUAUGGGUAUGAUUUAAUUUUUUUACUUUUUUUUAUUUAUUAACUACCAAUCACUCACAUAUAUUUGUGCUCAGGAGGAGAUUAGAUCUAGAAAGAAUCAUAAUCCUAUAUUCUUGGCCUAUCUACUCAGUUAACGAAACAAUUACUUAUGAAGGAUAAACAUUUAUGUGGUGUUUCAUUUCAUAAAAUUCUAGAUGGAUUUAAAACUUGAAUGGUGUAAAUAUGUAAUAUUUCAAUAUAUAUGUAUAUUUUUUAUGAUAUCAAUAUAUAAUAUUAUUUAGAUAUAUAAAAAUUGUAAAAUUUUUAUUAAAUAGGAGCAAAAAUAAUUGAUAUAAAUCAUGUUAAAUGAGUAUUAAUUAAAUGGAUUAUUAGGUAUGUCGCGACACAAUUAUUAAUUAAUGAGUUACAUUGUGUCAAUUGUUAUGUUUCAUAUCAAACUUAAAAUUUUAAUAUUUUAACACAAUUAUUAAAUAAAUAUCUAAAUCACUCUAAAUUUCACAUGGCAACGAAAACCACUUUGUCAUCAGUUCUGCCUAGGGAUGGCAAAUUGGUCCAUUCAAAUUGGAUAUCCAUAUAUCCAAUUCAAUUGGAUUGGAUAAUAUCCAUCUAAAAUCUUAUUGGAUAUAGAUAUGAAUAUUUUUAAAAAUAUCCAAUUAGAUAUUGGAUGGGUAUGGAUAUUUAAUGGAUAUCCAAAAUCCAAUUAAUUUAUCCAUUUAAAGUUAAAAAAAUUUAUAUUAUUAAACUAAAAUAAAAAAAAAACAACAAAAUCUAAUUUUCUCUUAUAUUAACUAGUGAAAAAUUUAAAUUCCUCUUAUAUUAUAAACUAAAAUUUCCAAAAUUACCUUUUAAUUUUUUAACUUAUUUAAUACCAUUAAUAAUUAUUAUUUUAUUUUAUUGAUUUAAUAUUAUAAAUGGAUCUCCAUCGGAAAGCCGCGGUCCGGCGACCUCGCCAGAAGGUCGCCGGACCUCGCCGGAAAUUGCCCGGACUUCGCCAGACCGUCGUCACCAACAACCGAACCGCCGUCAUCGGCCACCGGACCGCCAUUUUAUUAUAUAUAUAUAUAUAUAUAUAUAUAUAUAUAUAUAUAUAUAUAUAUAUAUAUAUUAUUACUAAUAUAAAUAGUUUAAUAGCCAAAUUUGAUAUUAGAAUUUUAAUUAUUUUAUAUAAUAAAAAUAAAAUAUCGAUGGAUAUCUAUGGAUCUUCAUAACUAUAUGGAUAAAAUUCAUAUCCAUAUCCAAUAUUAAAUACUGAAUAUAAAUAUAAAUAUAUUUAAUAUAGAUAAUUAUAAAUUUGUAUUUGGAUAGAUAUUAUCCAUCCAUAAUCAAAUAUUUGGCAUCCCUAGUUCUGCCACAAACAUCCAAGUCAUGGACUUGCUGUUUUGCCAAGCAAUCACUCAGUAUCUUGCCACGUAUUCGAGUCAGAGUCCAAAACGCCCAAUUUUUGUCCUUCAAUUGAAGGAUGAUUUUGUUUUGGAACUCGGCGUGGCAAGAAUGCACUAUCGGACCAUUAUUAACUAUGGGCGUGUUUGGCAGCCCUCAUUAUAUAGUAUUAGAACUCCUCAUAGCAUUAAAGUCUUAGAAUAUCAUAUUUGGUGACUACUCCUCACUGUAUUGUAAUGUGGUCAAAAGAAGCUUGUAAUGCGGUCAAACCCGCAUAAAAUAAACCCGUGUGAGAGUUGGGUUUACGCGGGUUUGUAAUUGUUUGAGACAAAAAAAAAAUUCGCUUUCAUUUUCGUUCUCCUUCUCUGUGUAGUGCCUUGCCUGCACCUCCACACAUCCACUCCACAAAUCUCAACUCCACACCACCAGUGCCUCAAACACCACCAGCUCCAUGUGAUCUGCCUUUAUACCGCCACUGUCUCACGAUACCACCGUGACACCACCAGCUCCAUUGCCUUCGCGAUCUACCUCCGCGAUGUGCGAGACCACUGCGCGGCAUGCCUUCGCGACACUCCACCACCAUGCUCCACUGCCUUCAUCAUGCCGUCGUGCCUUCGUCAUUUUUGAAACUGUGAGGGUCUUAUCUUUGUGUUAGUAUGUUAGAUCAUGCGUGCUUUUUUUGUGCUUGGUUUGAUUAUUUUUCUUUUAAAGAAAAGGAUCAUUUGUUGUUUUUGUGAUUUAUUUAGUUUCUAAUAUAUCUUCAGUUAAGAAAAUAGAAUGGAGUCUUCUUGUUGCCUUUAAAUUAAAUUGGUAUUUUGUUUGAUUAUGUUAUUGUGAGGCUUUGAUUGAGAUUUUGUUACUUUAUGUUGUGAAUGGAUGAGUUUAUAGAUUUAUGCCCGACAAUUGUUUGAUGAAUUGUCUAAAAGAAUAAGAAUUUGGUGCUUUGCUUCACUAAUUGUGGCCUAAAAAUUAUUACUACAUGUAGAAGUAUUUCCAAUCCGUAGUUGACUUUACAUUAAGAAAAAAUUAUCCUAAUUGUUUGGCUAAAGUAUUUUUGUGGGUGGAUUUUUGGCAAAUGUAGCUUCAGCCUUCAUGUGUAAACCAAAAAAAAAAAUAAAUAAAAUCUCGCAGGAUUGUACUUCAGUAAUGCAAUACCAAAGCACAAGAUGAAGUGUUAUUGUCUCCUGAAUGGUGAUUUUUGGAAUGAAAUAGAUGGCUUAUAAAAUUUGCAAUUAUUCUUGACAACUAGUACUUUCGAUUCUGGAUUUGCAAAUUAAUAGUAAUAAACAUCAAGUAAUGGUAGAGAAAUUAAUAUUGAAAAAGGAACUUGAAAAUCAUUAAGAUGAAAUCUUAUGAAUUUACUUUAGUUCUUGAAAGGAAGUAUUGAGGCAAAACAGAAUUACAGAACGGAGCUAUUCUAGAGCCAUUAAAUUUAGAAAAGAACCAAAAAAAAAAUUAUGAUAUUAAAAAUUUUUUUAUGAAGAAUUAUGAUAUUAAAAAGUUAUAUUAAAAAAUAAUGUUAAAUUUCUCAAUUUUAAAAAUUUUGAUAUUUAGUAUUUUUCUAAGUAUUAAUAAAUAUUAUUUUUUAAAAUAAGUGAUCAAAAUUAAUUACUAAAAAAUUAAUACAAUACAAUGCAGCACCAAACAUAGUAUAACUAAAAAUUAAUACAAUACAGUGUAAUGACAAAUACUAUACAACAUUAUUAUAAUACAAUGUUAAUGCAAUACAGUAUAAUACAAUACACCUACAUUAAAAUAAUGCAAUACAGCAUAAUAUAAUACAGUGUGCCAAACGCACCAUAUCAUCAUUGCAGAGCAGUACCUAAACCACGUGACCUCUCACCGCAUUUUUUUAAAAAAUAUAUAUUUAUUCCUUGUAAAAUACCGAUAACACCCCCCGACUGUCUCAUUUUACAUAAUCAUACUCUAAAAAGGCCAAAAUAUCCUAAAUAAAAAAAUAUUCUCAACUUUAUUUUCAAUCUUCAUAAAAAGUUGAAUAAUAAAUCAAGUGAUAUAAAAAAUCGAGUAAAAUAAUAAGUAAAAAAAAUUAGCUUUUUAACUUGUAGGCCUGUAGUUCAAUAAUAUCUACGAGAGAAUGAGUUUGAGCCACGUAAAUUUUAUUAUAUUUAAAAAAUAGUAAAUUUGUCGGUCGUAUAUUUCUACAUAUUUUUAUAUUUUGAUUUUUUUUGGAGUUAUUGCAAUUACCUCCUUUUUCGCGGUUUCUGGUCAUUCCUUUCAUUCGCUUACUCUGUAGUAAUAGCUACUACCAGUCUACCACACAGAAUGGAACUGCGAGAAAGAGAAGAACAGGAAAACGAUGUCGUUUUACCGAAGAAGAAGAAGACGAAGAUGAAACUGAGAAAGAAGAGAAAUCGAGAGGAAAGAAAAGAAAAACUCAAAGAAGAAGAAACUGAAGAAUUAUUGCAGGACCCACUGGAGGCUUUUGGUAGAGACAUAAUGUUGAAGAUACUUCAAAACCUAAAAGCACACAGCGUAGCACUGACUCUCCUUGUAUCCCGUGCUUGGAACGGCGUUGCUUCAAGCGACACGCUUUGGACUCCCAAGGUUCAUUUCCUUUCCUAUUCUUUCUUUUUUUUCCCCAAUCUUUUUGCCUCGUACCUGAAUUUAGGUUUGUUUCUUUUUUUUUUAAAUUUAAUUAAUUAAUUUAGUGCUUUCUUCGGAGAACAUGAGAAUUGGGUUUUUUUAGUUUCACAAUUGGGUUUUUGUUUUAAGUAUUUUUGGUUGUUUGAAAUAAUCAUAUCAUGAAUACAAUUGAAUUUGAAUUUAAGCUUUUCAUGUCAUCAUCGAGUUUUAUGUUCCUAGUUUACAGGAAUUUGUAUUCAGCGCUGAGCUGGGGUUUUUGUUAAUCUUUUAGAAAGAUAAGAAUAUAAAAUUAAUUAAAUCUUCACCUUAAAUUGCUAUCCAUGCAUGUGUGGUAGAUGAUUAUGAAGAGAUGAGCACAGCUAAGCUCAGUACUGGAUCUAAAUCCAGCUUGCAGGAUUUCUUGUCCGCCAGGAGCAUUAUAUGAAUACUCAACUUAUUAUUUGACUCAAUUUACUACUCGACUUGGCUUUCUUGACCAACUUGAAUUCGUCUGAGUAUUCUUGAUUUAAGCUGAAUAUUUUUGUCUAGUAUCUAUUUGUCUUUGUUCACCCCUUAAGGGUAUAUCUAUGUAAAGUGACUUAGUUGGGGUAUAUUGUUGGUAUAUUUUAUUUUUUAAAAUCCUGGGCCCUAGGAAGCCCUUUCUUAUCAUUGAAACUAGACCUUGGCUAAAUUAUUGGUUUAUUUAAAGGAUUGAGGUAUAUUUUUAUAUAAAACCAAACUGAAUUGUGAAUGCCGUUUUUACUGCCUUAUGGCCUAAGUUGCUUAUUCGUUCUGAUUGCAUGAUGUGAAGAAUUUUUUUUUUUUUUAACUUAACUUCAAUUAUUUUCUCUGCUUUAUUUGAAACCUAACCGGAAGAGAAUAUCUACCUUUUUUUUAUUUUUUUCAGUUCUCCAGGUAACUUAAUGGGUCAUGCUUCUACUUUGAAGAGUAACUGAGUAAGGAUAAUUUACUUGAGUUUCCUGUCUAUUUUAGUGCGAGGAACUGUGGUUGGGGAAAGCGCACAUACCUCGUUCAGCUGUAGUCCAGGGGUUACCAAAGCUGGCCGCAUAUUCGUUGUCUGUCACAGAUGGCAAACGUGUGAGUGCUGAUCAAUCUCCCUUUGUUCUCCUGUCUCUCUUUUGAAUCAGUCACUUUCCAUAUGCACGUUUGAGCAAGCUAUCACCAACUAUUCUGUUCUUUUUUUUUUAAAUUUUCUUAGACUCGUAUCAUGACAGAAGACCUUUGUGAUCAUGUUUGGGAGUUUCAUUUUAACAAGGUAUGUAAUUUUAUUGCAGUGCUUCUCAUAUGUUAUUAAUUAUUAGUAAGGUCUGGUGAGUGGUGACUCGCCUCUUGAUUUCAGUCUGGCCUUGACGUGGUGCCAAAAUUACUAGAACUUGCAUGAGUUUGAAAUGUGAACAUAUAAAACAUUAAUGUUUUGACGCUUUAAAAGUUUGAUCAUGUGUAGCCUUGGUAAUGAAAUUUCGGCCCAUGAGGAACGAAACUCAUGAAUUAUAAUCUGCCUAUUUGUAAGGCAUUGCUCAUAAUUCAGGCACUCACUCAUGUAACUAUUCCCUGGACUGGUCACAAGUAAAUGAUAAUCCUGGUAAUCCUAUAUUCAAACAUUUCUUAGCAUGCAUCCAAGCAUCCAAGGCAUUCGUAGUGUGUCCUUUCCUUUACUCUGCAGCUUUCUACUAUUUUGUUGGAAACUGAAAUGAUCAAUUGAUCGGAUGACUGCCUUUGAAUGCCAUUUUUCCUUCAGGUGGUACCAGAGUAUUGGCUUAAUCUCGAUCCCUACUGGAAGGGUACUAGCCCUCUAAUGCACCGUUACUUUCAUGAAGAUGGGAGUCAAACUGCAGAUCCUGGUGACGAAGUAUGGGGCGGGCAUGAAUGCUGUUACUCUAUAGUUACCAGUGUUGUUGGUGAAGGAAAGAUUAGGGAGCACUAUGUUAGAAUAAACCGCUGCUGGCCGCAUAUGCUUGUCUCUAGGAAGAAGGACUGGAGCUGGGAAAUGUCAAAUAUCCUCUACUGCUACUCCAGUGUUCCUGAUGGCCACAGGGUUGGUGGUACAGGACCCCUGCUUCUAUGUGUUUAGAGACUAGAAUGAAGUGCUGCCGGGUUCGCCAAAUAGAUAUAGAAUAACUUUCCAAUGAGAAAGCUUGACUAAAGUAAAAGACAGGAAGAAACACAUACUCCAAUGUAGUGUUUACUGCCGUUUAUCAAUUGACUUUUCGUUUUCCCUUUUAAUAAAAUGAGGCUUCUCAUCGGAAGUCCUUUGUUGUAAAAGGUCAUAAGUGGUAAUUGGUACUUCCUUAUUUUGCGGAAUAAAAUAGUUAGAAAGUGUUUUUGGAUAUGCAAUGGACUUUACUGAUAAGUUUUUUAGCUCUUGUGCAUGAUCCAUGUGGUUGCUUUCCUCAACAGAAACAUAUUUAUAGAGUAUUUUUUUGAUCUUUUUAUUUUUUAAAAAAAUUGGGGUGCAGACAAAGUUUAAAUUAAUAUUUUUUAACUCUUAUUUUUCCGGAACCCAAAUUAUAGAUUUUUUUUCAUUUUUUUUAAUUUUCUAAAAAUGUUAAGUUGUGGUUAAAAUUUAAAUUAAUAUUUAUUUUAAUUAUUUUAGAAUUCAAGUGGUCAAUAAAAUAAGAUCAGUUGAUAUAUAUUAGAUCAAGCACCUCUAGCCCUAGUAAUAUAUUUUUACAUUAUAAAUUAAUGUUGUACGUAUAAUUAAGUUCGGCAAUCUAGCCUUUUUCAUGAGAACUGCACAAGAGUUUUUUAUUAGAGUUUAAGAGAAAAAAAAAGUUUAUAUCAGAUUUUAUCUUCUAUUUUUUUAAUAUAACUUAUCAAUUAAAAUAUAAAAAAAAGAAAAGAAAAUUUAAAUCCUUAAUUCAUAAAGUAAUGAUGAUUAAAAAAUAUAAAAUUAUAAUAUUAAACUUUGUCUUAAGCUUUAAUUAAUUAAAAGGAUUCUUAAAUUAGAGAAUUUAGUAUUAAAAAUUUAAAUUUGUAAAAUUUUUUUACUUCAUUUUUUGAUUUAUUAUUUUAUUUUAAAUGGUUAAUUUCUUCAAUUGAAUGUUAUUAUUAAUUUAUUACCAAUUUAUAAUAAUUUAAAAAAUAAUUAAAAAAUCUAUGGAAGCUCAACUAGGCCUUUAUAUUUUCCUUAACAUGGAUUUGCGCAUGGGCUAGAAAAGUGAAAUCCGGUCUAUCAAUUUGCCAUCCCUACGUGUAAUCAUUAUAUUUUGAUGAAAUUAAGAACAAGGACAUAAUCUGCAAGCAUUUUCAUACAGGUCCUUAUGAGAAUGUUGAGGACUUGCGAGAGACUGUAUCACCACCUUAGCCCUUUGUAUGUUAAGAUGAUGAGAUAAUGUUUUAUUAUGCGGUGGAGUAAUAAGUCUUAUAGUGUGAUUCAUAGUGGUGUUAAAAUAAGAUAUAUUAAAUUUAAAAGUAUAACUAGAUUUUAUUAUAAAAUUUAUUACUUUACCAUAUAACAAAAUAUUAUUUAGAUAUCUCAUAAAUUUAGUAAUUUAUGACACAACUUCAUACAAGUUUUUCUCGAGAAUGUGAAUAUGUGAAAUAAUCAGAAUUUUAUCACUUGAUAAUUCAAUCAAUUUCAUAGUAGAACAUAUAAUAUUAUUAAAUGAUAAAUCUUCUUACUGAGGUGGUGCGUCCACCCAUAUAAGUUUUUCUCUUCAUACACAAGACACUAGGACAGGGAUUCAAAUGCAAAUGGAGCAAAUUGUUUUUCUUAUUUGUACUUUACCAAAACUAAGGAGAACAAUGGUUAAUAUCCCGAAAAAGGAAAAUUACAAGACGACGUGUCGAGUUGCCUACAUUCAUCAUCGCUGCUGAGCACACCUGAAGAAGGACGAGCUCUGUUCCCCAUCAUCUUCCAGUCACUCUCUCGCUGUCUCUGUCUCAGUAUCACUGAAUGGAGCUGCAAGAAAUGGAAGAAAAACUGCAAAACGGGGACGUUUUACUUGAGGUGAAGAAGAAGAAGAAGAAGAAAAGGAGAAAGAAGAAGAGAAAGCGAGAGAACAGAAAAUAAAAAAUCGAAGAAGAAGAAGAAGAAGAAGAAGUUGAAUUAUUGCAGGACCCACUUGAGGUUUUGGGUAGAGACAUAAUGUUGAUGAUACUUAAGAACCUCGACGCACGCAGCGUGGCACUAUCUCUCCUCGUGCCCCGUGCUUGGCACGGUGUCGCUUCCAGCGAUUCGAUUUGGUCAGCCAAGGUUAAAUUUCUUCUUUCUUUUUUAACCCUUUGGCUUGUAAUUUGUAUUUGAACUUGGGAUUAGUUUAUUUUGUAUUGAUUUAGUGCUUUCCUUGGAGAAUUUUGAUCAUUGGGUUGCUCUAAUUUCACAAAUGGGUUUUUGUUUUGGGAAAAUUGCAAUGGUUAUAUAAUGUAAAUGUUUGUCUAAUUUGGCAUGUGUUUUGAGAAAGUCUUGAUUAAGCUUGUUAAGUAUUUGUUUGCUGUGUGAAAUAAUCAUAAUAGGAAUCCAAUCAGUUUUGUAGUUUAAAUUUCAAUUAGGUUCCUACUAAAUUGUCUGCUCUUGAAUGACCACAUGGGUAUCAUUACCACGAAUUCAGCAUACCAACAUACUACGUUCUGUAAAUUAUUGUCUGUUGAAUGACCAUGCAUUUGGUUUGGAUUGUAAUUCAGAAUGGGUAGUAUUACAUUGUGAGUGAGAAGGUAAAUAGCUACAAAUUUCGUAGAACAUAUGGGAUUGUUGAAUGUAUGGGAAACUGUCUGUGCAAUCUUCAGAUUUUAUACAAGUAAUCCUCUUGAUUUUUCUGCUUCCAAAUUUAGUAUUUUUUAGUCUAUAAUUAUUAUUUUGUUCUGGGUAAAAGUCUGUUUAGUCCCUAUAUUAUGAGGUUAGUGUCCAUUUAGUCCCUGUAUUUUUAAAAACACCUCAAAACGUCCCUGCUACUAAAUAUUGACACUUAUGCCAUUAUUUUUUAUUAUUUUUAACUUAUUUUUACAAUAUUACAUUUUUACAAUAAUAUUUCUUUUUUGGAUAUUAAUAAAAAAAAUUAAAUUAUCAAAUUAAACUCAAAAAUAAAAUAAAAACAAAAAAGGUAUAUAUUAAUUUUUGUGGAAGCUCACGUAUGUCUAAAAAAUUAAUAUCGUAAAAAAUUACAUUAUCAAUUUUUUUAGAAAAAUUAAUAUUUUAACUCAAGAGUGUGUUCCACAAAAAUUAAUAUAUAUAUUUUAUUUUAUUUUAUUUUUUGGUGUUAAACUGGUAAUUUAUUUUUUUCUUUUUAAUAAUGUCUAAAAAAAUUAUUAUAAUAGGGUUAUUUUUUUCUUUUUAAUAAUGUCUAAAAAAUUAUUAUAAUAGGGCAAUAUUAUAAAAAUAAGUUAAAAGGAACAAAAGAUAAUGGCGAAAGUGUCAAUAAUUUAGUGGUAGGGAUGAUUUGAGGUAUUUUUAAAAAUAUAGGGACUAAACGGACACUAACUUCAAAAUAUAGGGACUAAACGAGCUUUUACCCUUUUGUUCUAUUCAAUUGUAUUAAAAUGAUGGAAAUAAUAAUUAUUAUUUUCUGCCAUAAUGAUUUUCAAAUAAUUAUAUUUAGUUGGUCACUAAAUUCAAAUCCUAGAGGGUGGUGGUGGAUAAAAAUUGAAUUUGAAUUAUAAUUUUAUUUAUCUUUUGGCUUUGUACACUCAGAAAUGGAUUAUCGUGCGAUUCAAAAAUUAUUUGAAAAAAGGAAGAGUCUGAUCAAAGAAACAGACCAAUAUUUGUGGACUCCAAUUCAUUACGCUGCAUAUCAUAAUCAAUAUCAACAGAUAUAUGUGCUAUUAGAUAUUGAUCCAACUGCUUCAAACAUUUUUGACAAAGAUCAAAAGAUGACAGCUCUUCAUUUGGCAGCGGGCCGAGGGCAUGCUAGAGCAAAUGAAAGAAUUCUUUCUCUUGCAGCAAAAUGUUAUGAACUGGUCGAUAACAGGGGAUGGAAUUUUUUUCAUUAUGCAAUGGUCAAUUUUUUUUUUUUUUAAUGAUUUAAAAACUUUCCUAAAAAAUCUGUUAGCGAGGAGUCUUAUAAAUGAGGGGGAUGCCAAGGAGAACUCUAUAUCAUUAGGAAGACUCAAGCCAACGAUCGCACUGUUAACAAGCAAAAUGUUAGUGUUAGACACCUUUUGAAAUAUGGCUAUCCUACGCUCUAAGGUAAUUAAUUUGUUAAUUCUUUCAACUUAUAAUCCAGCUUUCUUUUUCAUUUUUUUUCUUUUUUUGAGUGGUACUAUUAGCACCCCUCUAAAUAUCUCUUAACACCCCUUUUCUUAAUUAACCCCAUUAAAAUGUUUUUAAAAAAUUAAAUAAGUCUUUGAACACCUCCAUUAAUAACAAAAAUACCCUUAAUUAAAACUUAUUGUAUAAACCACAUUCUCUAAUUUUUAUUAUUAAACCUCAUUUUAAUAAUAGGGUCGCUCCUAUUUAAAGAAAAAACAAUAGGUUUUUAUUCUCUCCAUAGUAGCUAUCGGUGGUAAAUUCUUUACUCGAAAAUUAAAGGAAAAAGCAACUUUUUUAAUUACUAAAAUGUUAGAUUUUAUAAGGAAAAAAAUUAUUUGAUUUUUGAGUGGAGAUUUUCUUAAAAAUUUACAUAUUAUGUAAUUUUAAUAAAUGUUAAAAUCGUAAAAUAAUUAAAGGGAUUUUAAGAGCUAUUUGGAGGGGUGCUAAUAGUCCUACUCUUUUUUUUUUUUUUUCAGUUUAUGCAAUUAAUUCAUAUUCAAAUUCAAAUUACAGGAGGAAAUCCAAAAGUUGCCCAAAGAUGUUGGCAGAGGACAAUAUCCAGACAGUGCCACAUUCAUAAGAACAGUGCUAUAUUGCUAAGAUCAGAUCCAAAUGCAGUGGCACGUGCUGUGUUUACUUGACAGGGCUAGUCCGAAUAAAUAUUCAACAUGCCUUAAAAUUUUAUGGUUUUGGUGCAAGGGAUGCUGAAGCGCUUGGUGUGCGUGAGAUCCUCAGCUGGAUUAAGAAGCGGCAUUUGUCUUGUGUUGUAGUAGAAAUGGACUGCAUUCAGGUUUUUAAAGCUCUCACAGCAAGCUAUUCUUGUCCGAAUGGGUAUGGUCUUAUUCUUGAUGAUUGUCUAGCUUUAGCUAAGUCUAUAGGAGAUAUUGAGUUCUCUUUUAUUCGAAGGUCUGCGAACACUGCCGCCCAUGUUACCGCUCGGGUAGGGGGUUCUUUGUCAGGCUUUGAGGAGUGGAGUCAUGUUCCACCUCCUUGGUUAUUUACUUCUCUGUAAUCUUUGCCUUUUAAUGAAGUUUCCAGUUUCAAAAAAAAAAAAAAAACUUUUUUUCUCAAGUAUGUCCUUAAAUCAAUCUUUAUUAAAAUAAUAUUUAUAGUUAAGUUAUUCUUUUUUGGAACCUUUAAAAUUCAAAAUUAAAAAUAGUAAUCUAUCUUUUUAAUUACUUUCUUUGGAGCAAGUUUCUCGAUGUUGCAAUAUCUUUUGAAUAUUUUUUUUGUUACGUUCACACAGACAUAUACAAUAAAUUCAUAAAUUUAUAAUCUAACCCUGCCUGGUCAAAAGAUUAUCUUGACGAUCCUAAAUAUGAUUACAAAGAUAUGACAGCGUCCAAUGUUGUAGUAUAGUGAAAAUUACCCUUUAGGACAAUGCUUUGCACCCCCCUUGAGGAAUUUUCUCUGAGUUCGUAUUCGUUGGUCGGAUAACAAAUUCUUAGUUGUAGGAAGCAACUAUUUGGUUUCCGGCUGCAGCCACAAGGUUAUGAUUGUAACUUUCUUUUUUAAAUAACAAAGAAUAUUGUUGUCAAGCUAUUGUCCAUCACCGUUGAGUUUUUUAUGGGUGUUGUUGUUCCGGCUGAGCUGAUCCUUCAAAAAGUUAUUUUGCCUCAUAUUUCCAACGUAAAUGGCCCAACAAAUUUGUGUCAUUCUGUAUAUUUAUUAAUAUGAAUACGUUUCAUAAUUGUGCGACUUAUCUUUCUGUCUUAGUUGUUAUAUUAAAAAAAUUAACUGGAGAAAAAGAAGAUCUAACAUUUUUUUCUGGUCAAGGCAGCUGCUUCUCGAAAAAAUAUUGUCGCUGAUAUCCUAGGUUUCUCGGAAGGCUCUUUUCCUUUUGUUUAUCUUGGAGUUCCAAUUUUCAAGGGUUGUAUUUUGGCCCAUGCCGGGCGAGUUGAGCUAGUAAAUACUCUUGGCCGUGGGGAUUGAGUUAAUAAUUUUUAUUUUUUUUUCCAUUGAAAACACUACAACGUUUUGCCUUUGUUCUUCUCAGCGGUCUCUCACCCCACGAUUGAUUUAACAUUUCUCUUACAAAUUAAAAGAGUAAGUAAACAUUAAUUAAAAAAUUAUCCAGGUCAGCAAAAAGUCAACAGAUAGAUGCACAAAAACUCUAUUCGCCUCCACGUAAACUCGUAGCAUUUAGAUGCAACCCUUAAAUAAUAAAGUUACUGCUUUCAAGUCGUUGUUCAACACCAUUGUGUUUGCUAAUUGGUAACAUUGAUCUGACUGAUUGAAGCUUUUAACGAAACUAUAUUGAAUCAUAUCAAAUGGACCCUGAUUUCAAAGCUGCAGUUAAAAUACUGAACCUUUUAAGGAUAUGGGAAGAGAUGUAACUUUGAACUAGAGGCGUCAGUGGACUUGACACAGCUGAAUGUGUAAAAUAUAUUUUGCACAAACUAAACAAUUGUAAAACUUUGAAGUUGUCGGAUGGGAAUUGCAUAAUAAGAUUGUCCCACUGGAUCCAUUGUGAUGCUCGUAUUAAAAAGCUAAAGGGAAGAAAGAAAGAUUUUCAUUCAUUAUUUAUUGUCUAUUUUACGAUAAUAUAAAUACAUAAGCUAUUGUAAUAAUUAUAAAAGAAAGUCAAAGGAAAAAUAAAUAAAGAAGUGUAGUAAUUAUCUGGUGGGAGGAAAAUAAAUGAAAAAGAAUAGUAGGUGUCGGUAGGAAGAAAAUAAAUGAAGUGGAGAGGAAAAUAAAUGAAAAGGAGUAGUAGAUGUCCGUAGGAAGAAAAUAAAUGAAGUGGAGAGGAAAAUAAAUGAAAAAGAGUAGUAGGUGUUGGUAGGAAGAAAAUAAAUGAAGUGGGGGUGGUGGCAAUUAUUAUGUCUAUUUUAAAAAUCAUCAUUGCAUUUCAAAAGUUAUUAUUGCAUGUUUUUUACAUGUACCCUGUAGUUAUUAUGCUUGCCUACCAAUAGUGUGAAUCAAUUAAAGGUUGGUGGAAGAAUAAAGAACAUAUGUUAAAUUAAGGUAAGAAUUUCCAUAUACAUAAAUAAUAGUUAAUUAAUUAAGUGAUUUUAAAUCACUUAGAUGUUUUUCUAUCAUACAAAACGUAUAAACGUCUAUAAUUAGUACAUGAAUGACACAUACACAUUCCAUAUAGUAUCAUUUUAGGAAGUGAUUUAACAAGUAACAAGAGGGCUAAGAGGCAACGUUGAAUCACUUUUCUUUUGUAGAAUUAAUGAACUAUCAAUUGUACUCAUAGAGGAUUCCCCUAUUAUUUUAUUGUUUGCAAUCACUUAAGAGUCACUUGAUUCUUUACCCAACAAACAAAAAGAGCAGAACUGUAUAUGGAAUCCGAUGGAAACGUGAUAAGGAAGGCUGCAGUAUUUAAAGAUUGAGGAUAUGGCUCUGCAGACUUUUUCAAUAUGAAGGACAAUACAAAAGAAGAAAUCAUGGUAAACUUUAAUAAUUAAUUGGUAUAUGUUUUUGUGUCUGAGUUCUUAAAAAUAUUGCGCCGCAGUUUAAUUAAUUAUUAAUUAAACAUACAAGCACCCACAGUUGAGAAAUUGAAUAGUUUGCCAAAGAGAAUGACUAAUCUCAAUUUAUUCAUUUGUUUAACUAAAAGAGCAUGAGGAAGAAAUCAAGGUUAAAAAUAGUGAGAAUUAAUGUCGAUACUUUUAACUGUCUGUUUGUCUCUUUUUCUUUUCCGAUAAUACUUCCCUGUUGUUGGCCCUCUUUGUUUCUUUCUUCAAUAUUUUCUACUCGGCCCAUUGAGCCCAUAAUUUCCUGUGCUGCUAUCAACUUGUUUUCCCGCUUUUUUCCUUUCAUUUUUCCCUCCACAAUGCUCUCUCUUCUCUAUGCAUCUGCUUCAUCUCUGUUGCACCUGCUAUCUUGCUGCAAUCGAUCUUCUGCAAUCGAUCUUCUGCAAUCUCUCUCUAUUUAGGCUGUGUUUAUUUGCUGGAGUGAGAGUGAGGAGUGUGAAUUCCUCCCACUCCAGCGUUUAUUUCCUUAAAAUAGGAAGGGAGUAGAGCCCCACUCAUUUUUUUAGUGGGGAGUGGAAGUAGGAGUGGGAAUCCACUCCUACCUCUCCCUUUUUUACCCUUUUAUUUUUUUAAUUUAAUUUAAUAUUUUAUAAUUAAUAAAAUAAAUUAAAUAAUAUUAUAUUUAUUUGAAUAAUAUUAUUAUAUUUAUUUGAAUAAUAAUAUUAUAUUUAAUUAAAUAAUAAUUUGUAUUGAUUCUAAGUUAAAAUUAUUUUAAAAUAAUAUUAUUAUAUUAAUAGAGAAUUAAUAAAUAUAAUAUUAUUAUAUUUAUUUUAAAAAUAAUAGUACUAUAUUUAUUUAAUAUUAAUAAUAAUAAAUAGUUUAUUCUAAGAAAAUAUUAAUUUUGUACUAAAUAAUAUUACAUUAUUAUUUUAUAUAAUAAUAAAUUUAAUAUAAUUAUAUUAAAUAAAAUAAAAUAAGGUUUCAUUUUAUAUUAAAAUUAAUAAUUUAUUGUUCAUAAUUAAGAAUAAUAAUAAUUAUAAUAAAUUUACAAAUAUAAUAAAAUAAAUAUUAUUCAUUAAAUAUAUUUUUUAUUAGUUUUGUAAUUAAAAACUAUAAUUCUUUAAAUAAGGAUAAAAUUAUAAUUUGAAACUAUUUACUCCUAAUCCAAGACAAAGUAAAUACAUAAAUUAGAUUCUGAUCUCUAUUCCAUAUUUUCAUUCCAGUGUAAAUAAACAACCUACUCUCACUCUUACUCCACACUCUCAAUCCUAAGAUUCACACUCCUAGGAUUCACAAUCCAAUUCAAAAAAUAAAUGCUACCUUAAUGCUCCCACACCUACUUCUUCCACCUGGCUACCUCUCAUUAGAUUUGAGCAAAUCCCCAUAUUAAUUUGGCUUGGCCCGGAACAGCCUCCACUCUCAUCCCGAUUGGCCCGACCCGUAUUUUUUCGGUGUCGUUACCCUGUCAAAAAAGCAAGAAUUUAAGACGUGAAAAAUACUACACUUUUCAAGUCAUAUAUACAUACAUGUAAGGUUUAGAGGAAGAUCUAUGAGUACCUCCGAGAUACUGGGUACCCUUAUCUAAUAGAUCAACUUCGCCAAAAUGAAUCCUGUUUCCAUUGAGAUUGAGGAAGCUUCAUUAUUGGACAACAAUGGCGAGAUCAGUCAGUCGCAAAUAGACCCAAUUUUGUUCAAAGUUGCAGCUGCGGGCAAUUCGGAGCCCUUCAAAGAUAUGGCAAGAGAGGUAAUUGAGAGCUUGUUAACAGCAAAGACCAAAAACACAAUCCUGCAUAUCAGUAUCAUAUCCCAAGAAAGAGAAAACGUGUCAACGAAGUUCGUAGCAGAAAUACUUGAGAAAUGCCCAUCGCUGCUACUACAAGUUAAUGCCAAAGGCAAUACUCCACUUAACGUUGCUGCAAAAUUCGGCCAUUCUGAUAUAGUAAGGGUUCUUGUUGAAAGAGCAAAAUUACCUCAACAUGAAAAUGAAGAGCUAGAGAGCGGGGUAGGAGCUGCCAGGCAGAUGAUUAGGAUGACAAAUAAUGAGAAGAAUACAGCACUCCACGAGGCGGUGUGUCACCAAAACGUCGAUGUGGUGGAAAUACUGACGAAAGAAGACCCUGAUUAUCCAUAUUCUGCAAAUAAUUACGGCAAAACGCCACUCUACAUGGCUGCUGAGUCUCGGUGUUCUAAUAUGGUGCUUGCCUUAUUGGAAAACAGCACAUCAGUGUCUCACGAAGGCCCCAACGGAAAGACGGCUUUACAUGCUGCAGCAAUGGAAUUUCCUUUCGGUAAAUUUAGUACCCUUUCAGUAGGAAUUUCAAUAUUGAUAUCUUUCUAUUAAUAGAUUCUUUCCAUAAUGUUCAAGUAAAUACACCCUUUUAAUUCAUUAAUAAAUUAUUAAUUGUCAUAAAUUUAAUCAUGAUAAAUUGUCAGAUAUAAAUUAGUAUUUUAAAAUACUAUAAUAUCCCACAUUGAGGAGAAGUAAGAGCAGUUGAAUUUAGUUUCAAUUAAUUACUUGGUUGAAUUGCUUACAAAUUAGAUGUGAAUAAUUCAAUUUUAUUUAUGAUUGAAUCAAAUUGUGAGACUCAUACUGACUAAUUUAAAUUAAAUAUAAAAAAAAAAGUAGAUAACGAGUUCAAAUUUGAGUUAGGAAAAAGUUAUGUAGUUUUGAUACAUUUGAAGCCUUUAAGGUGGGUUUGAUAGUUCUAUUGUUUUAAAUAAUGUUCUUUACUGCUAUCUCAUCUUUCUUCACCAAUUUAUUUUCUUUUACGAUUCUAAAUUGUUAUCCUUGAGUGCAUGUAACGACCUACCCGAAUUUCAAAGGUGAAUCUAACUACGGUUAACAUAUAAACUUCAACGGCUGAUCGGCAACAAAUCGGCCACUGUUUGAUGGUCAAAAAUUGAAGUGACUGCCAUAAAGGACAAAUCCCAGGUGACGACAUGACCGAAAUCCUGUGAAAACUCGCCGAUUUGAGUCGUCGUCCUCCGUGACUUAACACGGGUUUGUGGGGUGGUCAUAGGCUGUUAACAGCAACAAUGAUGAUGGGGGAAUGACUGGCAUCGUCUGGGAGUUCGGUUGAUACCCUCCAUUGCCGGAGAUGUGGCCGGAAUCGGAAGCACCGAUUCAAGUUUCGUGAACGGGUUGACCUGACCCGUUUCUCUCUCCUCUGACCCGAUCGCGCACGUUGUCUCUCUCACUUAACUCUUAAUCCAGUUAAUGACUAAAUACCCUUAGGAGAAUUAAUUUUCUGAAUAAUGACAAAAAUACUCUUAAUUUAUGAAGAAAUUAAGUGCUGUUAUGAAGGAAUUAAUUUUUUUACUGCGAAAUGCUCCUAAAAAAUUAAUCUUUAGAACUGUAAAUACAGUGAAAAUUGGUCUUUUGGAUGAUAACUAAGAUAGGGAAAGUUGGUUUUAGGAUAAUUAGAUUCACCGAAUUAGUCUUUAGGAUAGUGCUUCAAACAUGUCUCAAUGAAUUUUGCAAAAAUUGUUAUUUCUAUAUGCAAAAUCAGGGAAAUGAUUGCAAGUUCUUAUUUUGUUAAAUAACAAAGUUACCGAUCUAAAGCCAUUAUUCAUUACUCAUCGUGUGAUUGGUGUUGGUGUUGUUGCUCUAGACUUCUGGCUGAUUUGGAAUUUAAAAAAACUAUUUUAUUUUCCUCAUAUUUCCAACAUAAAUAGCCCCCCAAAUAUAGGUCAUUUAUGAAUAUUUACUUUUAUUAAAAGUUUUCAUUAUUAAUUGAUUUAUCUUCUGUAUUCUCAGCUAAUGCUGCAUUCCAAAAAUUACUUGAGGAAAAGAAGAAUCUGAUCAAAGAAACAGAUCAAUAUGGGUGGACUCCAAUUCAUUACGCUGCAUAUCAUGGAAAUUACUGGACGAUAAAAUUGCUAUUAGAAACCGAUCAAUCCGCUUCGAACAUUGCUGACAAAGAUCGAAAGAUGACAGCUCUUCAUUUGGCAGCGGGCCAAGGGCAUGCCAAAAUAGUUAAAGAAAUUCUUUCCGUCAAUCCAGAAUGUUACGAGCUGGUCGAUAACAGGGGAUGGAAUUUUCUCCAUUAUGCUAUGGUUAGUUUUCAUGUUGGACAACUAAGAAAUCUUCUUGAAAAUAAUCCGUUAGCGAGGAGUCUUAUAGAUGAGGGGGAUGCCAAGGGAAACACUCCUCUCCAUGUGCUUGCUGCUGUCCGUCCAAAAGAAUUCGAUGUCGAUUUGGUUAGGAAGACUCAAACCAACUAUGACGCUGUCAACAAACAAAAUGUUAGUGUUAGACACAUUUUAGAUUAUGGCUAUCCUGAGCUCAAGGUAAUUAUUUAAUUUGUUCUUUCAACUAAUUAUUAAAUUUUAUUUUUUUACGAUAUUAAUUAAUAUUCAAAUAUAAAUUAAUUACAGAAAGAAAUCCAAAAAUUAUCCAAAGAUGUUGGCAGAGGACAAUAUUCAAAAGGUGUUAGAAGAGUAGUGCAAAAGUGUGUUACUAAAGAAAAUUACAAGGAUACAAGAGCAUCACAUUUGGUAGUGGCUGCACUCAUAGCAACAGUAGCCUUCGCAGCAGCUUUCACCAUUCCUGGCGGUUAUAGAAGCGAAAAUGGAACUGCAAUCCUGAGGAGAAAUAAAGCUUUUCAAUUAUUUAUGGUAGCAGAUUCCAUUGCCAUGGCCUUUUCUCUUUCUGCCGUCGUUACUCACUUCUGGUUGUCUUAUGUAACUGAAGAAACUAAAGAUUUCAAUGAGGAUUUGUUCCACGCUUCCAUUUGGUUCACCUUAUUGUCCAUGGGAGCAAUGGUGAUUGCAUUUGUUACGGGCACAUAUGCAAUGUUAGCCCCUUCUUUAGGCCUUGCUAUUAUCACUUCUUUAAUUGGCCUGAGCUUUUUCUUUCCUGCGAUUUCGCUCAUCAGAAAUAAUCAGAUUGUCUUUUAAAUUAGUAGGACAAAAGUAAUUGAUUGUAGCGAGUCACCAUCUUUGUUUAUCAAUAAAAUGAUUGAUUUUCAUUUAACAUAAACAUUAAUUAAUUUACUCAAUCUUUGUUAAAAAGCAAUCAUUAUUUUAAUUGUGCAUCAAUCACGGAUACUUUAAUGAAAAUUAAAUUUGAGAUUCAGGCCGGUCUGUUUUACUGUCAAUGAUUAGAUUGAAUUGGUGAGAGGAAGUUAAAAUUAAAUUUAAUAUUUUAAAUUGUUUGUACUCUCUUGAUGGAAUAAAAUAUUGAUUAUUUUGUUAAAAAAAAUUUGAGAAAAUUUAUCUCUUUGUAUAAUAUGUCAUGAUAAAUCUUCAAUUAGACAUGAGUAAAGAAAUUUCUAUUAAAAUUUAUCUCUUUGUGCACUUAAGGAAGGGACGUUACUUUGGAGGAAUUAUUGCAACUAUCGAAAACUAACAAAUGAAAUGGUUGAGGCUUCAGAAGCUCAGGCAUAUGAUGGACCAGGUUCUGUUCAGCCCGUCCAAACUUGAAAGUGCUUUUAUGAACUUAGGCUUGAGCCUGGACUUGUCCAAGCUCAGCCCAUUUUCCAUCCCUUUUUGGUCCAACCACUGAACAGAAAGGAAUCCCAACUCCUAAUUAGCCUAAUCAUCUGCCCUCUGCUGAAUUCCAUGGAAACAUGUGUAAACCAAAAACAAAAUCGACUUUGGAUUCCUAAAGAUUGUGCGAAACAAGCACAUGAGCGGCUCCACGGCCCAAAAGGCGAUUUUUGGACCAUGAUAAAGCGGACGAGGUAAAAUGCCAAUACUUACCAUUAUACUUUAGGCAAAGUCUCUUUAUCUCUCGACCUUAUUCGUGAGAUUUGAUAAAUUAAAAUUAUGCUUUAGGUGACGUCUCGAGAUAAUAUUACAACAGUUAUUUUUAAUUGAAAUUAAUUACUCUAAAAUAAACUACCAAAGAUAUGCUUUCAAAUUCAAUGUUCGCAAAUUCAAAUGAAUUAGGUUGUAUGAUAUAUAUAACAAAGGACUCACUUUUGUAAACCAUUUAAUCUAUCACAUGUAACGUCAAUUGUACUUGAUUUGGUUUGCCUUUGCCACCUGCUUAUACAGCUAAAUUUUAAUAGGAUAAUUGAUAACUAAGUUCUUAAUGUUUAUCUAAGAUUAAACUACCUAAAAAAUUUAGCCGAGUGAUUUUUAAAUAAUUUUACUUUAUUAAUUACCCAAAUUCAAAUCCUAUGGUAGGUUGAGGGAGAAAAAAUUGAUUUGGGUUGGUUGAGGUAGAUUCUUUUUAAGAAGCACUAAUUAGAAACAAAAAUUAAUAUAUUUAUGUAGAUGGCAGCUAGAUUUGUCGAUAAAUUCUUUUUGAAAUAUCUUUAAUAAAUUUUAACAAAGUAUUCAAUAUGAGAGAGAUUUGAGAUGAAUUAGAAUGAAACUAAAAAAAAAAAGAGUCUCUUUGACAAUAUAUUAAUAGUGCGUUUAUUAACUAUGAUUCAUAAUAGGCAAGAAUCAUAAUGAAUUGGAAUCAAAAUGUAGAAUAAUAAAUUGUUUACUUCAAUUAUAAGAAUCGAGAUCGAAAUCAACAAAAUUCCAAACUUAGUAUGUUUAUUUUGUUUUAAAACUAGAAUAGAUGAUUGUAAGUUAUCAAAAUGGAGUAAAAAGAAAGUUUUAAUUUUCAAUAAAGAUAAAUAAUUUUUACUCUUUAUUCUCAUUUCUCCAUUCUUCUUCUGCCAUCUAAAUGAAAUUCCUACUCAUUCCCAAAUUUAUGACUCACUCAAAAUUUAUUUAUAUUUUUUAAAAUUUUUAGCAAAUAAAUUUUAUUAAUAUAUAAUUCUCAUUCCUCAUUUUUUUUCUAAAUCCAAAAAUAAACACAUUAAUGACAUUUAUUGCAUCGACAAAACCAUGUGGUUGUCCUAAAAUUGAUCUAAGAACCCACAUCUGCUAACUUUAUUUUGACUUUCAAAAGACACGACUCCACUCUGGCAUUCAACCAAUGGCAAGUGGAUGGUUGCUGGCUGUGAGGAAGCCACUUUGGAUUCGGUGACUAUCACCCUUAUGAGUUAUGACUCUCUAGUCUCUACUAAUUGUGAAUUAGAUUCUCUUGUCACUAGACAUGUGACUUGUAACUGUGAGUAGCAUCAGGAGGCCUAUCUCCCUAGAAAAUAACCAAAACGCAUGAUAAAAGAAAAGAAACAGAUAGGGGGAUUCGUGAAAUACUGAAAAUUACGAUCAUAAUAAAUUUUAAUUAAUAUAUGUACCACAACUGCUAUAAACAAUAACAAAUAAAUUUAGAAUUUUUAUUAUAAAAAGAUUUUUUAUCAUUCUAAUUUUGACUGCUAGAUGAACUUAGUGAUUUUGAUAAAUUAAUGAGAUAUUUCUUUCUCUUUUUUUUUUUUGAAAACCUUUAUACAACUUUCUAUGCUCAUUCAUAUUUUAAAUGAAUAAAUUGUUACAAUUAUAAAUAUAAUUAUUAUUAAUAAAAUAUCACUCCAUUGUUAGUCUAUUGAUCUUUUGUUCAUCAGAAAAUUCCAAAAGAGUGGUUGUAAAUCCCCUAUCUUCAAAAGAUAAAAAAAAAAAAAGGUCCAAAGCAAAAUUAUACUACUUGUCCCAUUCAUAGAAUUAUUGCUUCUAUUUUGUGGAAUUCUUAAAGGUGAAAUUAGGAUCAAAACCAUCCUUCAUAUGGAGAAGUAUUUUGUGGGGAAGGCAGAUCAUUCACAAAGGGCUGAGGUGGAGAAUAGGAGAUGGAAAAAGUGCCCAGAUUUAUCACAGUUGCUGGUUGCCAAACCUUCAACAUUCAAGCCAUUCUCUCCACCAAAGCUCCCUCUGGAAUCCAGAGUAUCAGAGUUAAUUGAUGGGGAAAAUAAGUGGAAAGAGGUAUUAAUUCAGAAGAACUUCAUGAAAGAAGAUGCUCAACAGAUCUUGAAUAUCCCCCUGCCAAGAACCCCCAAACCUGAUAAGCUGCUAUGGCAUUUCAAUAAGCGAGGAGAAUACUUAGUCAAGAGUGGGUAUUAAGUGGCCUUGAAUCUGAAAUUUCCUGAUCAACCAAACAGUUCAGAGAAGAAGCAAAUUCCAUGGAACAUCAUAUGGGCUUCAGAGUUGCCAGCAAAGAUAAAAAUUUUCAUGUAAGAGCAGCAAGAAAUCUUAUGCCAACAGCAGUUAACUUGUGGAGGAAAAAGGUGAUUCAAAGUCCCUCGUGUCAAAGAUGUAGAAGAACUGAAGAGACACCCUAUCAUGCUAUUUUCAAUUAUGCCUAAAAAGUAUGGAGGCUCACAGAAUAUGGAGAGGAGAUCAGUCAGUGUGAAAGCAAAGAUGUGCUGAAUUUAAUGGUGGAAUUGGCAAAAAAGAAGAGCAAAGUUGAUAUGGAGAUGAUAAUGGCAUUAUGUUGGGUUCCUUGGCACUCAAGGAAUUUUCAAAUCCUAAAAAACAAGAAGGAAGACCCCCAAAUAUCAGUAGCAAGAGCAGAAGCAAUAGUCCAAUCCUACAAAAACGUCAAGCAGCCGCAAUCAUACAUGCAAGAGGAGAGAAAUGGACAAAGAAUCAACAAUGGAGACCUCCAGCUCCAGGUUGGUUUAAAGUAAAUGUGGACGCAACUAUAAUGGAUGAUCAAAACAAAGAAGGCUUAGGGGUGGUGGUUAGAAAUUCUGAAGGAAAGUGUACAGCAGUAGCUAUGAAGCCAGCAGAGUUCCAUGAAAGCAUUGCUUUCGCAGAAGCUGAAGCCACAAAGUUUGGUUUAGAAAUUGCAGAGCAAGAUGGUUGUUUGCCCUUGAUUGUUGAAACAGAUUCCCAGGAAGUAGUGGAUUUGGUUUUAAAUAGAAAGGGCACUCGGAAAGAGAUAUUUUGGUUAAUCUCCGAGAUUCAAGCCAUUUUAUUGAUAAUGCAGUAGAGCAAAUUGCAGCAUGUUUUGAGAAGUGGUAACAGUGCAGCCCACUCAUUAGCCAAAUUAGACUUAAAGCAAGAUUCUGUAUUCUCAUGGCUGGAAAACAUUCCAGAAAGUAUUUUGUCUGUAAUCACUGAUUUUGAGAAAUGAAAGAUCCUGUUUCAUAUAAAAAAAAAAAAAAUACUGGUGUAUUAUAUUAUGUUGCAUUGUACUAGCACUGUAUUAUAACAAUGUUGUACAAUGUUUGGUGUUAUUAUAUACUGCAUUGAUUUUUUUGUAAUUAAUUUAAAUUAAAUAUUACAUUAUAUUAAUAUUUUAUAUUAUAUUAACAUAUUUAAAUUGUAUUAAUCUUUUAUAUUAUUAUUAGUUAUAAUAAAUUAUAUAUUUAUUAAUUUAUAUUAAUAAUUAUAAUGUAAAAAUAAAAAUAUUAUAUAAUAUUGUAUUAAAUUAAAAAGUUGUUGUUAUUAUUAUUAUUAUUAUUAUUAAGCAAAAGCAAAAGUAAAAGCAAAAGCAAGAGAGAAAAAAAAAAAGCAAGCUAAUGCGGCAGUUGCUACAUUACCGCACCCCCUUUAACUCAUUCUCAUGUUCUUCCAAACAUAACCUUAGUGUUAAUUUAAUGUGAACAGAAUUUUAAUACCCCAUAAUACAAUGCACCAAACAUAUCCUUAGAUAUUUUUCUGUCUAAUAAAACGUAAAAAUGUCAAUAAUUAGUAUAUGAAUGACACAUUCCAUAUAGUAUCAUUUUAAGAAGUGAUUUAAUAAGUAACAACAAGGCUAAGAGGCAACGUUGAAUCACUUUUCUUUUGUAGUAUUAAUGAACUAUCAAUUGUACUUAUAGAGGAUUCCCCUAUUAUUUUAUUGUUUGCAGUCACUUAAGAGUCACUUGAUUCUUUACCCAACAAACAAAAAGAGCAGAACUGUAUAUGGAAUCCGAUGGAAACGUGAUAAGGAAGGCUGCAGUAUUUAAAGAUUGAGGAUAUGGCUAUGCAGACUUUUUCAAUGUUAAGGACAAAACAAAAGAAGAAACCAUGGUCAACUUUAAUAAUUAAUUGGUAUAUAUAUGUUUUUGUCUGAGUUCUUAAAAAUAUUGCGCCACAGUUUAAUUAAUUUAUUAAUUAAACAUACAAGCAACCACAGUUGAGAAAUUGAAUAGUUUGCCAACGAGAAUGACUAAUCUCAAUUUAUUUAUUUAUUUAACUAAGAGAGCAUGAGGAAGAAAUCAAGGUGAAAAAUGUUGAUUCUUGGCUUUUUUCCUUUCAUUUUUCCCUCCACAAUGCUCUCUUCUCUAUGCAUCUGCUUCAUCUCUGUUUCACCUGCUAUCUUGCUGCAAUCGAUCUUCUGCAAUCUCUCUCCAUUUAAUGCUCCCACAACCACUUCUUCCACCUGGUUACCUCUCAUUGGAUUUGAGCAAAUCCCCAUAUUAAUUUGGCUUGGCCCGGAACCAGAUGGGCCCGACCCGUAUUGUUUCGGUGUCGUUACCCUGUCAAAAAGCUAGAAUUUAAAACGUGUGAAAAAUACUACACUUUUCAAGUCAUAUAUACAUACAUAUCAGGUUUAGAAGAAGAUCUAUGAGUACCUCCGAGAUACUGGGUACCCUUAUCUAAUAGAUCAACUUCGCCAACAUGAAUCCUGUUUCCAUUGAGAUUGAGGAAGCUCCAUUAUUGGACAGCAAUGGUGAAAUUAAGCAGCAAAUGGACCCAAAUUUUUUCAAAGCUGCAGCUGCGGGCAAUUCGGAACCGUUCAAAGAUAUGGCAGGAGAGGUAAUUGAGAGCUUGUUAACAGCAAAGACCAAAAACACAAUCCUGCAUAUCAACAUCAAAUUCGAAGAAAGAGAAAACGUGUCAACGAAGUUCGUAGAAGAAAUACUUGAGAAAUGCCCAUCGCUGCUACUACAAGUUAAUGCCAAAGGCGAUACUCCACUUCACGUUGCGGCAAAGUUCGGCCAUUCUGAUAUAGUGAGGGUUCUUGUCGAAAGAGCAAAAUUACCUAAACAUGAAAAUGAAGAGCUAGAGAGCAGGGUAGGAGCUACCAGGCAGAUGAUUAGGAUGACAAAUAAUGAGAAGAAUACAGCACUCCACGAGGCAGUGUGUCACCAAAACGUCGAUGUGGUGGAAAUACUGACGAAAGAAGACCCUGAUUAUCCAUAUUCUGCAAAUAAUUACGGCAAAACGCCACUCUACAUGGCUGCUGAGUCUCGGUCUUCUAAUAUGGUGCUUGCCUUAUUGGAAAACAGGACAUCAGUGUCUCAUGAAGGCCCCAACGGAAAGACGGCUUUACAUGCUGCAGCAAUGAGAUCUUAUGCCGGUAAGUUUAAUUAUACCCUUUCAGUAGGAAUUUCAAUAUUGAUAUCUUUCUAUUAAUAGAUUCUUUCCAUAAUGUUCAAGUAAAUACACCCUUUUAAUUCAUUAAUAAAUUAUUAAUUGCCAUAAAUUUAAUCAGGAUAAAUUGUCAGAUAUAAAUUAGUAUUUUAAAAUAUUAUAAUAUCCCACAUUGAGGAGAAGUAAGAGCAGUUGAAUUUAUUUUCAAUUAAUUGUUUGGUUGAAUUGCUUACAAAUUAGAAGUGAAUAAUGCAAUUAUAUUUAUGAUUGAAUCAAAUUGUGAGACUCAUACUGACUAAUUUAAAUUAAAUAAAAAAAAAGUAGAUGACGAGUUCAAAUUUGAGUUAGGAAAAAGUUAUAUAGUUUUGAUACAUGUGAAGCCUUUAAGGUGGGUUUGAUAGUUCUAUUGUUUUAAAUAAUGUUCUUUACUGCUAUCUCAUCUUUCUUCACCAAUUUAUUUUCUUUUACUAUUUUAAAUUGUUAUCCUUGAGUGCAUGGAACGACCUACCCCGAAUUUUAAAGGUGAAUCUAACUACGGUUCACAUAUAAAUUUAGAUAUCUUUUUACAAUGGAUAACUCAAUUUCUGACCAUCAAUCUAACUAUGGCUCACAUAUAAACUUCAACGGCUGAUCGGCGACAAAUCGGCCACUGUUUGAUGGCCAGAAAUUGAAGUGACUGCCAUCAAGGACAAAUCCCAGGUGACGACAUGGCCGAAAUCCGGUGAAAACUCGCCGAUUUGAGUCGUCCCGUGACUUAACACGGGUUCGUGGGGUGGUCAUUGGCCGUUUUCCGGCAACAAUGAUGAUGGGGGAAUGACCGGCGUCGUCUAGGAGUUCGGUCGAUACCCUCCAUCGCCGGAGAUGUGGUCGGAAUCAGAAGCAGCGAUUCAGGCUUCGUUAACGGGUUGACCCAAGCCAUUUCCUUUCUCUUCUAACCCGAUCGUGCACCUUCUCUCCCUCACAACUCACUUAAUCCAAUUAAUGACUCAAGUACCCUUAUGAGAAUUAAUUUUCUGAUUAAUGAUAAAAAUAACCUUAAUUUAUAAGGAAGUUAAGCAUUGUUCUGAAGGAAUUAAUUUUUCUACUGUGAAAUCUUCCAAAAAAAAACUAGUCUUUAGAAUUGUAAAUGUACUGAAAAUUGGUCUUUUGGAUAACUAAGAUAGGGAAAGUUGGUUUUAGGAUAAUUAGAUUUAACAAAUUGGUCUUUACAAUAGUGCUUCAAACGUGUCUUAGUGAAUUCUUCAAAAAUUGUUAUUUCUAGAUGCAAACUCAGGGAAAUGAUUGCAAGUUUUUAUUUUGUUAAAUAACAAAGUUACCGAUCUGAAGCCAUUAUUCAUCACUCAUCGUGUGAUUGGUGUUGGCGUUGUUGUUCUAGACCUCUGGCUGAUUUGGAAUUUAAAAAAAAAAAACUAUUUUUUUUCCUCAUAUCUCCAACAUAAAUAGCCCCUCAAAUUUAUGCCGUUUCUGAAUAUUUACUUUUAUUAAAAAUUUUCAUUAUUAUUUGAUUUAUCUUCUGUAUUCUUAGUUGAUGCUGCAUUAUCAAAAUUACUUGAGAUAAAGAAGAAUCUGAUCAAAGAAACAGACCAAUACGGGUGGACUCCAAUUCAUUACGCUGCAUAUUAUGGAAAUUACGGGACGGUAAAUUUGCUAUUAGAAACUGAUCAAUCCGCUUCGAACAUUGCUGACAAAGAUCGAAAGAUGACAGCUCUUCAUUUGGCAGCGGGCAAAGGGGAUGCCCGAAUAGUUGAAGCAAUUAUUUCCAAAAAUCCAGAAUGUUACGAGCUGGUCGAUAACAGGGGAUGGAAUUUUCUCCAUUAUGCUGUUGUUAGUUUUCGUGUUGAAAAACUGACAAAUCUUCUUGAAAAUAAUCCGUUAGCGAGGAGUCUUAUUAAUGAGGGGGAUGCCAAGGGAAACACUCCUCUCCAUGUGCUUGCCGCAAUCCGACCAAAUGAAUUCGAUGUCGAUUUGGUUAGGAAGACUCAAGCCAACUAUGACGCUGUCAACAAACAAAUUGUUAGUGUCAGCCACAUUUUUAAUUAUGGCUAUCCUGAGCUCAAGGUAAUUAUUUAAUUUGUUCUUUCAACUAAAUUAUUAAAUUUAAUUUUUUUACGCAAUUAAUUAAUAUUCAAAUGUAAAUUAAUUACAGGAAGAAAUCCAAAAAUUAUCCAAAGAUGUUGGCAGAGGACAAUAUUCAGACGGUGUUAUAUGCAUAAGAGAAUCAGAAGACCGUGCAGUGCAAAAGUAUGUUACUGAAGAAAAUUACAAGGAUACGAGAGCAUCGCAUUUGGUAGUGGCUGCACUCAUAGCAACAGUAGCCUUCGCAGCAGCUUUCACCAUUCCUGGCGGUUAUAGAAGCGAAAAUGGAACUGCAAUCCUGAGGAGAAAUACAGCUUUUCAAGCAUUUAUAGUAGCAGAUUCCAUUGCCAUGGUCUUUUCUCUUUCUGCCGUCUUUACUCACUUCUUGAUGUCUUUUAUAAUUGAAGAAACUAAAGAUUUCAAUGAGGAUCUGCUCCUCGCUUCCGUUUGGUUCACCAUAUUUUCCAUGGGAGCAAUGGUGAUUGCAUUCGUUACGGGAACGUAUGCAAUGUUAGUACCUUCUUUAGGCCUUGCUAUUAUCACUUGUUUAAUUGGCUUGAGCUUUUUCUUGCUUGUGAUUUGGAUCGUCAGAUUGUCUAUUAAAUAAGUAGGACAAAAGUAAUUGAUUAUAGUGAGUCACCAUCUUUGUUUAUCAAUAAAAUGAUUGAUUUUCAUUUUAACAUAAACAUUAACUAAUUUACUCAAUCUUUGCUAAUAAUGAAUCAUUAUUUUAAUUGUACAUUGAUCACUGAUGUUUUAAUGAAAAUCAAAUUUGAGAAACUGUCUACUUUGCUGUUAAUAAUUAGAUUGAAUUGGUGAGAGGAAGUCAAAAUCAAAUUUAAUAUUUCAAAUUGUUUGUACUUUUUUAUGUUGAUGGAAUAAAAUCUUGAUCACUUUGUCAAAAAAAAUUGAAAAAAUUUAUCUCUUUGUAUAAUGCGUCAUUAGAAAUUUUUAAUUAGACAUGAUUAAAGAAAAUUUAUGAUGCGUGUUUAAGGGUGGUGUCUAUAUAUAUAUAUAUAUAUAUAAUAUGUUUGUUUUAAUAGGUUAAUAUAUUGUCAUCGGAAUUUUAUUAAUAUUUACAAUAAAAAAUUUAUCAAAACUAUUCUUAAUAAGUCUAGUAUGACAUAGUUUGAAUUUCUACCCUCAUAUAAUACUAUAGGGAUGUUUGCUCUACUUAUAUUAAUGAAGAAGAAAUUUACUCCUAUCCAAUUUAAUUAGAAGGAAACCGGGUCCAAUAAUAAUUAGGACUCAAAGGUUGCCCUAAUGGGCUAAGAAAAUGAGUAUUUAUAUAAGUAAAUUAAAAUUUACCAUUUAAUAGAGAUAAUGACACAUCAUUUUAAAGUCAAAUCCUACGUCACCAAAUGAGUUGAAUUAAGACCGAGAAAGACCAAAAGGGGGGGGGCGUUACUUUGGAGGAAUUAUUGCAACCAUUGAAAACUAACAAACGAAAUGGUUGAGGCUUCAGAAGCUCCGGCACAUGAUGGGCCAAGUUCUGUUCAGCCCGUCCAAGCUUGAUAGGGUUUUUAUGAGCUUAGGCUUGAGCCUGGACUUGUCCAAGCUCAGCCCAUUUUCCAUUCCUUUUUGGCCCCACCACUGAACAGAAAGGAAUCCCAACCCCGAGUUAGCCUAAUCGUCUGCUCUCUGCUGAAUUCAUGGAAAUAUGUGUAACUGUAAACCAAAAACAAAAUCGACUUUGGAUUCCUAAAGAUUGUGCAAAGCAAGCGCAUGAGCCGCUCCAUGGCCCAAAAGGCGAUUUUUGGACCAUGAUAAAGCGGCAAGCCUGUAUUUACCAAUAAACUUUAGGUGAAGUCGCUAUAUUUCUCGACCUUAGUCGUGAGAUUUGAUCAAUUAAAAUUAAAAUUUAGGUGACGUUUUGAGAUAAUAUUACAACAGUUAUUUUUAAUUGAAAUUAAUUACUCUAAAAUAAACUACUAAAUAUAUGGUUUCAAAUUCAAAUGAAUUAGAUUGUAUGCUAUAUAUCACAAAGGACUCACUUCUAUAAACCAUUUAAUCUAUCACAUAUAGCAUCAACUGUACCUGAUUUGGUUUGCCUUUGCCAUCUACUUAUAUAUACUAAUUUUAAUAGGAUAAUUGAUAAUUAAGUCCUUAAAGUUUAUCUAAGAUUAAACUACCUCAAAGACUUCAUUGAGUGAUUUUUAACUAAUUUUGUUUUAUUGAUUCCCCGAAUUCAAAUCCUAUGGGAGGUUGAGGGGAAAAAAAUGAUUUGUGUUGGCUAAGGUAGAUUCUUUUUAAGAAGCACUAAUUAGAAAAAGAAUUUUAAUAUAUUUAUAUAGAUGGCAGCUAGUUUUGUCCGAAAAUUCUUUUUAAAAUAUCUUUAAUAAAUUUCAACAAGCAACAAGAUAUUCAAUAUGUGAGAGAUUUGAGAUGAAUUAGAUUGAAACUAAAAAACAGAGUCUCUUUGACAGUAUAUUAAUAGUGCAUUUAUUAACUAUGAAUCCUAACAGGCAAGAGUUAUUAUGGGUUGGAAUCAAAAUGUAGAAGAAUAAAUUGUCUACUUCAACUACAAGAAUCGAGAUCGAAAUCAACAGUAUUUCAAAUUUGAUGUGUUUAUUUUAUCUUAAAAUCAAAAUAGAUGGUUGUAAGUUACCAAAAUGGAGUAAAAAGAAAGUUUUAAUUUUCAAUAAAGAUAAAUAAUUUUUACUCUUUAUUCUCAUUUCUCCAUUCUUAUUCCCACCUCUUCUAUCCAAAUGAAAUUCCUACUCAUUCUCAAAUUUAUGCAACUCACUCAAAAUUUAUUUAUAUUUCUUUGUAUUUUUAGCAAGUAAAUAUUAUUAACAAUUCUCAUUCCUCUUUUUUAAAUAUAAAAAAUAAAUGCAUUAAUGACAUUUAUUAAAAUAAACACAUCAACAAAAUCAUGUGGUUGUCUUAAAAUUGAUUUAAGAACCCACAUUGAGAAUUUGUUUCCUUCUAACUUUAUUUUGACUUUCAGAAGACACGACUCCACUCCCGCAUUAAACCAAUGGCAAGUGGAUGGUUGCUGGCUGUGAGGAAGCCACUUUGAAUUCGGUGAUUGUCACCCUUAUGAGUUAUGACCACAAAAAAGGAAAGUGGCUGAAAAAGCAAAUUACUCAUUUUUUUUUUAAAAGGAAGUUUGACCGUAGACUCUAUAGUCUCUACUCAUUGUGAGUUAGAUUCUCUCAUUACUACUUACUAGACAUGUCACUUCUAAUUGUUAGUCGCAUCAGGGAGCCUAUCUCCCCAGUAAUUUUAGUAUGGUGCUUGUUAUACAUUAUUAAGAGAGUCUGCUACUCCACUGUUCCUGAUGGCCACAGGGUUGGUGGUACAAGACCCCUGCUUGUAUGCGUCUAGAAUGAAGUACCGCUGGGUUUGCCAAAUACUUUCUAAAUAUAGAAUAACUAUCCAAUGAGAAAGCUCGAUCAAACUAAAAGACAUGAAUAAUCACAUAUUUUAAUGUUGUGUUCUCUUUGCAUCUUAAGAACUCAUCUUCGGCUUUGUUUAGGCAAUAUUUAUUUGAAUUUUAGUUCGACCCAUAAUAUUUUUGGUCCAACAGUGUUAACUUAGUUUUUCACUUUUGAAAUGUAAAGAAAAUAUAUGAAAUUUUCUCAAAUUAUCAAUGUAAUUAGAUUUCUCAUUAAAAGUUAAUAAUAAACAAAAGUAGUUAAAAACACGAUCAGCCAUUAAUACUUAUGUAACUUACACUGAUCCCAAUAUAUAUACGACGGACAUGUUCGGCCGUUAGGCAAACAGUUUUUGUUUCCUCUCAAUUAGUUGGUAAAAACUAUAAACGAAAGAGCGAGACAGAGAAUAUUGAAGCAAAACCAUCCAUCCAAUUACACUACCAAACAAGAGUGAAGAGCCUUUAUUGUUAAAAUGUUAAUUGCUUAAAUAAAAACAUUAGUUUGCAUGAAUUUUGUGUGUGUGUGUGUGUGUGUGUGUGUGUGUGUGUGUGUGUGUAUGUAUAUAUAUAUCCUUCUUUAGUACGAGUGUGGUGAAAUAUAAGUGUGCAACCCAAGAGGGGGGGUGAAUUAGAAUUUUAAAAAUUAUCCUAGCAAAUCCACACAACAAGCAAUCUAAUGACUUAAUAAAAAUUGAAAGCAAUAAGUUCAAUCAAAGUACAAUAAUUAAAGAGCAAGGGAAGAGAAAGCAAACUCAAGGAUUUUUACGUGGUUCGGCAAUCCCCGCCUACGUCCAUGCCUCCAAGCACACCGGGCUUGAGGAUUUCACUAUCCAAGCCUUUCCAAGGCUUCAAACGAUUACAAUUGACUUCAAGGUGUCAAUGAACCUUUACAACAAGAGAUUAUAUCUCCAAUCUCUUCACCCCAAGUGUUUCUCACACUUGUACUCUCACAAUUUGAUGUGAAAUGAAAAAUACAACAAUUAAUCUCUCUUUAAGAGUGGAUAUACAAAUUGAAGAACAAAGAUGAUUUAAUGAAUGAUGAUUCACGAAGUUGAAGCUCAAUAUAUGUUGUGCGCACUUGUUCUUGCUUGCUUGGAUUGCUUCAAAAUGAGUUGGAUUUGAGUUCUUAUAGUUUGAGCUCAAAAACUAGUCGUUACUCACAUUCCAAGCGUAUCCGGUUUGCCGUUUAUGGAAUUCGGUAAGCCGGAUUUAUGUUACCGUUAAAGCAAAAUUCAAAAUUUUGCCUAACCGGCUUGUCGGAUUUGGAAUCCGGUAAGCCGUUUUCGUUCUGGACGCUUGCUGCCCGUAUCCGAAUUUCCAGUUUUCAAAAUCCGGAUAGCUGCUUGAUACAGUAACCUGCACAGUGCACUAUUUUUUGAAAUUACAGUUUGACCCCAAAACUUUAUAAAAUUGUACUACAACCCAAAACGUUAUGAAACUUUACAAAUAGAUCCAAUUUCAUAAUUUCUAAAUAAUGCUUUGUUUAUACCAAAACUUUCUGAAAUUAUGAUAUUGCCAAAGGUGCUAUGACACUUUUCAAAUAAGUCCUUUACCAAAAUUUCAAGCAAUACUUGUUUAUUUCAAAGUUUUCAAAAUUCUUUCAAUUAAACCAUAAACUUUGAAAAACAACCAAUUUCAUAAAAUCAUUUUUCCAUUAAAUAUGAAACAUUUAUAAUGUGAAAAUAAUAAUUUAUUUAAAAAGAAUAAAAACAAUCAAUUUCAUGAAAUCAUUUUUCCAUUAAAUAUAAAACCUUUAUAAUGUAAAAAUAAUGAUUUUAUUUAAAAAGCAUAUUAAAUAAUUUGGGCUUAAAAGAUUAAUUAUUCUUAAUCUUGUUUGUUAUCAUCAAAAUUAAUAUUAUGGAAACAUAUAUGUCAACAUGUGGUUCAAUAAAGUUAGUGCAUAACGUUAUUAAACCGCACAACUUAAGAGCAUAUUCGCAUUAAAACAAAUGAAGGCGUCCGCCCCUGAAAAUGAUUACGUGUGUGUGUGUGUGUGUGUAUCUUUUAAUUUAUUCAAGUUAUAAGGAUAUAAUAGUGAGCUAUCACAGACAAUUACACAAAUAUUUAGACGAAUGUACAGAUAAACGAAUUAUUGAUUUCUCAUGCCGACAUAUUAGGAAAAAAUAUCAGUAUACUAAAGUAUCACAUAAUGAUUUAUACACAUCUUUUUAACAUGUACACAAUCAAUUCAGAUGUUGCUAAGGGAUUUUUAUUCUUGCUAGGUAAAUUAUAAAUUUACUCCCAGAAGAAUGAUUAAAUACAUAUAAUUUAGGUUCAAAAUACUAGAGGUGGGCACGGGUCGAGUUGAUAAUCAACCCGACCCAACCCACAUAUAGAAUGGGUUGAAAAAAUUCAACCCAACCCAACCCAACCCAUUAAAUUUUUCAACCCAACCCGCACAGUUGUGGGUUGGGUCAGGUUGGGUUGAUUGGGUUGGACUUUUGAAAAAGCUCAUUUUUAUGGUCUAAAUAAAAAUAAAUAAAUUAAUUAAAAAAUUAAAAAAAAAACACAAAUACUAAAAUUCUUACAGCAAAUCCAAUAUUUCAAAAUUUAGCAAUCAAAUUAUUAGUACAUAACUAAUGAAAAAAAGUACAUAAAUUUAAAAUCUUGUUUAAUACAAAACAUUAAAGUCCAAAAAGUGAAAAAUUUUAUAAGUCUUCCAUGCAUAGGAAGAGAGUUUCCUAAAACCAUUGCUCAACACCAACCAACAGGAGUGUAAUGAAGAUCAGUCCAAUGACAUCAAAAUCCAGAUCAAUCCAAAUUAAUUGACAUCAAAAUCUGAUGUCAAUCUUGAAUCUAUAUAACAAUAAAAAUAAAAAUAUUAGGCAUAUAUGUUAUAACAAAUAAAUACAAGGAAAAUAUAAAUAGAAUAAAAAUAAAAAUCAUAAUAUAAAUAUUUACCUGAUGUAAUUGAUUCAUAAAAUGCCAUAUCUUCAAUUGAAGAUGUAUCCUCUUCUACGGCAAUACGAGAAGAACAAAGCCAAUUUUGCCCACAUAUCAAGCUCUCUACCAUUUUAGGACUCAAAGAAGCUCGAAAUGGAUCAAGAAUGCGUCCUCCUGUACUGAAUGCAGACUCAUAAGCAACUGUAGAUAUUGGGAUUGCAAGAAUGUCUUUGGCUACAUUAGACAAAACUUUAUACUUCCCACCAUUUACCUUCCACCAGUUCAACAAAUCAAAUGAAUCGUCAAAGCAAUUUUCACAAUUAUCUAAUAAAUAUUUGUUCACUUCAUUUUUCAACUCUACACCAUUCUCUUCCAGCUGUUUCUUUUUCCAUUUUGAAAGUUUUGCUACAUUGGCUAGUCUAUAAUCAAUAAUAUCACUUUUUUUCUCUGACUCGGAUGGAAAAAUGACAGCAUUAACAGAUUGGUUUUGGCUACCAUUAUCACAUCUAGGGUUAUUAUUUGUGUAAAAGUCAUACAAAGAAGACAAUAAGCCCUUAAUCACUUUUAUGAGCUCACACACAACAUUUUCAUCAUACAACUCCUCAAAACAAAAUUUCACAAAACUCAAUUUAUAACGCAGAUCAAGCACAACAGCAACAAUUAACGACUUAUUUAGAGUGUUAAGGGAACCCCAAUAUUUGUCAUACUUCUCUUUCAUCUUCUUGGCCAUUGCACUCAAAUAAGAAUCAUCACUUAGUACCAAUCCUUUUAAAUUUGACUCUAUAGAAUGCAUCUCAUGAAAAUACAAAUGUGAUGUAACAGACAAAGAAGCACUAAAUUUUUUUGUAAUUUCAUAGAAAUUCUCCAAAAAAUUAUUCAACACACUUGCAUUCACCCAAUCUAUAAGUUCCGAUGGCCCAAUCCUUUUUUUCCACCCUAUUUCUCUUCAAAAUAGGAUCUAUAAAAUCCAUCAUCAUCCUCCAAUCGUUCAAAAGCUUUUUGAUAUAUAAGAGCACUCUCUAACAUCAAAUAGGUGGAAUUCCACCUAGUAGAAACAUCCAUCACAACAAUACAUUUAGAAUCAAGUUUUUCAUGCUCAACACAUUUUCUAAACCUUACUAAUCUAGCCGGUGAUGAUCUUACAUAUUUCACAGCAUUGCGAAUGCUAGAAACAUAAUUAUUCAUCUCUUUCAACCCCUCAGUCACAAUCAAAUUUAUAAUAUGUGCACAACAUCUAACAUGAAGAUAAUCACCAUUCAACAUAAGCCCACCCCAAUUAUUCAGCUUCUUUUUUAAAUAAAAAAUGACCAAGUCAUUCGAACUUGCAUUAUCAACAGUAAUUGUAAACACUUUAUCAAUACCUCAUUCAAGUAAGCAAGACUCAAUCAAUUUUCCAAUUGUAUCUCCUUUAUGAUCAUCAAUCUGGCAAAAGUUUAAUAUCCUUUUAUGAAGUUGCCACUCAUCAUCAAUAAAAUGGGCUAUAAUAACCAUGUAAUUCAAAAUUUGUAUCGAAGUCCAACAAUCAGUUGUUAUACAAACCCUAUACUUAUUACGAGCAAACAUUUUUUUCAAAUUAUUCUUCUCAUUUAAGUACAACUGAUACACAUCUCUAGCAACAGUUCUCCUAGAAAACCGAUCAAGUUUUGGACAAGCUUUGCUCAUAAAUUUCCGAAACCCUUCUUUUUCAACAAAACUAAAGGGCAAUUCAUCAAUAAUUAUCAUCUCAAUUCUACGGUCCUCUUUGCUACAAGAUAUUGCCACAAGAUUACUGCCACCACCAGUUGUGUUAUCCUCAAACACCAAGGUUUUUUGUUUUAAAUCAACUUUCCUAUCAGCAUAGGCUGUGCAUGCUGCCAAAUGAUUCCAUAAAGUACGGGUCCCAAUAAAUCUAGAAUGAUACGCAUACACUUUAGAACAGUAGUUACACUUACAUUUUGUAUCAUUCUCAAAUUUUUGUGUAAUGUUCCCAUACUUUUGACGCUUUUCCACAUUUUCCAUUGCUUGCAUGUGUAUUAAUAACACUAUCAGUUGUACUUUGAGUUGUUGAAGGUGUAGAGAUAUUAACUCCUGGAUUACUGGAUGAAUUUGCUUCCAUCUACAAGGAAAAAAUUCCAGGCCAUGAAUAUUGUCAUUAUCCUAUUAAUAAUUAACAAAUAAUAAAAAAAAUAACAAAUAGUGGUCACAGCAAGCUUAAAGCUCUUUUCUUAAUACCUUUAGCCAUGUUUGGAUACUAUGAUAAAUAAAUAUGAUUAAAAUAAUUUUAUGAAAAAAAUCUAUCAGAGAUAGAAUACAUAUGUGAAUUUGAGAGCAUGACUAGUUAAUACUGAAAAUAUUUCUGCAGAACAAUGCCCAGGAGAUGUUUGUCGAAAAGCCUUUUCCCUAAGAUUAUAAUAAUAACAAUUAUUUUAUUUAUGUUAAUCCAAUUGUUGAUUAAGCUUGACACCAUCAUAACAACCAAAAAUUGACCAACUUUUAUCAAUAAAAAAAUAUUAUAAAGCACUAAAUCAUGAAAUCAAAUGAGCUAGACAUUUUAACAAUAAAAAAUUGAUCAACUUGUUUCAAAACAAUAAUAAAUUAGUAAAAUAGAAAGAAGAAAGAACCUCAGCAUGUGACGAUGUGUAGUUUGGGCAGCUUUUGAAGAAACGUUGUGAGUUGUGAUGUUGUUGUGUUCUAUGCGUGAGCAGAUGAGCAGUUGUUCUUUAAACAAGAGAAUUUGAGUUUAGGGUUCAGAGAAGUUGCUAAAUAUGUUUUUAUAUAUACGGGUUGACGGGUCGGGUUGGGUUAAAAAUUUACAACCCGACCCAACCCGCAAACAGUGCAGGUUGAAAAUUUAACAACUAAACCUGACCCGUAAAUUUUAUCAACCCAACCCAACCCGCAAAAAUUCAUACGGGUUGGGUCGGGUUCACGGGUUGGUCGGGUUAGUGCCCACCCCUACAAAAUACAACCAACAAUGUAACUGAUCAACAUUAGAAAAUGAUUCAUGGUCUCCUAUUAGGAAAAAUAUCAACCAGCAAUGUAACUUAUCAACAUUAGAAAACUUGAUAUAGACAUGGUAUUAGAGAUGUUCCCAGUAGAGCUUGAGCAUGUUGGAUGCAUGAUAAUGGAGAUGCUCUUUAAUAGAGUCCCGGAUGCAUUGUGAUCUCCUUAUCAGAUUAUCUAUAGAUUGAUCUCCAAGUUUGUUAUGGACUAGUUGUUGUACCAUUAUGUUGUUGUUGGAAUGAAAUUAUAUCCCUGUGAAAAAAAAAGAAAAAAAUUCUAGCACAUUUGUAUUCACCCGUUGGUAUUAAUGACAUUAAUGUUUUUUAUACAAGUAAGAGGGGGGCGAGAGAGAUCUGCUAGAAAGAAUAAUAUAUUUACAUGACGAGUCUAGCUACGUUGCCUCGGACGAUGCCUUACAUGACACAUAUGUGACACAACAAUGCCUUACAUGACACAUAUGUAAUAGACACCUGAACUCUAUAAUUCUUGUAUUGGAAGCAAAUCUCCUUUAAAUUUAUAAUAUAUUAUAAACACAGCUAACAAAAUUUUAUACAAUCCAUUUAGCAAACAUGAACACAACACGAAAAAAUAGGUUUAGAUUAUUAAAUUGGAAGCAAAUCUCCUUUAAAUUUAUAAUAUAUUAUAAACACAACUAACAAAAUUUUAUACAAUCGAUUUAGCAAACAUGAACACAACACGAAAAAAUAUGUUUAGAUUAUUAAAUUUGACACAAUUAUUAAAUAAGUUGUACCCUUUUUAAAUUUCAACACAAUUUUUUGACUUCUCGAGUUAGGUUUAUAUUCUUAGCCCAUCUACUCAAUUAAUGAAAUGGUUAUUACGAAGGAUAAACAUUUAUGUGCUAUUCUAGAUGAAUUUAAAACUUAAAUGGUGUAAAUAUGUAAUAUUUCAAUUGAUAUAUAUAUUUUUAUGAUACCGAUAUAUAAUAUUAUUUAGAUAUAUAAAAAUUGUAAAAUUUUUAUCAAAUAGGGGCAAAAAUGAUUGAUAUAAAUCAUGUUAAAUGAGUAUUAAUUAAAUAGAUUAUUAAGUCAUGACACAAUUAUUAAUUAAUGAGUUACGUUGUGUCAAUUGUUUAUUUUACAUAUCAAACUUAAAAUUUUAAUAUUUAAUACAAUUAUUAAAUGAAUAUCUAAAUUACUCUGAUGAUAUUUUAAAUUUCGCAUGGCAACGAAAACCACUUUGUCAUCGGUUUUGCCACCUCUAAAUUAUCACAAUAAAUAACCAAGUCAUCGACUUGCUGUUUUGCCAAGCAAUCACUCAGUAUCUUGCCACGUAUUUGAGUCAGAGGUCAAAACCCCGAUUGUCGUCCUUCAAUUGAAGGAUGAUUUUGUUUUGGAGCUGGGCGUGGCAAGAAUGCAUUAUCGGACCAUUAUUACUUAUAUCAUUACAGAGCAGUACCUGAACCACGUGACCUCCCACCGCUUUUUUUUUAAAAUAUAUAUUUAUUUCUUUUAAAAUACCGAUAACACCCCCGACUGUCUCAUUUUACAUAAUCAUACUCUAAAAGGGCAAAAAUAUCCUAAAUAAAAUAUAUAUAUAUAUUCUCAACUUUAUUAUCAAUCUUCAUAACAAAGUUGAAUAAUAAAUCAAGUGAUAUAAAAAAUCGAGUAAAAUAAUAAGUCAAAAAGUAUUAGCUUUUUAACUUGUAAGCCAGUGGUUCAAUAAUAUCUACGAGAGAAUGAAUUUGAGCCACAUAAAAUUUAUUAUAUUUAAAAAAUAGUAAAUUUGUCGAUCGUAUAUUUUUUACAUACUGAAAAUAAUUUUAAAAAAAAUUAAAUUGGGCAUUUUGGCAUUAACAUAUUUUUAUAUUUUGAUGUUAUUUGGAGCGAAUUUAUUGCAAUUGCCUCGUUUUUCGCGGCUUCCGGUUAUUCCUUUCAUUCGCUUGCUCUGUAGUAAUAGCUACUAGCCUACUACCACACACACACAGAAUGGAACUGCGAGAAAUAGAAGAACAAAAAAACGAUGUCGUUUUACCGAAGAAGAAGAAGACGAAGAUGAAACUGAGAAAGGAGAGAAAGCGAGAGGAAAGAAAAGAAAAACUCAAAGAAGAAGAAACUGAAGAAUUAUUGCAGGCCCACUGGAGGCUUUUGGUGGAGACAUAAUGUUGAAGAUACUUCAAAACCUAAAGGCACGCAGCGUAGCACUGACUCUCCUUGUAUCCCGUGCUUGGAACGGCGUCGCUUCAAGCGACACCCUUUGGACUCCCAGGGUUCAUUUCCUUUCCUAUUCCUUUUUUUUCCCAAUCUUUUUGCCUCGUACCUGAAUUUAGGUUUGUUUCUUUUUUCUUUUAAAUUCAAUUA
rnacentral:lncRNA from 1 species